UGUUAAAAAAAAAAAAAAAAAAAAAAAAAAAAAAAAACUUCUUGUAAUAGUGGUAUUUACUUGUAAAUCAUAGUUAGACGAGUAUUUUGACAUUUGGUAAUUGAAUCCGAAGAACUUAAAAUUGUUUGGUCAAAACUUCUAAACUCUUUCAAAAACUCAGCACCCCUAUUUGUGGUUAUGUUGUAAAGAUCCACUAAUAACCAAUAAAACAUGUGAGUCUUGUGAUAUAUUGUAAAACAUGUUCGUUAUAAAAUUCACAACCACAUUGUCGAACUUUGUUUAUAUUCCCUUAUCAUAAUCAGUCUUACUAUUAGCAUAAUCAACUGUUUAUGUACUGAUGUCUUCUAAUUAGAAAACUUAAAAAGGUAAAGAAAAAAUAGAAAAAGAAAGAGCUCAGUUAAGAGGCCAUAUCACCAGAUAAACUGGAGAAAUGCAAAGGACCCAACCUUUACAGAAACCGAUUUCAUCACAGCUCUAUUGCACCAGCCGGGAAUCGAACCCGGGUCUGUACCGUGGCAGAGUACUAUUCUACCACUAGACCACUGGUGCUACUUGUUUAAAUGUUACUUCUUCAGUUAUUUAUACAUAAACUCUCAUAGUUCAUAUUUAAUGAGAACAUUUUGUAUAAUCUAAUGUGGCAGGGAUCUAUUCUACCACUGACGCUAUUUUAAGUGUUCAAUGAAACCAAAAACUACUAUUACCAACACACACCUUGAUUGGCACAAUGUAAGGAAUGGCGUCAGUGUUCUAGUGGUAGAAUAGUAAAACCAAAUUAAACCGAAGCAGAUUUCCAAAAUUGGUUCAGCUAGGAAUUUUGUUAUGAAUCAGAACUCAGAAGGCUAAUGAAAAUCCAAAUUGAACAACAACCGUAUAAAUAAAUAUGUCAAUGUUGUUUGUUGGUAAUUUAUCAAUAGGAGGAGAAACAUUGAUAGACAGACAAUUCAAAAUUGAACUAAACCAGAACUCAAAAGUCGGUUAUAGCUUCACAUUUAGCUUCCAAUAUCUUCACAGCUUCAGUGAAGAGAACCUCUGGAGGCAGUGAUCCGGUGGACUCAAUGUUAACUGAGAAAAAAGACGACAAGAAACUCAAUUACGAUAUCUUUCAGAUCAUGAGUAGCAGAGUAAAAGGAAUGGGUUUUAUUUUUCUCUUCUUACAUAUAAAAUGGUUCUUAACACUGCCAAGAUCCACAUGGUCUACCAAAUCAUCGUCUCUUACGCAUUCCUUACACAAUGUGCACUUACGUGGCUGCGCUACUGUUGCCCUUUUCUUACCUGUUUUCCACAAGUCAGUAUGAAAUCAAAUUUAAGUAAGUCAUGCAGCCAAGUUCAUCAGCUUGCAUAAGAUUUUAUACUUCACCUUUUCCCAUGUCUUCAAUGUCGAAAACAUUCUGUGGGCAGACGUUUACAAGUCGUUCAGCAAGUUCAUCCUCAACUUCCCCACGUAGAACCACCUAAGAUAGUAUAAACAAAAGCAUUACGAAACAUAUAUAUUGGGAUGAGGAAAGACAAAACAAAGAGCUGUUUCCCAUAAAGCAUAUGAUAGAUUGAUGUAUAUACUUCUCACCUCAGGAUGCAUUCUAUACCAAGCAGUCCCUACUGGAGACCACUUUGCAUGUGUUUUACCAAUGCCCUUAACCGCAUGAGCUUCGAGCUCGAUUUCCUGGGAAAAAAGAGAUAAAAGAAGAUGCACAUGUUUCAUCUCUCAUUGCAAGUAUGGUCUGCUUGGGUGUAUAUAAAAAGAAUGUACAGAAACACUACCUGACCAGGGGCGAGUUUUGCUAUCAAGAUAUCGAGGUCGCAUGGAGUGAUAGGAUUAUUAGCAAAUUCAGGUAAUGAAUCUUGGCUGCAACUGAAUGAAGUGUAAGUUUUUGGCUUUGAGGUUUUAUUUUCCGAUUCUCUCAGAAGCUCACUUCCAUUUGGUAACCAUUUUAAAUCACUCGUUAAAACUACAAGAAAACGAAAUGAUAUCUUUCAUGAGAGAUGGAGCUGAUAAUAAAACAAGAAAUCUUCUGAUGCUAACUAAUGAACAUAUAUUACCUUUAAGACGUGGUCUAUUUUUCGGACAUUUCACAUGGAGUUUGAAUACAAUGGUGUUCUUUUCAUUCGCCUGAUCAUGUUCUAUCAUACACAGAUAAAGAAGUAAGCUAAUCAGAAGAAUUAUCAUCAUAUGUAGAUGGAUCACAUACCACUGAAAUAUAUGCUUACCGGAUAAAUAUUCAAAAAGUCUUGGAUCUGCGGCAAUUGGAAUAAGACCCAUCCUGUGAGCAAGAACUUCGUCUAUAAUAACCGAUGUGUUGUACGCUAUCAACACUUUUUCAAUAGCCAUUGAAGGAACCUGCAAUAAAGAAAGAAGCACUUUAAGCCAAAGAUUACAACAAUGAGGGAUUCAUCAGAGGUUGUAUGAAAACUUGACAGACCUCAGCUAUAAGGAUCCUUCGGAAUGCAUUGGCAAACGCUGCAUCAAUACCAAUCAUAUCAAAUUCCAUAUCUGUCUUUGUGAGACUAACCACAUCAACUUUGAAGUUAUCAUAGAAGUUUCCUAGCUUCACAUUGUCGUCCUCUUCCGUAGAAGAAACAUAGGUACCCGAGUAAAUGGCACUCGCAGUCUACAGAAAACACAAACACAAGAUUAAAGACUUCAAAUUUCAAACAAUCACUACUCAAUAUCAUCUUGAAUUUGAAAACAAAAGGUGUAUUCUGGUAAAACACUUAAGAGCCAAACUCGUAAAUUCACAGCUUUUCACAGGAAAAAACAAAACUUUUACUCUGUAUCAUGAACACAGCAACGAUAGAACUCAAACCCACAUGGGAUCAUUGAGAAAAGCUAUAAAAUUUGUAAUUAGAUAAGCUUAUAACCAACAAAACAGAGCAUAAAAGAUUGUAACUUUGAACGAGAAUAGUUCUUACAUGAGCAGGAGCGUUGUUUUUAGAGACGACACGAGUUUGCUGGGCUUUGAGAUGUGGAGGAAGUCCGGCAGGGACGUCAGGGAGAUCGUCUAUGUUGAAAUUUUUGGCGAAUUGUUUUUCUGCUUUAGUCACCAUCCUUGUCUAGGUCUAUAGCAGAACUAGGGUUUAUCAAAUUGAGAAAGAGAAUUGAAGGGUUUAACAAAGGAAACCACAGGGGGUGAGGAAAGUAGUAUUGGGUCAAAGAGUGAAGUCGAAGAAGCUUACCUGUGGCCGAGAGAAUUGAGCAAUUUAGAGAGAAAGAGAGAGUAGGAGGCGGCGGCGAGGAGAUGAAGAACAAACGGUGAAGGGUUUUGAAAAAGCCGCCGGUUUUAUUUAAUCCCUUAACUCUUUCCGGUUCGAAUUAAAACGCAUUAUUACCAAAAGAAACAAUAAAAAAUUCAUUUCAAAAGAAUACUUCUUCUUUUUUUACAUUUCAAAAGAAUACUGUUUAACACUAAAAAUAAAGCCAUUACUUUAAAAAAUAAAAAUUUAUUCCACAAGAUGAAUACUUUCUUUUGCUCAUGAUUUUGUUUUAUAGCAAAAAACAAUAAUAAGAAUUUAUUCUUUUUCGGUGAAUUGUUUAAUUUAAAAAAAAAAAAAAAACUUUUCUGCAAUCAAUUCGCAGCAUAUUGGUUAAGCUAAGAAUAUAAACUAAAAACAUAUGUAAACAACAAUUCUAGGAAUGACUCCUUUUGUUUUUGGCAUCUACUGUGAAUGAUAGGCUUUUUUGAACUCUAAUUAAUAUUGGUCAAAAAAAAAAUGUCGAUGGGACUCUUCUACGUUAGUAUCUAAGAAUGUGGCAAUAGCACUACUUAAUUUAGAGCAAAAUAAUAGAAGAAAACACGACACUUACUUCAUCAAAUUUUUGUUGGGCAAUGAGAAUGUUGUCUAUAAUAAAGUUUCCGGCUACAAAACACAUAUUUGUAUCUCGGAUAUCAAAUACAGAAGAAGAAAAAAAAACUUUGAGGUGCAGGCUUAGAAUCUUUGAGAUCAUCUUAUGUAUAACAUUACAAAGGCUAAUACAGUAGGUCGGAAUCUUGACAUUUCCUAGAGUUCUAUCUCCUUCGGGAAUUAGGUAAAUAUUGGAGCAUCAAUGCGAUGAGCAAGUCAUGACCAAAUACUACAACAGUUACAAGUUACAUUCCUUUGCGUAGCAAUCAAUCAGCAAAUGGUAUAUUGGUAAUUUACUGACACUCUGCUAAUAGAAGGAAGAGCUCUUCAUCGGUUAUGGCUCCCAUCUCCAUUGCCCUUUCCAACACACUUAAUCCUCCACCAUCCUCUAUUGAUGGACGAGCACCUCUGUCAAAUUCAAAGAAGAGAGACACUAAGUAUCUACUCAAAGUGCCCCUCAUGAGAUUUAUUAGUUAGUGUGUUACCUUCUCAGCAAAACCUUUGCAAAUGCGUUGUUCCCUGAUGCGAUGCAAUGGUGUAAUGGAGUUCGUCCGUGGUAAUCUCUCAUGUUUAUGUCAGCCCCGAACUGCAACAGCAGUUCAAGCAAGAUUGGGUCACCGCUUUGACACGCCACAUGCAACAAUGAGCAGCCUUGAAGACAGUUUCUUGCUUCGUUCGAAUUCUUGAUUCUCUGACACGCAUUUGGAUCGUGCCUUUUCUUUACUUCAUCUGGUGCAUCAACAUGGUGGUGGUGAUAUACAUCAAGGUCAGUAAUAUCAUCGAACUUGGUAUUGAUGAUAUUUGCAUCUGCUUUUACAAUGAGUCGGUAGAUGUCUCUUAUGUUCCUGCUUUGAACCGCUUCCCAUAUUCUACUUGAGGCAGUAGAAUUUGCUUCUCUUUCAUCUUUGACAACUAGUGCUUUCUCCAGGUACUAGCUAGGCAUAAACAUUAUCAGCUUUAGUAUCAUAAGCCUUUUCUAUUCACAAGAAUAUGCUCAUUUGGAUGAUGCGUCAAGUGACAUGAAUCUGAGGUCUAUGUAUGCGAAAACUUUAAGAACUAAAUCUCAUACCUUUCCGUUAAUAUAUUUCUCCUUCAGAGUAAACCAAUCUUCUGAAGAUGGUUUCGAAACUGAUGCAAGUGUGUCUGUCGAUCCCUUUUCACUGUAAAUAUUCAACAGAAGAUAGGAUCAUAGGAAAGUAAAGAUCACCAAUCUCAUGAUUUUACACAAUUGGGAAAAUAGAAACUUGUAAAAGAGGAACAGAUGAUUUUGAUUCAAGGAAUGUUAUUUCUUGAUUGUGUUAUAGAGACAGUCUUUACUUAUAUAAACAAUCUAAUUUUCCUUGAGAAAUUAUACCUGUCAUCGUCAAGGUGAUGAAGUAGCUCCUCCCAGACUGAAUUACAGUAUCCGUUGCCUAAGUUCCGAAAUAAGUCCAAGAUUGUAGGCUCCCAUACUUUCACAUCCAAUGUGAGCGAUCUCACCUGCAGACAUUCUUUGACAUUAGCUAAAUAUCUAAGCUUCAUACACAGAUGUUUAAUUCAGCAAGAAAUAUAAACACUUCAUCUUAAAAAAUUGAGCUCUGCAAAUUUUGGUUGAUGCAAAGAUAUAUAGCACAUGGUUAGCUUUACAACAAAUGAGCUUAUACAACCUCGAACUAAAUGGAAAGAAGCUACGCAAUAUCGUACCAAAAUGAAGAAAUUUACCUUGGAUAUAUGAACGCCGAGAUUCCUGUGAACACCAGAGCAUUCAAUGCACAUCAAAACUCCAAGAUUCAAUGAUGCCCAAUCGGGGUCAGGUGCAUUGCAUUCUGCACAAGUGUUAUUUCCAGGAAUUUCUCUGAGUAUUGUAAGGACGUCAUCCCCCACAUUUAGUCUUUGAUUAUAAUCUUCUUUUUGAUUCAGGGUGAGGUUUUCAGUGGCAGGACCAGAACUAGUAUUCUUUUUAUCCAAGUAUCUUGCUGGUGACUGCAGAAGAUAUUAGAUUCUAUAACAACACAAAAUUUUCAAUUUGAAGGUAAAAGAAAAGUAUGAGACUCAUAUUGAGUAAACCUGCUGCAGAAAAUGAGAAUUCAGACGUAUUGUUAUAGCUGCUGUGAUCUUAUUUACCCAAUCCAUCCUAUCAGCUCCAUUUUCAGCCUGUAGCAUAUAGAAAUAAAUUGUGUUGGCCUCUUGAUGCUAUAUUUGCUCCUUCACGUUUCUAUAUCUAAUAAAUUUAGUACCUGUAGUGUGUAAGUCUUUUGAGGAGAUAUAAUUCUAAAACAGAGUCGAAGAUCUGUGUCCUCUGCGUCCAAUUUUAUCAGUGAAGUACGGAGAUCGAUCAUAUUGCAAUCUAGGCUUCCCUGUGAAGCUGAUCGAUUGUGUCUUGUACGAAAUCUCCCAAAGACGCCGCUACUAUGCUCUCCUAAACCACUGUAGUAAUGCUGAGAUUUCUAUAAAUAGAAAAAGAUGAUUAGAAGGAUAGAAACUGAGAAAGUGAAACUUAAAAUAAAAGAAUACACAGGUGAGAGAGAUUUGUUUAACAGUCAACAAAUAUAAAUAUAGCCAAGACAUGAGGGAGUGCUAGUAUAUCUACAUAACUAUAAAAAUGUACGAAAUUGGACAUUGGAAAUUGAACUAUAACCAAGUCUCAAAGAGCUUAUGGAUCUCUUUCAUGGAAACGAGGAAGUGAAAAGGAGCUUGGCAAACAUACCGCUGAUUUAUUACCGGUGUUUCUGUAAUAGUAUAGGGAUCCAUGGUUGUCAAGCACAAAGAAUCUCCUUUUCCAAUCAGCUCUCAAACUAGCUGAUCGCUUUAAUAGAUACCCUUGUUUAGUUACCUGCAUUAGUACACAAGACAAAAUAAGUAAGACAUUAGCCUGGACAAGAACUGAAGCAGUGAAGUGUAUAGCUAAUCACCAAAUGAGUCAUCAUAAAUCUCAAUGUCUACAUGGUUGUAAAGCAGUAUUAUAUCUAAUAACAGAAGGCCCAAGUCUUGAAGCCAGAAAUAUUCUUUGCGAGCGCAACUCAAAUAUUGACACUAUUACUUUAACUUUAUAAGCAUCUGAAUGAGAGCUGGAUUAAUUGUGUCAGUUAGAAAACAACAGUAGGGUAAGCAAGAUCCUGUCAAUAUAAAUAGCCAUAUUCAGAAACAGCGACCAUUAUAUCUUUGGACAAACUAUGCCACUUCUAACCAUUUUCCGGUGGCAAGACAAAACUUAAUCCAUUUCUUUACCAGAGAACCAUUGGAACAAUUUGUGAAAACUAUGGUUUGGAGAACCUUACUUCCUUGUCUGCUGUUGAAACUGAGUUUGCUUCUACGUUUUUACGGGGGAUAGCUCUAUAAACAUGGUUUCCACCAACAUCGGAGGGAUCUGCUUUAGCAGAGGCCUGUUGGCUGUCUAAUUCAGAUUGAGUCCUGAAUUCUUGAAUGCGUUGUGCAAAUCGAUCUUGUUCAAUCUUAGACUGUUCUUUUGACUGUUGUGCGUAUGUCAAUACCUGUAAGAGGAAAAGUAGCAGUAUUAAUGAAUUUUAUUAGAGAAAGCUUUAAGUAUCUUUAACUGUUAACUCUCUAAGUCUGCACAUCACUAUUUCUCUCUUCGCUUAAGACUAUAAAUUUAUUAAAGUCACAUGUUAGCGUAGUACAAGUUAUAGUACAAGUUAUUAAAGUCACUAUUUUUCCUUUUUAGCUUUUUUUACGGAACAAAAAGGGAGAGAUACAUGAUUUAAAAGAGAUAACUGGCACCUAUUUCAUAUGCAUUUGUAAACGAAUUAGCAUUACAAGCUCCCAAACUUUUUCUGCUUAUUUGCAUAGUCAGAAAGGAUUUGACAUUAAGGUGGUACCUGAUGGAUGUAAGGCUCCAAUUGACUUAAUAGAUCAUAACCCUGGAGAACAAAGAGACCACAUUAAGGAGUACAACGAGGUACUGAUGUUUCCCUUAGUUGGUCACACUUGGUUACAUCUCUAAAUGCAAAAUAAGAGAAGAAACAUACAAGCUUAAAAUAUUUGAAAUGGGAAUCCAUAAUUGCACUUAUAGAUUCCAAGAACUCGUACUUCUUUUUUGCUUCAAUGGUCAUCAGUGAAUUUACCUGCAUUCCUUAAACCAAAGAGAAAACCAUUUAAAUGCAGAAAGGUCAAAAGACAAUCGUAGUAGUGCUUCUAUUCGUAGACUUAGCAUACUAGAUUGAAACGACUUUUCUCAAAUGCUGACUUCGAGUUCUCCAAAUCCUAUAGAUUGACAAGUUCGUUAGAAUCCCAAAGAUAUAAUAUACGGUUAUAUAGUGCACAUGUACAGUUUAUGCAUGCCUGAAUAUGGAUAAGGAGAUUUUUCUUGAAUAUUUACAUAUAUGAAAUAUAUUGCCAAUACCUCUUCCAACUCAGCAACAAUGUCUCCUCUGGUAUUCUUCUUUAGCGACACAAACUUUUCGCGUGCCUUCAAUUGAAUAAGAAAAUUCAUUGCAUAGCUUCAGAUCAAGAAUUCCAGGCACAACAUCAUAUCUUAGAUAGAUUAAUCAUCAACUACGAUGCUUGUCAGUCGCCCAUGUUGGAAAAUGAAUACAACAAUUUUUUCUGCAAACUUGUUUCACAUAAACAAAUAAACUUCCAUCUAGUCUCCUUUUAUAUGACCAGGACCAGCUAUUUAUAUAUUAGUGUGGAAACAAAAAAAAAACUAAGUUCUAAGUUCUAACUGUAGUGCACACUGACACCUAUAACAUAUUUAUUCAAGAUACUAAUAAGGAGGAUCUCUCCAUGCACAAAAGUAAACGAAGCACUAGACUAUAAUCAAUUACCUGAUCAUAAGAAUGGACAGCUUUAUCGAACCGACGCCGAGACUCCUGAAAAGGUAGGAAAAAAAUAGUAAAGUUGAUAUUGGUAAAUAAUUUUAGAUUUUGAUAACAUAUUAUAUAGAUCAGUGCAGGAAAAAAUGUACUUUUCUUCUAAAACGAUUUACUCAAGAAAAGGAAUAUAUAUAAAUAAAAAAGGGACAAAUCGUUUUUAAAUCCGACCUAACUAAUGGCAAGGGGUUUAAUAGAACUUGUCAACAAGUGGAUUCAGAAAACAACAACCUAUUUUUUUGUUUAUUGAUCAAUCUGGAGUCUAUGAUAUUGGACGAUCACAUUUUAGACUUCACAGUACAAGAAAGUAGAAAACAAUCAAAAUUUGCAGGGUAAUAAAGGUUACCUUUGCUUCUUGUAGAUCAACAGUCAUAAAGUUUGUCAGCCUCUCAAGUAAUACAUGCUCCACCUACAAAAAGACAACAUUUAUACAAAUGAUGCAGUGAAGGGAAACAGCUUUCAAGCAAAUAUUCAAAUUGGUUAUCAAACUCAUUAUAUCUUAGAUUUCUCUACCAAACAUGUGUAUAAAGAAUAAUACGAAUAAACAAGACUUGUAUGCCCUAAAAAAUUUUUAGCGACCAGACAAAAAUAUAGCUUCCACUCACAAGAUAUGAUGAGAGUUACCUGUGAGCGAAGAAACUCCUUAUAAGAGGAGAGCUCUCGAAGUGUAUUUAUGAACUUAGAUAUUACUGGACCUGGUGCCACCCAAAAGUAUAACACCGAAAUAUAUCAGAAACAUGAACUUCUAGAUAUUUUCUUGGAUAUUCAGUCAAUCACAUCAUAAGAAAAAAGUGGGAAACUAGAACUCAUGAACUAAGAGUUCAUACAGGAGUUAUCCAGAUUGAGCCUGUGAAACUCUAUUAAAGCUAUGCUUCCUAUUUAUCAUCCAACGUUCUCAACAUACCUAAGUGGUUUUUUUUGUAAUAUCCUUCCCACUACCACUGUCUAUCCCAAGUGUAACCCAGACCUCCAACAACGUUUACUUAGCUAAAACCAGGCGUCAAUAAAAUGCCUUGCUUUAAAAGUUCAGUAAAUUAGUGGAUGAGAAUCCCAAAAGGAGAAACAGCAAAACCACCACUACUUGCAUAGAUCAGUACUUUAUAAUUAACUGGUGAGCUAAAGGAAUGCAUCAUAGUAUAUUUAUAUCAACCAAAGAGCCCACAAUCUCCUCUGUGGAGAAUGUAUCAAAGUUCAUAGCACCUAAACUAAGUAAUCAACUAAUAAGAGUGGGCAAAUUAAAUUGAAAGUGAAUAAACAACCUCCAAUUGAAACACUGACUGGAUCAUCAUGUCCAGCACCAAACUCUUCAAGAGAAUCUGCAAAGGCACUAACUCCAGUAGAUGCCUCUCCUAAAGCUCCCCUAUAACAAAAAAUAAUGCAAUUCCUAAGUUUCAGAAAAGACAACUGAAGAGAAAGAUACAACAAGGAGACAGAAAAAAUGAAGGUGAGAACGAGAAUGCUAAAUCUAAUUCAUUGAAAAAUUCCUUCCCAUUGAGUCUUAAAUGGUACAAAGUUUAAAACUUUCAGCUUUCAAUGGUCAAACAGUUCAAGAGAAUGACUUAUGAAUAAGACAAAGCCUUAUAUAAUAGAGAACCAGAGAAAGAUGAUUAAGAUAUUACGACAAAAAACGGAAACAACCAAAAAAAGUAGGUAGAGAUACUCUUCUUACAUGAACUUCUUAACACCUUUGUAUAACUUCUGACAACGAUCUUUAAGCUCAUCACUUGUCCCUUCCAAGGAGAAGACCUGAUCCAGUCAAUAAAUCAAUCAAGUUUCAAAACUUUAUUGGAGAAAACUUGAAUAUAUCACUAAUGAGGUAAAAAGGUAGUGUACCUGUUUUUGAAACAUUGGGGAAUCCUCAAGAUUGAUAAAACCCGCCAUUGUUAAGAUAAAACACGAAGAAGCUUCAGACCAAAAGUCUACGAAUCGAGUCAACAAGACAAGACAAGUAAACCCUCGAAUUGCUGUCUUCUUCGAUUUGAAAAUAGAUCUCGCGAGUUUCAGAGGCGUUUUCAGCUGUCUGAUGAUGUUUUCAUUUGCUUCGAGAAGAGAGACACAGAAAAAUCUGGGAACUAAAGUUGUUUACAAAUAAACCCCUCAUUUUAUUAUUUAUUACAGAAACAGAGGAAAAUAAUAUCAGAUAACAAAACCAUCCUCAUGUCACAUGUCUUACGAAAUUUAAGUAAGCCACUUUAAUAAGUUCAAAAUGUUGUUGUAACAACACUCAAAAAGUAGAAUUUAUCCAUCUUGCUCAGCUUUUAGGCUCUCCAAAUUUUCCAUUUGAAACAACAAAGUUACAAAAAAUUCUUUGUCUUUGUUCGUAUGCUCUCUAAUUUCUCUGUUAAAGAUUUUGUCCUCAUAGUUGCGAUCGUCAUCUCUCUGUUUUUUUUCGAUAACGGUUUUUGACAUGUACACCCACACACACCCCAAAGAAAUGGAUCGAACUCAUUAAUUUUAGGAUGUAAGCAAAUACCCCAAACCAUUAGAUUGCACGGUCUUGCUCUUGUUAUCUCUCGUUUGAUUUAUUCUAGUUUCUUUCUUCUGUCCAAAAACACUUUUAUAUCUUCUUCACGGCUUGUUUCCAAAACCUAUCAUUAUAAUUUAUUUCCAUUAAAAUUUUACUCCAUUGUGUUGGUUUGAAACCUAUGUAUAUGAUGACUUAGAAAAAUGUGUAUGUAUUUUUAGUAUGAGUUUUUAAGUUUUACUUUUGAUUUAUUUUGGAGAAAAAAAUAACUAAGAUUAUAAAGUUUGAGGUUCUCUAUUAAAAAUGAUAAUGAAAAUUAUGUUAAUAAUGUUUUUACUUAUAACAAAUAAAGAAUAUGUUCAAAAACCAAAUUAAAGCUAGAGAAAAACCAUAUACAUUCAACAUCUAAAGAAAACUAAUAUGGUAGUGCAAUUAAACCUGACUAAUCUCGAAAGAAAAAUCAAACCGAAAAAAAUAAAAAUAAAAAAAUAAACUUCUGAGCUUAUCCUAUGAGAAAGUUAACUCAAAGUAAGAUUUUAAAAAAAUAUCAAAACGGAAAUCUGUUGAGCAAAUUAAUAAAUAGAAGAUUAAAAAUUUGUACUUGUUGUUCAAGCUUCUUUAAUGGAGACCCCAGUUCUUUAUAUUUUUUUGAAGAACACAUCUUGAGAAGACAUCUCUCAUCAUCCAUGUCAUACACCUCGUACAGCAUCCGAUGAUUUAGGUUUUGUGGUGAAUAUAUCUUAGCUAGCAUCAACAUAUUCUAUCAAACAGUUUUAAGAUUGAAGGAAAAAGAGAUAAAAAAGAAGAGGUUUUCAUCGUAUUCUUUACAUGUACAUUCAACAUCUUAUCAGGAUAUGCGCCAUGAGCACUUGUUAGCUUGUCAAGUUCGAACUUUAAACAACUAGUUCUUUACAUGUACAUUCAUCAACUAGUUUUUUACCAUUUGAGAUGAAAGAGUUGAAAAAAUUAUUCAACCCAUUCAAUUUUAAAAAAUUGAAAAAAAUGAGCAAGUUAUAACAACAAAAUGUUCAACUUGUUCAGCUACAAUUUUGGAGAUGAAUAAGUUGAAUGAUAUUCGAUCCAAAACUUUUCGACUCAAUACUUUUAAUCCAUUCAAUUUUAGGCAACCAUCCGUAGCCAUACAUGUAGGAUUAAAUUCCAACGAAAAUCCUAAAGCAAAUGACUUAAUUACUUUUUUCAUAAUGCUUAUUUACUUUCAUUUUUAGAAAAAAACUAAAGUAACGGUCUUCAUAGAAACCAUAGGUUAAAAUAAAAUAAAAUAAAAGGUUUUUAGGUUCCAACUUUACUUUUUACCACACACCAAUCAUUUCAACUUUUGACAAUUGCGUCAAAUACAUAUCCCCAACGGUAAACUUUACUCUCUGCCUUACAUUAUUGUCAUCCACUUGUUGCAAAGUUCCACAUUACAAGAAUCAUUCGAUUCUCUUCUAUCAUCAUCUUCUUCUUCUCCAUCAAAAUUCACCAAAACAUGGAAGCUCUAAUUCACCACUUCACUCUCCUCUCCGAUCAAGCUCUUGUCGACAAAACAUUCGACCCUUCAAGAAUCGAGGACCUCAUGCGUCUCUUUGAAGUCGAUUCAUACAAAGCUUGGGCAGCUCUCGAAUCCGAACAGCAACAAGAACUCGAAGAAGCUGAAGAAUCUCUCCGUGAAGCUGAACUUGAACUUGAUCGGUAACAUUUUCGUCUUUUCUUGUAUGGAAUUUUCAUAGAUCUGGAGAGAUCUGAUUUUUAUGGUUUCUUCAGGGAUAUGGAGUGGGGGAUGGAGGAGUAUAGGCGGACGUUGGAGGAGAUGGAGAGGAUGGAGGCGGCGGAGCUGAAAGAGCUUGAGGAGAAAGCGGAGACUGCUCGGAGAACGGGGAAUUUAAUGGAGAAAGCGGCGACAGUUGCCGCGAAACGACAUAUUGCGGCGGCGAUGGGAUCAGCCGCCGCGUCUAUGAGAUCAGCUUGGAAGACUGCAGCUGGAAAUAAGGUUCAUCCAUCUUGAUCGAUGAUGAUGAUGAUGAAUAUGAUAAGAUGACGAUGAUUGUCAAAGUAUUGGUCCCCAUGUUAUAGGAUUAGUAGGUCAAGAACAUUUUAAUGAAUAAUUAUUUCCUUUGAUAAACAUAUGGGUUACUACUUACUAUUGCCGAAGAAUUAUGAAUUAUAGGUAGUUUCUAGUUUAUGUAUCUGUAAUUUGUAAUCAAUAUAUAUUUAUGGGAUUAUAGGAAGUCGUAAAAUGUGGUACUAGUUUAUUGGUUUGAUGGUAGAACAGAAAAAAAAAAAAAAAAAUUGGUGGGACACCUAAAAGUACGAAAAAAUUACAUAAAAAAUAUGCGUCAUUCGGUUUUAGAAAGAAAGAUAUGUAUGUGAUGUUGUUAUUCUAUUAUGCGGAAGCAUUAAAGUUUGGGUGAUUUAGUGACAAAUUUGUCAUAGAAUCGACACAUAGAUCAGAAUUGAGACAACGAACGAAAAUCAACUAUAAACCACCGUUUAAGUGCCCUUUCGGUUUCGACAAAAAAAUGUGCCAUUUCGGCUGAUCUCUCGAAGCUUUAUCUCUCCAAAAUGUUUACAUAUGGCGCUUAUGGAAAAGCAGAAACACGCUUAUGUUCCAUCAAACCAAUAAACUAGUACCACAUUUUACGACUUCCUUAUAAUCCCAAAUAUACUGUAUAUUGAUUACAGUAUACAAAUUAUUUUUACUCUAAAAUGGUGCGUAUCACAAUACUCACCAAAAGAAAAGAUCAUUCAUUAACACCAAAUGAUUAACAAAUUAACAACAAUGCCUAAAAUGUCUCCACCGCGAACUAUUUAUAUAAUCUCCGACCAAGACUGCGUUGGCAAACUAUCCGUCUUCGACGCUCCUCUGUUCAUCAGAUACCAUAUUUCUUGGCCCGCAAGAAAUUAUCUCUAGGGUUAGGGUUUUCGCAGAUGGGUCAUGGAAUAAAUGCGGUAAUGCAAGAGGUUUUGGAUUUGGGUUUACAAUACUGUAAAAAAAAUUAUCUUCGCUCCAAAAAGUGAACCAAAUAAAAUUAGAUUUGUUUGUUUUACUUUUUUCCUCCACGGGAAAGUAAAUAUAUUAGUUCAUUAAGAACACCACAAAAGAAAGGAAAAGAGUUCUCUACCUUUGUGUAUUUUUUUUUCUAAUUUUUUGCUAAGAGAUUUUAGGAAAAUAGUUAAAGAAAGGUAAUAUUAAAAAACAUCUCAGAUUAUGGAAAUUCUCCGAAUAUGGAAUAAGACCAAUAAUGGGGAACAUGCAAUUAAUUAUGAAGAAUAAAUAAAAUGUACUAUAAAGAGAAGAAUCUCUGUCUGUCUGUCUGUGUAAUUGGGGUUUCUUUCUUGCAAGUGUUUCAACAUGGGAGGCAAAAAAACAAAGAUUGAGAUUAAGAAGAUCAUAAACAAACCCGCAAAAACGGUUGCUUUCACAAAACGCAGGGAAGGUCUCUUCCGCAAAGCUUCACAGCUUUGUCUCCUCUCUCCAGCCACUCAAAUCGCAAUCUUAGCGGCUCCUAUGACUUCCAAAUCUCACGCUUCUUUCUACUCUUUCGGUCAUUCCUCUGUCGAUAACGUUGUCUCCUCUCUGCUUUAUGACCAUCCUCCUCUUACGGCAAACCAAGACAACAGGUCAGGGUUAGGGUUUUGGUGGGAAGACAAACGUUUUGACGUAUCGGAGAACGUUGAGGAGUUAAAAGAGGCGGUCGAUGCUGUUUCGAGGAUGUUGAACAAUGUGAGAUGCCGAUUAAAUGAUGCCGUGAAGAGUACUCAAAGAGAUGGAGGUUUAGAGAUUCUUCAUCAUCAGGAGGAGGAAGUUCUUCAGACUCGCAACGACGAGACAAAGACGAAUCAAACUCACGAAUUUGAAGGCGGCGAAACUUCUGGUUCUGCAAGUUGGUUAGAGAACGAGGAUGAUAUUCUUCACUUUGAUGAUGAUUUUUAUACUGGUAUUGAUCCUUUGUUUUGAUCAACUUAUUUUAUCAUCUAAUCUAUUACUGAUGCACUUGUUUGGAUUUUAAGAGUGGCACAAAUCUACUCAAUAAUAAUAAUAUACGAAAACUUUUUCAAGUAUAUAAGAUCCUAAAUGUUAGUGUACAUAAGGGCGAAAGAAGAUUACGAGCCAAAUCCCUCAGAGUCUUUUUAUGGCUUAUGAACAGGAAAGAAUAUUAUCGGUCGAGUCAAAUCAUGGAACCUUUCAUCUUUAGGAAGAUCAAUGGUCCGUUGAUAUCUCUCUCUCUCUAUGCUUUUUCUGGGAAUACCUUAAGGAGGAAAUCGAUGAAUCGUUUAGAGUAAAGUGUAGGCUCGAUGGCUGAAAUUGUCAUUGGAUCAUAUUUCAUAGAUUUGCAAGUAUGUUCCACUUUCUUCUUCAUGUUGUACUCUUGGAGGAUGUCAAUGAUGCCCAUGUAUACAACCACAUCAUAUACUUCAAAGAGCUCGACCGUUCCUGAUUCCUCGUUGUCUUGGCCGAGUUUGUGGUGGGCUUGAGCUGGCAUGUUCACUCCUAACUGUACCCGGAGCCUGAAUAAGAUGAUUCCAAAAGGUAUGGUUGGGGACAAUUUAAUGAACAGGAAAUAAGGUUAUUGGACUCUGAGUGAUCUUGUGGAGUCAAGUUAGGUUUUUGCAGGAAGUUACUAACCUUGCAGUUCCAGGUAGAAUAAGAUCAACUUCUUUCUCGCCAACAGAGAAUGCUCGUAGUGUGCUUCCUCUGAUGUGAGGACCCGGGGCGGUAUUAACGGAAUUGGGUUCAUGGGUAACCAUUAAUAGCCCUUUUGGAGGAAUGGAGGGUUCACGAGGCAAAUUGACUGAUGAAAGACAAAACAAAAACAGUAAGAGACACAAAUCCAUGACAUUUAAAUCUAGUUUACAUAGACUCCAUGUGUGAGCUCUAGAACUAUACCAUAUAGUGUCGUAGAAAAACUGAUCACCUGAUUUAUCUAAGCGAGUGAACGACUAUUCUCUCUAAACUGAAAAGAUAUAUAGUCACUAAAAGGGUUGAGAGGCCUACCGUCAACCGAACCAACACUAUCACUUUCUUGAUCUGACAUUUCAUUGGGAGGCUCCAGGAUAUCAGUAAGUGGAUCGGGGGCUCUAAAAUGUAAUCCCAACAGAAGACUGUAAUCAAGGAUUUGAAGAGAUUCCAAGAACGAACAGUCUAAAAUAAUUUGCCUGCCAUGUGGGAAACAAAGAGGUUCCACAAACAAUUAGGCAGACACAAAUGCGAAAACUACAGCAAUAUAAUUACGUGCAAAAAGAAAAUAAAUAUAAUGAGAAAUUCAAGGAAGGUAUGUGUGAAGACAGCAUUGAAAGUAAGACAUUUGGUACAACCUCUUCUCUGCAGCUCAUUUUUCUACCAUCUUAAUUAUUUCAGUAAAAGCGUUUGCAAAUCAUAGGAAAUAGCUGCUUUAUUCCUUUUCAAGGGUUCUGUUAUCUCUCGUUACAGAGAAAUUAUUAAGUGCUUCGGUUCUCUAAAUACUAGUUAGUUGACUAGGCUAUCAAUCAGGUCAUGCAAAAAUGGAUUUGAUGAGAACUCACUUGAAGAGAGCCUCUCGCAGCAGCUUGUCCAUAUGAAAUUCAUAAGCUAGAUCAAGAUCUUUCAAUGUAGUCUUUUCUCCAAUUUUAUUCUUUUCUGUAUAUCUCCCUUGUGUUGAGCCCUUUAGGUCAUAGCGACGAUGAAUCUUCAAUUCUGUGCAAAACAUAUUCCCCAUGACCACAAAGCGUACCUGUCAGAGAAGCACAACGCCCAUACUAAAAAGAAAUGAAAUAUAAUGGAAUUAAUACAUAGAAGGGAUCAGACUAGUUCUUACCUUUUUACCCCACUUGAGUUUUAUUCUGUGAACUCCAAAAAAUUUCGUUAUGAGCGUAUUUUCAUAGUCUCCUACAUGUUCAUAGUACCUAGGCAACAUCCUAAGAAGAACCUAUAACAGAAAGAGAUGCUCUCAGUUAUGCAUAUACAUAAACCAAUGAGAUGUUACUACCUUAUAAAUUAAAGAUUAUGUGAUACACUAAGAAAAAUACAUACAAGGAAAGACAGGCUAGACUAUCUGUAGGUCACAUGCAUCCUAAAAACGCAACAAGAAAACCCAACAGGAGCAAGAAUUUGCUUACUAACGAAGGGUUUACAAUAUCCCCAAGGCCCAAACCACUAUAAUUCAUUACGACAAUCAAGUAGAGAUAGCAGCUUGGUUUAGUCAUAUCAAACCUUCAACUCAGAUCUUUUUAAUGUCUUUAUCACAAAUCUGUCGUCAUGAGAAAGGUAGAAGAUACUGCCACUUUUCCCAGGGGAAGAAAUUUCCCUCAAGCCAUCAUCGCCACAUAUAGACAUCAUGUAGUCUGCAGCAUCUAACUUGAACAUCUCCCUUAAAUUCCUAUGACAUGCCAUUGAGAUAAAUGCAUAGUAAAUCAUUUGAAGAGCAGGUAUUCUUGCAUCCACUAAGAAAACGUGUUUAUGAACAAAAGAGUCCUCUUGGUUUAUACUGAUUUUAAGCAUUUUUUUGGAAUGUGGCGAAAGAAAGUUACCUGAAAACCAUAGGACAAUAGUCUUUCCAAUCGAAAUCAAUAGACUUGUGUGGAGGUGUAUACUGGGAACCGUUUCUAGGGAAGAACAUCAUGAUUCUGGCUCUUUCACUAAAGUCAGAAGCACGAACUUCCCGCGGAGGCACUGGUGUGAUUUUCCCAACAGUAUACCUGUGAACUUCAAAAGAUUUGUUUUGUAAGAGCAAUAACUAGUACAAGCAUGGUCUGACUGUUUGUGUUCUGGUCUAAAUCAUUAAUCAAGUCAUAGUAGGCAAAAAUAACUGUAUUUCUAGGCUACAACUGAGUAGUCUCAAGAUCAUACGAGAAUUGAGGAACAUGUUCAGAGGUGGUCUGAAUGAAGAUCUCUUGAUAACUAAGAUCUGUGAAAAUUUGUUCAUAAGCUUCCAGAAAGAUAAAUGACUUGUGUCUCGAACUUGUUUACCUGAUACCGAGUUGGAGGUUAAGCAUUAGAUAAUGGUUCCAUUUCCCCCCUAGAAAGCUCACACAAGCGCUAACUGUGACUUCUUUAGUAAGAUUCAAAGGUCUAGCCCUGUGUGACAUGUCGAUAGAACUCAUAAUUCGUUCUUUAAUCAAAACUCCUUGCAUGUAUUCCCUUUCAAAAACAAUAGGGUUCUUAUCCCGGAUCUCGCUUUGACCAGAGUCAACAGACCGUGCAGAUUUGGAUGAAGGCCCAUGAUGCAUAAAGUCUCUAGGGGGAUCACUGGUGCUCCAGUAAUCAUCAGGAUACCUCUCCGAAGUUCUUGUCAGUCCGCUUGUUGUGGUUAACUCAGAAAGACUUCGUGAUACAGCUUUUGAAGUCCGUAAAUCAUCAAUAUUUAUUGUUGAAUUAUGAGAGAGGAGGAAGUUGCCGGUGUCAUCGUACCCAAAAUGCCGAUGCCACUUCUUUAGAGAAGGGUGUUUACUUCCAGCAGGAUAAAAGACUCCACUCCCAUCUUUUAGGCCACGUGACCAGGUUCCAAAAUAAAAACCACCAUCCGCAUACUUAUAAACUCCAGAUCCAUGUCUAAGACCAUUCAACCAAAACCCAUUAAAGAGAUCACCAUUUGCCCAGCUCAUAACCCCUCUGCCAGACAUUUUACCUUUUUUCCAGUUCCCAAUGAACCUAUUUCCAUUGUACCAAGAAUAACUACCACUACCAUCUUGUAAUCCUUCUCUCCAUGAGCCAUCAUAUACAUCUGAGUUACAAUACUCUUUCCUUCCUAGACCGUGCCUAACAUUCAUCCUCCAUGCUCCAGCGUAGACAGAUCCAUCAGGCGAAGUCAAUGUACCAAAGCCAUGAAGGUAUCCCCCGGAGAAAUCUCCCUCAUAUUUAGCUCCAGAUGACCACAUAAGCUUUCCUCUCCCGGAUAUCUUCCCUUCUUCCCAAUCACCCUCAUAAAUGAUACCAUCAGGCCAUGCAUACUUUCCCUUCCCAUGAGGAAGUGUUCCUUUGAGUUGACCAGAAUAAACAUCACCAUUUGAGAAUACUCUCUCUGCAGGCCUGAAGAUAGACAAAAAGUACAUUCCAGAUCUAAGAAUUGGAAAAUAACAAGAAGAAAGUAAAUUACAGGAAGAUCCGUUGACAAGGAAUAAUAACACACCUUGUUUCCAUCUUGACAAGGAUCUAUCUGCUGAUUUCAAUCUUACAUUUGAUACCUUACCACGCUCAUCAAUCCAUCAUAUGAGCACAUGAUAUAAUUAAACAAUUUCUUGAGUUUUAAUUACAUUAAAGAUACACCAAUCCAAGAGGACUUCAUGGAACAAUAGCCCAUUCUUCAACUCAGAUCUUCAUAGAUCCUUGUUCUAUCUAUUUACCAAACCUCUCAGAUGAUUCCACACAAUGUGUUGAAAAUGACAGAUUCUCCUGGACCUCAAGAAUUCACCAAUGAUCCACCCCUGUCACUGGAAAAGAGAAAAAUUAAAAUCAGGGUUUAACCAAAAUUAAGGUCAAACAAUACAGCUAAUCAGUGGAUUCAAACAUAAAAAUCCAAAGAUUGACCACCAAAUACCCAAUUGUGAGCACAAUGCAACUCACCCAUCACCAACUAAACGAAAUAUAACAAAAGCUAUUCCAAUUAACUAAUUAUACAAGUAAUUAGAGAGAAAGAGAACAAAUCAAUGAAGUUUUGAACUAAAAUUCUCAGCAGGAAACUGAGAAAUCUCGAGUUCAAAUCCCAGAAAAUGACUUUACGAGCUACAAUACGAUAGAUGUGAAGAACCGACAGCAAAAUUCAAAACAAAAACAAUCCAAUAAUCGCGUCGAUUCGCAGAAGAUGACUCACAGAGAUGGAGCUUAAGAAUCUCCUUGAAAACUGGAGAAGAAGAAACAAAAGGAAGAAGAAACCCCUAGAUUAAGCAAAGGUUGAUAAGUCGUCUUCUUCGUUGAAGAUAGAGAAGCUCUUCUUCAAUUCGGAGAAUUUCGUCUGUCUAUAAAUGUUCCCAUGCACGCUAAGUCCUCUCAGUCUCAAAGAGUCUUCUUUUUUGCCAAACUUUUUUUUUUUCGAUCUGUUUUUCCCUUUAUUUUUUUUGUGUUUAUAAAAACAUUUUGUAAACUUUCAAAAAAGUAUUGGGUUUUUUUUCCAGUUUUGGGCCCCACAUUACUCUGGUCUUAAUUUUGUUGGGAUUGUACGGUUCAGACGAAAAAGGCCUAUCAAGAUAAAAUAUCAUAUUUGUUCUUUUUAUUAUAUACUAUCUUGAAUAGUAAAUAGUAAUGCACAUAUUUUAAAAAUAUUUAAUUAGUAAUUUUUGCUAAACAAAAUUUUAAUCUUAAAUAUUCUAUUUAAUAUAUAUUUAAUUUGAUUUUUUUUUAAACCAAAUUUCAACCUUAUACAUUUUAUUUUGUAAUAAAAUUUAGCUAUCUAUUUUAUCAUAUUAAGUUGGAUUUUAAUUCUUUACCUAAUAACUAAAAUAUGUAUAUCAUAUCAAUUAUAUAUCUUAGUUAAUAUUAAUACUAAUUAACAAAUAUCAAAACAUAAUUAAAAUUAAAAAAUAGAAAUCUACAAAAAAAUUAUAGAUUUCGUGUUAAGUAUGUAUGUAUAUAUACAAACCAAGUUUUAAAAAACAGAUCAAUUUUGAUAAACUAUAGUCACGUUAUUAGGCCAAAUUUUGAGAUUAUUAUUGGACUUCUGACAUCUUCCUCUUAUUAUAGAAAAAAAAAAUCCACUAGAGUCAAAUUGAGAUCUUUUCCUAUUGUUUGUCUCAUUAGAUAGCUUUAUUAACUUAAAUAAAUUAGAAAUUGGAUCAAUAGGAAGGUUUUAUUUUAAAUUUAAGACUUUAGGUAAGCAAUAGCUAUUCAAUUUUUAUUUAUUUCACUACAAGUUUUGUUUUACACCUAAAUGCGUCACAGCUAGUCAACUAAGCAGAAUACAAUUGCGUUACAUAAUGUAAUGAUUUUUUAUAUAUAUAUAGAAGUUCAAAUUCGAAUACUCUACAUUUUUUAGAAACAGAAUUCACACCAAAUUAAAUUCAUCUACUUUUAAAAAAAUCUUUCUAAUUAACGUCGAAUCCAACACAUAUAUCGGCCUAUUUUUACGAAAAAAUAUAUAAUAAAUAUACGAUUUCACGAUUCGAAUUUGAUGGAAUUUGAUAUUGUCCACUAUAUAUAGUAUGUUGCAUGCAUAUCUAGUCGUUAGGUACUUAUUCAUUUUACAUAAUAAAAUUGUUUAUUUUUGCAUUUAUUUGAUAAAGCUAUUCUCUGCAUAUCAAGAUACUGUUUCAGAGAAUAAUCUCAAGAGCAUAUCAAAUCCGAACAUUAGAAAGCAAAUGCCAAUAAAUACUUCACAAUUAUAUAACAUUGACAUGGUAUUUUUUUUACAUAAUGAUUUUUCUGACAUUCAAAUCAGCAUUUGACUAUCAAGGUUUUGUCGGAAAAACAAAAAAGAAAAACUAGAAGAUUGAGAUGAAAAUAACACCAAAGAAAGAAGUUGUUAUACGUCAUAUUAAGGAUUUAUGAUCUUUAACCAUUAAAUUAAAAAGUUCUAACCUAACGAUCAAAAGUUCAUUAAUAUUUAAAAAUACAUUAAUAUUUUAAUAUUUAGGUUUUGGAUUCGAAUUUUAGAGAAUACAGAUUUUUAUAGAUUAGUGGUGCAAAAUUUAUUAGAAGUACAAAGUGUUGCAUGCCCACAUGCAAAACCGUUUGUAGUGGUUUGAGUGUUGUGGGGGAAAGUAUGUCCAUUGAAGGAAUAUCGUAAGAACUGCGCCGUAGAAUUGUUGUUCGUGAGAAUUAUUCAUCAUAAUAGCAUAUGGUGCAAGUAAUUGGAUCUCAUCAUAAUAUGAUUAGAAUAAAUAUCUCUAAUGAUGAUGUAAAAGAAUGACAAAAAAAAAAAAAAAACUUAUAUAUGAGAUUCAGAUCACAAAUGUACAGAGAAUUCUAGAAAGACGUGUUGAUCCAACUAUGUAUAUAUAGUUGUCAUACUAGACAAAUUUGCUUAUCCUAACCCUAAAACAAAUGACGUAUAUUUUUUUAUAUAUACAUGUUGGAGAUGAUGUAUGCUCUAUCUUGCUAAUCUCUUUAAAGUUGAACAUGGUAUACGCAUUGAGCUUAUUCCUGAUGCAUGAUGCACAAUAAUCGAAGCAAAGAUAAAGUGUUUACCAAGUAUUUUACUUUUACUCUAGAUUAUAUAUUUGGGUUGCUUAUAUACGAGGAUUGAAUUGAUUUUUUCCAUUUUGAGAAACGUUUAGAAACGUUAAGAAUUUGUCCAAACCCUGUAUUAUAUUAAACCUUAAUUAGGAUCAUUGUCAUGGUAUCAGUUUUAGAUUAGAGUAGCCAAAGUUUUGUAAAGUAGGUCCAAAAACUUUUUGGCAAAUUACUAAACUACAUACUGUAUACUUAUUUAUGUAUAUCUACGUGUUAUGACAAAACUAAAAUUAAUGCGAUUGACCCCAAACAUGAACAUGAAUUCAAAAUAUGUCGCGGCGGAUAUUUUGAUACGAAUAUAUUUAAAAUAUAGACGUGGAUGGUAUGAAUAGAGAUAUGAAAUAUCUGGACUUAACCUAACAUGGCCAAACACAAAAAGACAAACAUCGACGCUUACGAAUAUAUAUUUAGCUGCUUUAUUACGAUUUGUUUUGUUCAACGUUCGAAGCAUCCAAUGAACUUUCUAAAAAACUAUAAUUGUAAUUUGUAAAAUCAUAUGAGUCACUCAUCAUCAUCGUCGCAUAUGAGAAACUAUACGUAACUACAGCACAAAAAAAGAAAUCCAGCGUUGUGGUCGCUCACUAUCGUAUAUGAGAAAUAGCUAAAAACCAAACCAAAGUUGACAUUAAAAAAUCGUACAUCUAUUUUCUAAAAUGUUCAAAACUACUUGAUGUAGCUAAGAAAAUUUCAUGAAGUGCGACAGCUCGAAAUAAGAUUAUUCUGUUUCUUGUCUCAAUUCGUCUCAAAAAUGUAUUUUCUUCUGCAAAAAAUUAAGAUGGUUUUUUAUUCUGUUUUAAUCAAUUAUAUUGCAGAAAAAAUGUAAAGCUUUACAGAGGAGAUUCGACUUUACAGCAAUAUUUAACAGGAAUUUCAAAACUUUUUAGAAUGGAUCCUAAAUCAUUUGAGGGAAGAUUUUUUCAAAUAAUUUGGACACCUUCCUAAGAUAUUUUUCAUACUUCAAUAAUAUUAUUGUUAGAAUUAUCACACAUCGGAAGAUUUAAUAUUCUUUGAACAAUAUAUAUAUGUUAUGGCAAUCUUUGCCUUUUAACCUAGUUUUUGGGUAUGAGUUAUGAAACUACUUACUAAAGAAAUCUUAAAAGUCGUUAUUUUACGACGAGACGUACAAAAUAAGACCACGUACGAUAAAUAUGUUUUCCUAAUUAAUGUCUUUACCUCCUUUACGUUAACUGAUCCAUAAACUCUCAAUGUGUAUUCUUUACAAUUGUGUUUUAUUCGUCGACAUAUAUACGACCAAGAGUCAAAACUCUCAAAAGUAAACGGUAAACAGUAUAAAUAUCAAAAUUCCUUUUGUGCAAAAAAUAAAAUAAGAUAAAAUAAUAAACAAUUCUCUAACAACUUCAGAAUUUGUUAAAGAAAAAAAAACUAAAAACAAGUUAAAUAAGAAACAGUAAUAGUUGUUGAAACAAAAAGGACGAAAUAAAUGAAAUGAAAACAGAAAAAUUGCAUGUGAUUGAGAAGAAACUAUAAUAUCAAUAUAAAUAUAUAUAAAUAAAAGAAGAAGUUAUGUGGUUGUCACGUAACGCAUCGAGACAAAAAAAAAAGUGGUGUGUGGCCCUCUUCUGUUGUUUCUGCCUUUUAUUUAUUUGUCCCUCUCAUUGCCGUACUCGUCGUUGCUAAGUAUCAUCAAGAAUUCAAGAUCUUACCUUCUUUAAUUAUCUUUUUAAACUACUAUUAACCUAAUUUUCGUUUUAAUUUUUGAUUAGUUAAUUCUCUAAAUGUAUCUGAUUCGUUCUCCAUCCACCACACGAAGGAUUGAUCCUAUCCACGAUGGCCAUUUUCUUUGUAAAAAACCAGCACCUAAUUACAUCUAACUAUUGUUUUUAUUUAGAGAGAUUGUAUAAGUUAUCCGAAUAUUAUUGUUGUUGUGUGUUGACUGUUGGUAUAAUAUUAAAAUUGAGCUCGGUUUAAAUUAGGUUCGCGUGUGUGGAGUUCAUCCAUAAGAGCAAUCUUACUUUAAGAGAAGUUUUGAUUUAAGGCUAAGGGUUCAAAAGAUUGGAGAGAUGAUAACAAUUUAGAGUUCGAGUUGAUUAACCAGUGUUGUAUUCAUUUUAAUUAAUUGAUUUGUUGUUAUGUUAAUAUAUAUAUUGUGUGUUAUGAUUGAUGAAUUGUUUUGUAAUCUCUUAAGAUCAUAAUGAAUUGUUAGCGUAUGGUUGUGGCCGAAUUGUGAUUUUUUUUUUUUUUUGCUAAUCGAAAUAUAAUGUCACAUAUUCAUAGAUCAUAAAAUCUCUUGUUCAAACAUUCUUUGGUGAUCAAAGUAACGUGAAAUUUAAGGAUUCCGCAAUUCAAGAUAGUGAAUAGUGGAUGUUGUCAAGAUACUGAAUAGUGGAUGUUGUCAGUACAACAAUUGUGAACGAUUAGAACGUCCAUCUAUCUACCAAGCUAUCGACAUUUAAGUGGCUAUAGUGCUAGCUAUUUAAGUAGUUAUGCUAUAUGUUGGCUUCAAUUUAUAGAAUUAAGCUUGUUAUGAGUUAUUAUUGGAAUUAGGAUUGUGAUUAUAAUUGUUUUUAUAUUUGUGCAAUUAUAAGAUAUACCAAUAUAUUUUAACAAAAAGUAAAAGAAAAGAAAUAGGAGUAUAAAUAUAAACGAAACACAAAAUAGAACUGUUUAGGAGAAUAUAAAACUUUUACGUUGUCUCUACCUCUUCAAAUUCACCAAAUUUAUUUUUUAAAUAGUUUCCAUCACUUGUCAAUGUCACAUCACCUAUCAUCUAUCUCUCUUUUUCUCCCUCUCGUCCUUUUUCAUCACUUUCAUCAUUCAUGCAUCUCUGCCCCCAUUCUCUAUUUUCUUCUAUAUUUCUCUAGUCAACCAAAAAUUUUGCCUUAAGGAAACCAAAAGAGAAAUCCAAUUGAAAAGGAUAUUAAAAUUAAGGGUAAUAUUAAAAAGAAAAUUUUGGGCCCAACAUCAGAACACCAUUUUAUGACUGUUUCUAUUGUCGACUGUUUGACAAACUGAACAAACAAUGGCUUUGAUUGGUGAACAAAAUCAAAGCACUACAAUUUCUACAAUUUAUAAAUUUAUCAAUCAAAUAUCAAAAUUGUUACACUGUUUUUUUACAGUUUUUCUGUACUAUUUUUCUUUUUCUUUUUUAUACAUCAUUAUGUACCAUCUUACCAUUAUAACUACCAGGUAAAAAACUUGUAAAUUUUUAUAUUAUUAAUAAGACCCAAUAUAUAUAUAUAUAUAUAUAUAUAUAUAUAUAUAUAUAAGUUAGCAAUCCAAUGGUCUUGCAGUCUUUCAUUAUUGUAAUGAUGCUUAUUAGGUUUUGUACUAAAAUUAAUGCUAAUCAAUUUAGAAUUUACAUAAUAAUAUUUAGAAUCAUCUGUUUUUGUAACUAUCUUAGUUUUAGAACUAAAAAUAAAAUAACCCAAAAAAAACUGGUAAGUACUAGUCUCUAAUAGCUAUGCUUUCUUUCUACAAUAUUAUGGUAGUCAAAUUAUAAAAAUAUGGGGAUGUUUCGAAUCUUUCUACCGUAAAACUGGUUGUGUCCAAACGUAUAUAUUUGGGAUACAAUAAAAUAAAAAAUAAGACUAUUAAGCCAAUGAAUCAUAAUGAGGCCAUAAUUUUAAACGAUUAAUGGGCUCCUAAAUAUCUAUCUUCAUAAUUCACACUCCACAUGAAUCUAUUCCUAGUAACCCUAAGUGUUUUAAUAAUAGGAUCUAGAGAUGUUCGAAGAUAUAAUUGCAUUUUACUUUUCGUCGUACUUAUGACGAAGCAAGCCUUGGACAUCUCCGUUUUAAAACAGGGAUCUCAUGAUCUUGAAAAGGAUUCUUCAAGAAGCACAGAAAAAGACAAAUUCGUAUGAAUUAUUGACUCAUAUCAAAGUUAUUUCAUAUAAACAAAAUCCUAUGAAUUAUUGACACUAGUCAAAACUCAAUGAACAGAUUGAUUGGCCGUGAAUGCUACGGUCCAUGAAGGGAUCGAGUGUGGACCAGUCUCUGCAAUAUAUGUUGUUAGGUUGACUUGUUUUCACUAGAAUCGUAUGUUUUUCCAAUCCAUCAGUACGUUUAACUUCAAACCACCGUCAAAUGAAAGCUAAUUUAAACUUCUUCUUUUUUUGUAAUAUUUUGUGUCAACAAUUGAAUUUGAUCCAUGGUGAGAGAAACCUCUAAACGCCGGAGAUAUUUGUGAUGUUUUAACGUGGUCUUUCAUCUUCAAUUGCUAGUUACGCCUAGAAACAUAUGUGACUUUAAACUAUCAGAUAAAGACUUAUAAAACACACUUUUAAAAAGUCAUAAACAAAGACAUCUAAUAAUAAUCAACCCUUAAUUACACAAAAAAUAAUAAUGUAAAACAAUAUUAGAAUGAUCAAUUUUUAAAAUAUUUAGUUUUUUUUUUUUUUUGGUGAUAGAAACUAAAAAUUUAGACUAUAAGCCGAUAAAGCUGAUAAGCCCAUUAAGUAUAAUGAGACCCUAGUUUUCAAAUUUGGACUAGACAAGCCCAUUUACGGUUUUGGUGUAACACCAAAAAAUACUGUUCAAUUUACAAUAAUACCCAUAUAUCACUUCAUCUUCCUCGAAGAAUCUUCAUAAUUUUUAAUUCAUCCUCCAUUAGAAUCCCUAGGGUUUUCUUCCAUACACAAUCAGACUCAACGAUAAGUACCAAUCGGAGAAGAGAUCACAAGUGGAUGAUGAGUUACGAAGGCAACGGAGAUGGUGUCGCUAUCUCCACCGAAAACCACAACGAGAACUACAUAUCUCUAGAGAGCUCGCCUUUUCAUGAAGACUCCAAGUCUCGAGUAUGUUACACUUUCUUCUUUACAUAUCUUGCGUUCGAUUCUGUAGCUUUUAGGUUUCUCUCGUGAAUUAGACUGGUAAUCAUAAUUUGUUCUCCACUUGUAUUGUAAUUUGGUACAAUUCUCGGAUUCUGCUUGUUGAAUUUAUGUUUUUGAUAGUUUGAUUUGAAGGAUUCACUGGAUUUAGAGUAUAUAUUAUCAUGUUAAGUUCAUAUGUUCUCUUUAGAAAUCUGGGGAUAGUAUAUGAGAGAAGCCUUUUGACAUUUGUUUCCUGCAGGAAUCUCAUGAUCUUAAAAAGGAUUCUUCGAAAAUCAGUGAGAAAGACAAUGAAAAUGGACGUGAUAAAGACGGAAACAAAGAUCGUGAUCGUGAGAAGGAUCGUGAUAGGGAGAAGAGCAGAGACAGAGAUAGGGAGAAAAGCAGAGAUAGAGAUAGGGAUAGGGAGAGAAGUAAGGAUAGGCAACGAGACCGUCAUCAUAGAGAUCGUCAUAGGGACCGUAGCAGAGAACGUAGUGAGAAAAGAGAUGAUUUGGAUGAUGAUCAUCAUCGCAGAAGUCGAGACCGUGAUAGGUACUCAUUAGUGUGUUGCAAUUGUUUUUGUAGUUUUAGAUUGUUUUAUUCUUAAAAUUGAAGGUGUAGUCAUUUCUCGACAGGAGGAGGUCUCGCGAUCGAGACAGAGAGGUGAGACACAGGCGACGGUCACGCUCUCGGUCAAGGAGCCGCUCUGAACGUAGGUCAAGGUCAGAACAUAGACAUAAGUCUGAACAUAGAUCACGCUCACGGUCGCGAUCAAGGUCAAAGAGGUACCUGGGCUCUCCUGCUAUUUUUAUCUUUUCUAACUAGUUCUUUCCGUGGCCACAUUGCAAUGUGUUAUGAUAUUGAUGUCAAAUCAAAUAAAACCAUUAUUGUUUAGUAUUUGAUGUCUUUGUUUUGUUGACACAAUAUGAUUAUCAUGGUCUUCUACUGGGUUGAACGGUCCCUCCUUAUAUGAUUACCAAUAUUUUAGUCUGAUCUGGGUCAUUGAUGUUUAUGUGUGUUUCAUACGUUUACUUGGCAUUAUUUUUUCGAACUCGUCUCUACUGAUGUCUAACCAAUUAUAUUUUGCUCUUUCAGCAAGAGGAGAAGUGGAUUUGAUAUGGCGCCUCCUGAUAUGUUAGCUGCUACUGCUGUUGCUGCAGCAGGUAUUUGCUUCAUCAUCUACUCAGGGUUAUUAUAUUUCUUAACUGCUUGUUGUUUUUGAUUUUACGUAGUUUGGAAAGAUCAUAGUCAAUUACACGGUGUGACUUUGGUAAGCUGCAAUUUUAUUGUUUACUCGUGAACAAAGAGGACUUUGAAGUCUUGCUUUCUUCAUAGGAUGUCUUGUUAUUUUUGUUUGACUGGUGGUUCUGGAACUGAGAAAUUUUUUGUUUGUGUUUUUUUGGUGGUGUUUGUUUGUUUCUGUGUCUUGUCUUUUUGUAGUAAGAAGGCUAUGUUGGGUUAGUUGCCCCACUGUGCUGACAAUGAGCCGACCUCUCUAGCUUUAAUUGUACAAGGAGGAAUCAGUGCAACGGUUGUCAUGGGUAUUUUUCAUCUUCGACUGGCAACUAUAUGCCUGUUUUCGAGCCUUACAAUCUCUGACAACUAAAACGAAUAUUACAUCACAACUUUUCAUUUUAAUAUUCAUAAGUUGUUGGUAUACUUUCUACUUGUGGGUUUUGUAAGUAGCAAGGUGUUAUCUGUAGCUUUGUACUUGUUGGUAGGUCUGCUCCUCCGGGAAACAUAAUAAUGUAUCUAACAAACAUUUUUAUGACGCAUACUACUUUACCUAGCAGGCCAGGUUCCUAGUGUGCCAACUACUGCUACUAUUCCAGGGAUGUUCUCAAACAUGUUUCCAAUGGUCCCUGGUCAGGUAUAAAAAUUUGUAUUUUUGUGUCUCUUAUGUUCCUCUUUUCUUUUGUUUUAUGCGAACAUGCUCAGAACUUCUCAAUCUUUUUUCUCACAUAGCAACUAGGUGCGCUUCCUGUACUGCCAGUUCAGGCAAUGACUCAACAGGUACGAUCUAUCAAUCUAUCUUAUUCUUAGGUUCUUCACCUUUUGUCACGAUUCCCUUCCUAAAAUAUGUAGUCGCAGGCAACUAGGCAUGCUCGGCGAGUCUAUGUUGGUGGCCUUCCACCAACUGCUAAUGAACAGGUUUGUUACUUUUGUUUUGUUUAAGGUUUUGUGACUUUUUGUUUAUUAUUGUCUAUUUAAACCACAUUUCAAUAUCCAUUGUAUGCCUACUGAGAAUGGGUUUUCAUGUCCUAGUCGGUGUCAACGUUCUUUAGCCAAGUGAUGUCGGCCAUUGGGGGAAACACUGCUGGGCCAGGUAUUGAAAAGUUCAUUAUAUUUUUGUCAUAUUGGCCGCAAGUCUAUACGAAAUCUCAUCCUUUUUUUGGAUUAUUAAUUCAUAGGUGAUGCGGUGGUCAAUGUUUAUAUAAACCACGAAAAGAAGUUUGCUUUUGUAGAGAUGAGAUCUGUUGAGGAGGCUAGUAACGCAAUGGCAUUAGACGGCAUUAUAUUAGAGGUGAUUUAUUAGCUCUUCUACACUUUAGAUGUUUGGUGUUUAUUAGUUACAAUCUGUAUUAUGAGUAUUGAAACCUAUCUGAAAUCAUAGCUUUUUUCAUCUCUAGGGAGUUCCUGUAAAGGUGAGGAGGCCAACUGACUAUAACCCGUCUCUUGCUGCAACUCUUGGUCCGAGCCAGCCUAAUCCCAACCUCAACUUAGGGGCUGUUGGAUUGUCUUCAGGGUCUACUGGUGGGCUUGAGGGUCCCGACCGCAUUUUUGUGGGCGGACUUCCCUAUUACUUCACAGAGGUACAGAUCAGGGAGCUCUUGGAGUCUUUUGGGCCCCUAAGAGGUUUCAACUUGGUCAAAGACAGGGAGACUGGAAAUUCGAAGGGAUAUGCAUUCUGUGUUUACCAAGAUCCGUCAGUAACAGAUAUUGCAUGUGCCGCUCUAAACGGGAUUAAGAUGGGUGAUAAGACACUUACAGUUAGGCGUGCAAUCCAGGGUGCAAUUCAACCUAAACCCGAGCAAGAAGAAGUCUUACUUUAUGCCCAACAACAGAUUGCUUUGCAGGUAAAGGAUUCUGAUUCACUCUAUCUAAAUGAUCAGUAAUGCUAAAUCUGUCUCAAACUUUGUUGCAGAGGCUUAUGUUCCAACCAGGAGGUACUCCCACCAAGAUUGUCUGUUUGACUCAAGUGGUUACAGCUGAUGAUCUUAGAGACGAUGAAGAAUAUGCAGAGAUAAUGGAGGACAUGCGACAAGAAGGUGGAAAAUUCGGUAAGCAAUUAGAUUUUCUUAUUGUCUGUUCUGACAUUAUACCAAUAGCACAUUACUGAGGCUCAUGGUCUAAAAUGAACUUUGAUAAAUCAUUGUUGUGUGUGUAGGUAACUUAGUGAAUGUUGUGAUUCCGAGGCCUAAUCCAGAUCAUGACCCAACACCAGGAGUUGGGAAGGUUAGAUUUCAGUCCUCAGAUACAAAUGUCUACCAAAUUCAUAUAUAAAUUGCAUACUCUAAUGGUAAUACUAAUGCAGGUUUUCUUAGAGUAUGCGGAUGUGGAUGGCUCAUCAAAGGCCAGAUCGGGGAUGAAUGGAAGAAAAUUUGGAGGAAACCAAGUAGUGGCUGUGUAUUACCCCGAAGACAAGUAUGCCCAAGGCGACUACGAAGACUGAGCUAUCUAUCGUCUUCUUCUUAAGCUUUUAGUUUGGAUCUCUUAGCAACAAGUUUGGUUCUUUUUUAUUUUUAAGUUUUUUACAUGUUUAGUUCUCUCUCUACUAAAUGGAGAAAUUUGUCUAGAAUCUGACUGCAAUAGUACUUGUCCAGGCACAAUCAAUUAAGGUGUGUGUUGGUAAUAGUAGCUUUUGGUUUCAUUGAACACUAACCAAACCACAUCAGUUUAUAUUAUUGUUCUUUUAAAAACUAAAAGACCAAACCACAUCAGUUUCUAAAUGCAAUGCUGGAACAUGUGCAAUUGCUCUCACUAAACGUGAAAUACUGGAUUUAUAUUAGAAAAGUAAGAUAGUAGGCAAGUAGCACCAGUGGUCUAGUGGUAGAAUAGUACCCUGCCACGGUACAGACCCGGGUUCAAUUCCCGGCUGGUGCAUUUGAGCGUUGAUGAAAUUUGCUUUAAGCUAAGGUUGGGUCCUUAGCAAUUCUCCGAUGAAUCGGAUAAUAUAGCCUCAUAUCUGAGCUCAUUUGUUUUUUAUUUUAUUUUACAACGAAAGUUACAUGUCAUGCUUUCACAAGACACAUCUCAUGUUACACGAACUUGAAGUUAUGCCUGAUAACACAUUAAUUUAUAAUUUAUUAAAAUAUAUAUAACAAUAAUUUGAAGUUAAAAAAAAUGAAAGAAUUUUAAAAUAAUUAAAAUUUGAUAAUGUAACAAGUUCCAUAUCACAUCAAUAAUGUAGAUUAGUGAUAAAUUUUUUUUCAUAUUUAGUAGAAAAUGAUUUGUAUAUAUGAAUACAUAAUUAAAUAUGAUACUUUUCACGAUAACAAUGUGUAGUGUUUUGACAACCAGGAGGAAGAUGGUACUGGUUGACUGGAACUCUGACACAAUUUUUGGGAUCUUGAGUGCAGUCUGGAACUCUAUCUUUUGCAAUAGCUCUAUAUUUUAUGUAUCUUCCUUCUCCGAAUCCGCUGAACAAUGAUAAUACAAUCACUAUUGACACAAAGAAAAGACUAGUAAGACUCAUUUUGUGUGCAGCCAUUGUUUAGAAACCGAAAAAUGAUGUAUUUAAUCUUCUUGGUCUUUUUCUUUGUUGUUGUAUUUUGCAGUUUGAGUUGGUGAUUAUUGGUUUUUUUUUUUUUUUUAAUUUAUAACAAGAGAGAUGAUUCUAAAUACAGAAGGCCAGUGCAUAAUAUGUGUGCAUAAGGAACUUAGUGGAUCUUAUAUUUCAAUUUUGUUUCAUUAGGAGGAAUUUAUGUUUCUUUCAUUUUCUUUUUGGUAUGAAAUCUCUAGAGAUAAUUCUUUUCGUUUGUUCUGUUUGGUAUGAAAUCUCUAGAGAUAAGAAUAGUUACAUGUCUUAGAAUGAAACAUUCCCUGCGAUCUAAUGGAUAAGUUUAUGGAUAGGUUUAGUUACGAUUAUAGCAGCAAUAAUAUAUGGGAAAACUAGCUUCAUGGACACAGAGACCAGCACUCAUCUUCAAAAGAACACAACAUGAGUUUCUCAAAUCCUCUUUCUCUAUCUCCAGUGGAAUUACACACUACUGUACCAAGCCACCACGAGGCCGAGACAGAGCCAACAGAGUUCGAGAAGAAUCAGAAACGGUACAAAGACCUAAUCGCCACCUUUCUUCAUACCAAAGGCUGGACAACUGACUUGUUUGCUAAUAAAAUCGACAAUGAACCUUUCUUUUGUUAUUUAAUUAAAUGUAUUUCAGUCUCAAUCAAACUGAACAAAAUUUUGGUUUUAUAUUAGUAGCUUUUUUUUUUCCCAAACCAAAACACCGAAAAAAUCCAAAAAAUAAUAAUGCACAGCUAGAUUAGAUAAUAGCCUAAAUAAACAAGACAUGAUGAUUAAGUAAGUUGGUUAAAUCAAAGGAUCAAUGUUGAAAUCAGUAAUAACGAUCAUCAAUGUGUAGAUUAUCCACUACGUUCUUUAACAAACUUGCAGAAGCGGAAGUUUCACCUUCGAGUUUGGUAAUUUGAUUUGUGUCUUUGUAGCCAAGCUGAAGAACCUCCUCAUCCUCCUGAUGAAUCACUAAACUUCCAUCUCUUUGAUUGCUCUUCACGGCAUCAUCUAAUCGUAGCCUCACAUUGUUCAACAUCCUCGAAACCGCAUCGACUGCCUCUUUCAACUCGUCGACGUUCUCCAAUCUGUCAAAGGCUUGGUCUUCCCACCAAAACCCUAACCCUGAUCUGUUAUCUUGGUUUGUGGGAAGAGAUGGAUGCUGAUUGUGAAGGAGAGAGGAGACAACGUGAUCGACAGAGGAAUGACCGAAAGAGUAGAAAGAAGCAUGGGAGUGGGAAGAAAGAGGAGUUGCUAAGAUUGCGAUUUGAGUCCCCGGAGAGAGGAGACAGAGCUCUGAAGCUUUGUGGAAGAGUCCGCUUUUGCGUUUUGUGAAAGCAACUGCUCUCACGUUCUUAUCUUCGAUUCUCUUCAUCUCUAUCUUUCUUUUUGUGCCUCCCAUAUUGAAACUUCAAAGGAAGAAAGCCAAAUUACAGACAGAGAUUGUUUGAAACUUGUAGAAAGCUAAUUACACAGAAAGACAGAGAUUGUUUUCAUCGUCCUCUCUUUAUACUAGUGUACUCUCUUCCCAUAUCUCAACUUUUUACAUUAUUGAUUCAUUCUCUAUUAAGAAAAUUUCCAUAAUGGGUUGUUUCCUUUUGUUUUUUUUUGGCAAAGGGGUUGUUUCCUAAGAUUACCUUUUUUUGGAACUAUUUUGGUAAAAUACAUAAGAGUACUACUCUUUUCUACUUGUUUUUCCUUUUUUUAUGUUCACAUUCUCUCAUAUGCCAAAACCCUAACCUUAGAGACGGUUUCUUGCGCGACAAGAGACACUCUAUAUCGUCUCUUUCCUCUGUUUGUCGAGUGGCUAAGAUGCGAUUAUGGACAGAGGAGUCGUUGAAACUAAUAUUUGGUAGAGGUUAUUAAAUAGUUCGCAGUGGAGACAUUUAGGGGUCGUGAAUUGAGAUUAUAAGAUAACCCAUUGAAACUAGGGUUUUGCAAUUACACAAAUUUAAAUAUGAGGAAAAUUUGACACGUGAUACCGAAAGGAUGAUUUGAAUUGCAUGAGUAUAUAAAUAGUUGCAGAAUAUGACAUAUUAACAAUAGUUCAUGGGACAUGGUGGAUUAGGUGUAAAGGUUUAUUUAACCUAACCCUAAAUCACACCCCGGUAUGGGCAAAUAUGUUGCUUGACAGAUGGUAUUGAAUUACUAUUUUUGCAAAUGUAAAUGAUUUCUAUAGCUUCUUAAUUUUUUAGUUUGUUUGGGUCCUUUAAAGUUUAUGAACGUGUUAUUUUUUGUUCUUCACUACCUUUUUGUGAGACUGACUCGCACUCCAAUCGGGAUCAUCAUCUUCUGCUACAUUCGGAUUAACGUUCUCGUCUCUUCUCCUCUUCCCUGAACCGGGACGGGUUUUGUAGUGGUCGUUGAUGGUUGAAUCUAUGGUUUCCAAUAACCGAUCUCCGUAUUUGCUCACCUUGGCUCUGUUUAGAGUUUAAAACACCAAAAUCCCCCGAGUUUUCUUCAUACCUUUGGUUAUACAAAGAGAGAGAGUAGCGUUCAAAAAGCUUCAAGAUACUUACUUUCCUAGACCAUUGAUAUCAAGGAGUUCCUCUUUGGUUCUGGGAAGUCGUUUACUUAUCUCUUUAAGCGUCGCAUUGCUAUAAACACACAAGGAUUUUUCUAUUACUUAUGAUCUGAGAAAGAAACUGAAAAUAUCAUUAAAUGGAUCGUCAACUUACCCGAAUAUAUGAUAUGCCAUGACUAAAUCUGGCGAUUCUUUGACAAUAUCAGUCCGAAGAUUUUUCAAGGCUGUCAACAAAAUGCCGGAGAGAUUCUAGACCGACAUUGAGAAAAAAUAAGCAGCCUUUAGCAAUUUAGAGUGGUGGUUUUUAAUCUUUGAGCAAUAGAUAGAAACAAGGAUACAAGAAGAUAUACCGAAUCUUGUGGGGCAGCUUUUGCCAUUGGAAGGGUAGUUUGCUUAAGUGGAACUUUUGCUGGAUUUGCUGUGGAUUUGCUCUGCUUUGACACUUUUAUGGUCGAAGGAAAUCUGUAAGAGAUAUGCAAGUCUUAGCUAAAACUAACCUUUUUCAAAACGAAUAAACAUAUAACCAACUCUAUUAGCUCGCUCAAGAAUAUAGAACUACUGAAGAGCAGCAAUAACAUUGCAGUAAGAACAGGUAGAUUUCAGAACAUUUCCCAACGUUUGAGCUACUAAUGACAUCAAUUUGGUUGCAAGUAGUUUAUGUGAACAUAAAAGAAAGAUAUAUCUCGAGUGUAAAGUCAAACCUCAUUGUUAUACUCUGGCCUCCAGAUAAGAGCGAGGCGGCCUUUGAUCUGUUCACCUAUACAAAAAGAUAGAUAAAUAGAUGUCACCUGUGUACACGCACACAUUCAUUCUUAAGCAUAAAUUAACCAGAGAGAAAAGCGCAAAAAGCAAUAUGUUACCAGAAACAAACCCCCAGCAACAAUGAUACAUAUCCACAAAGAUCUCUUUUACAACAUCAAAUAUAGUAAAAACCGAUAUAAGAAUUAUUUGUACCUUCAGCAAUGACGAUACAGAUCCAUACAGUUCACUUUUUUUAACACCCUCUGCGAGAAUAUCCUCUGUCACAAGGUAGUGCAAAAUACGAGAGGCUUCACUUUUAGUUAAAUGCUUUCCUGCUCCGUGGAGGUGCAAAGUGUCUUGUCUGUUUCUCUUGACCUAAUCAAAAGCCAAUUACUUGCAAGUGAGUGACACUGGUAGGAUAUGGGCUUGAAGAUACCAGCGAAGUAAAGUAAACAUGUUUUGUGAGACAUAAAUGGUUACCAGAUUCUGGAAAUAGAAUAAAUAUAAGUGUUAGUUGUGCAUACCGACUGGUUUAAGGAUCCCCUGUAGAUUUCUACAAUAUGAGCUGACGAAAAUCUUUCUCCUGUUAGCUUAACCAGUGCCACCUAUCCAGGCACAAAAGAUUGAGGUACGUCACUGGUACAACAUCCAGCAGGUAAAGUAAUGAUGAACUUCAGAUGAAUCCUAUACCAGUUGCCUUGCAAUCACAGUUACAUCUUUGUCAAUCAAAAUUUUGCUGCUGGAACAAUUAUCACAUGUGUUUUUGCAGUUUGUCGAAUCAAAUUUUUCUCCCAAAUGAACUAGCUGUAAGAAACGUCGACAAUCCACCUCAUUUUCACAGUAACUAACCUGAAGCAGCAAAAUAUGGAAAUAUAUCUCAGCAAGUAGAGUUCGAACUUUGAAAGCAAACACAGAGAAUCUUGCCAAUAGGUACCAUGCGGAGAAGGUUUUCCGUGUUCGUUUCGAGCAUCCUCCCUGAACUUGCUUUGCAAUUAUAUCCCAUUUUCAUCUGGCCUUGGCCAAGUCCUCCUUGGCUAAUCAUAUGCUUCACUCGAAUCUGAAAAGAUGUAUUUUUUAACCACAAACAUGACCAAGAGCGUAGGUAUUCCCCCUGAGUUGUAACUUGAUAUUGUGAUUUAUGCAACUUACAUAAUCAGUGUAACUGUAAUACAAAACACAUGAUGACCUCUGGCCGUCUCUACCAGCACGACCACAUUCCUUGUAUGAGAAAAAAUACAUCUUUUCAGUUUACUAGGAUAUUUAUAAAUCAGUUUACUAGGAUAUUUAUAAUUCAGUGUUCAAAUAAAACACCUGAUGAUAGCCUUCUAUGGACUUUGGUAGAGAAUGAUGAAUUACAAAACGAACAUCAGGCUUAUUGAUUCCUGAAAUAUCAACGUUAGCAGGCAGCAAACUUCAAUCAAUCAAAGUGGCUAUAACAGAGACCAUUAAUUACCCAUUCCAAAUGCCACUGUAGCACAUAUUAUAUUGAUUUCAUCCUUGCUCCAUUGUUUCUGUACAAAGGCACGUUUACCAGGAUCCAUACUGCCAUGGUAGAAGGCCGCUUUAUGGCCAAACACCUGAAAUUGGAACAUAACAAAUGUGGUACGCUCACAAUAUGUAAAAACCUCCAUUUAAACAGAUACGAGAAAGGCCAACAAACGACUAACCCGCAAUGCUUCCGUGACUUUUUCGCAGUCCAUUCUUGAAAGACAAUAAAUGAUGCCACAUUCAUCAAAAUGGUUUUCCCGGAUAAACUUGUCAAUAUCUUCCAAACACUUAUUUGUCUUGGGAACAACAGAAUACCUGCAAAUUUUUUGGUAAGCAACAUUCUGAAAGCAGCAUUCUUUUAAGCUAUUUUCAGUACAUUACCAUAGAUUAGGGCGAUUAAAACUUUGCCGGAAAACAACACAGUUUACCAGCCCGAGAGCUUGUACAACAUCUUCUUUCACGCUGGUUGUUGCAGUAGCUGUCAAAGCUAACAUGGGAAUGUUUGGAAACUUCUGCUUCAGAACACCAAGACCCUGCAUAUUGCAGCAUUGUUUUAAGAGAUAAAAAAGGGAGCUUGUGUUUCUUAAAAACAGAAGUGUAUAAGCAAUGUCUGUUUUAAGCUUUACAGACGCUUCACCUGGUAGUCAGGUCGAAAGUCAUGCCCCCACUGACUCACACAAUGAGCUUCAUCAAUAACAAAUCGAGCAAGCAAACUACGGGAGUUUAAGAUUUCGAGGUGCCUUAAAAGGGAUUCACUUCUGUAGUCAAGAAAGAGAAGCUUAUCAGCUUGAUGAUGUUACUGGUAAUGAUGGGAUGGGACAGAAUUGCAAUACUUACAUUCCUAGAACUAUAAGAUGUAAGACUUUGGUUCAAUUCUAUCGAGAAACUAUUGCAAGUAUCUAAUGUAAUAAUAAUUUUCAACACCAGAUAGUAUAGUUUAACCCAGAAAUAUCUAGUAGCAGGGGAGAAUCUGAUGGGAGUUGAGCCCAAAUUAAGCCUACAAAGGCUCUAGUCACCAGUCACAACAAAAGAUAGCUUGGGUAUGAAUGUUCUUAGGCCUUAUAAGGCUUUAAUUUGUUCCACUCCUAUCCGAUGGGCAUUUUUUGAAUACCCACAUUCUUCUCAGAAUCAACAACUAAAGAAAAUAAUGACUCACUUUGCCACUUUUUCUGGUGUUACAUACAGUAACUUGUAUUUAGACUUCUCAGAGCUCAGCUCCUGAAGUAUCUCUAGUUGUUCAGCCCAUUCCAUUCCGGCACUUAAGGAAGCAGCAGAUAUAUUGGUCUAUAGCCAUGUUUCAGAAACCAAAGUGUUAAUCGGGACAAAUUUUCUGAGUACAACAUAGAAAUGAAACUAAAGACAGAAACAACAUUCUGUUGCUAAAGUUCUCACCUGCAAUAAGUUCAUUAUCUGGUCUUGAAUGAGUGAAACAAGUGGAGAAAUGACUAAUGUUAUUCCUGCACAGAGUAGAGCAGGGAGCUGCAGAGAAAAAGAUAUUAUGAAGACGUUUUUGAUGUCCUAGACGCAGAGCAACUUUCUGAAGUAUAACCUCCACAAGGACAGAAUACUAGCUUAUAGUUUCACCCUAGAACACAACUUAAACUGUCAUCUCUUUUUACAGGAUGUAAGCAAAAGUCUGUGUAUAGAAUAAAAGCCAGAAUUAGCUUUUCAAAUAAAAUUACAUUUCAACGUAACAGUUAAGAUGCCGUUACCGAUAUGUUAAGCUUUUCCCCCCUCCGGUUGGCAUCAAAACAAAAACAUCACAACCACUCAUUGUAGCAUUAAUGAUCUCUCUUUGGUUGGGUCGAAAUGAGUGGUUUCCAAACACUAAUUUGUUAUAGACCUAAUCAUUGCAAUGGAGCACAUGAGUACACAGGAGGGAUGUAAAUAAUGGAACAGCGGACGACAGAUAACCAAUCACCUCCAGAUUUUUCGUCCAAGGAAAAUCACUACUGGUCCACUUUUUGUCAUUUGAACUCUCGGUAUCAGUGACAUCUAUAACCUCGGAAACAGAUUGUUCCCUCUCUUCAGAACCAGAUGAAAUAUCAUACCUCUCUUUAGAAACUAAAUAGUCUCUUGGCAUAUUCCAGUUAUCAGUUACACAUCUGCCUUGCUCUUUUACAUGAGUUGGAGAAUCUGUCUGCCCAUAAACCACCUCAAGAUUUGUUGUUUGAGGUGUUUCAUACUGAGUAUUAUGAGAAGGUAUAGAUACCAAACACUGAGAUUUUUUCCUUUCUUUAUUAUGGAUAAGGAUCUCGAGCUGCUGGAUUUGCUUUUUCAACAGUAAUCUAGCAACGAUACAAGUGUCAAAAGCUUAGAAACUACGUCAGAACUCAAAGUAUACUCUCAGUUGUGAUGCAAUUAACGAGAUAAAAAAAAAAAAAUCAGACAUGAUAUCAGAUGUUUCAUUAGUCCUUACAUCUAAUUCCUUCUUGCUGUAUAAGUUCCUAACAACUUUUCUGUGUAAUGUAUUACAGCCUAUUGAAGAAGCUAAAUCAUUUUCCAAAUAGGACAAAGCAAAGAAAAAGGGAAUAUAGUUGAAGAGUGAUGGGAAUGCGAACCUCUUUUGAUGAAGCUGUUCAACAUGAUCAGGGCCCAGGUCAUAAGUAUUGUCGAGGAUUUCAUUUGAUAUUGCAAGCAGCGUAUCCUUCAUUUGUUCCACAUGGGUAGAAGCUUCAGGACAAAGCCCUAGCUGCGUGGAUAUCAAAGCAAACAACAUGAGAAACCCAAUUGGUUUAUGAAGUAACUAUGGAGAAAAUGAGAGAAUUGGUAGCAUACCUUUAUUCCAUGACUACAGUUGGAACAUAUUUCAGGAGGCAAACCUUGCUCUUCUUCUCUUCUGGAAGUAAAUAUAUCCACAAACUUAGAUACUGAUGGUUGCUUCGUACACGUUGAAGGGCAGUGUUCCAUCGCAAUCUGGUCUACGUCAAUAAUCUGCGCUCCAAAGUUAGCACAUGUUGAAGUUAAUCUAUUCUGUUAUUCGGCACAAGUAAUUAUGAAAAGAUUUCAUUUUAGUUCACUGAAAAAUGGUGCAAACUCUGUAAAGAGUAUCCCACAAACUUUUUCAUAAUAUAUGUUACAUUUUACUGGUACUACAAAUCCGAAUUGAGAAAAAGUUUCUUGUUCUCAUAGAAAAAGUACUUAUGAUUUUAAAAAUUUUCCCUAGUUGUAUAAAGAAUAUUACCUCCAUUAUGUCAUCAUAAUCAAUCUCACCAAGACUAACUUCCCUAGGCUCCACCGGUCUGGCUAGUUGUGCAGAAUUUUUGAUUGGUGGCAUCUCCAUACCAUUUGUAACAGUUACUGAAUCUCUAACCUCAUAGUUGACCCGUGGAACCUUGUCAAUAAUUAUUUUAUUAUCACCUACGGAAGAGGAGGAGAAACUGUCAAUUGAUUUUGCAGUGCCUCUUACACUCCUUUGACUAUGCUCUGGAUGAUUGUGUGCGCAGAAAGAUCCAUCAGCAUUGGAUGUAACUUUAAAAGUGGAUCCUUUCGUAGAAGAUGUACGACUAGUGCUGUCAUUAUCAAUUGCAGGAGUAAUGCCAGGUCUCAGGUAGGUAUUAUUUAUUGAUAGAUUUAUAAGAGUACACCAAGCCUGAAAACAUUGGAUAACAAAAGUUAUAUAUAUGUACAAUGAUUGAAGUAAGGCUUCUCUGCCAGGGGAAAAUCAAUCUGACAAAAACCAGAAUUUAAUUGCAAUGGUGACCAAAAUUCAGAGACAGGAAAUGGAAGAAAGUACGCUAUAGACAAGAAAAUCCUCCACAACAAACAUGCCGAAAGGUUUGGAUUACGUUAAAAUUCUGUUACCAUCAAGAGUUUUCCUUCAACUAUAGUACCUUCUCAAUUUGUGGUCGUGCCAAAGUUUGUACAGUUACAGGAGCGAUGUUUUCAAUUGACCUAGACAUAGAGAGAAACAAGUUUUUCAGACCACUUCAGCUAACAGACUAAUACCUGAAGACAACAGAGAAAACCUCACAAGAGUUUCCAUCACUGAAUUAUUUACUAGAAAGAUCAAAGGAUGAUAUUAUGAACAACUAGCUCUCUUUUAACUGGAGGUGUUGGAAGUAACUGAAGAAUGAAUACGGGAUUUUCACUCAUAAAGAAAUAGCCUUAUUCUAGCUCAAGAUCUCCUAUAUCCAGAAUCAGAACAAGCAAUAACACAGGUUCAAACGAAGCUGGAAAAGCUAGAUGUUACAGCGUGGUGGAAACACUAUUUAUAAAGUCAGCGGGAUUAGUUAUAAGUAAUCUUCACCAGUAACCAAACAAUUGAACAGAAAUGGAUACAAAAACGCAAGAAAAACAUACAGAAAUAGCUGAUUGGUCCUCAAAAGAAGAUAAUGCAUUACCUUGCAGCCAUUUCUCUAUCUCUUCCCAGCUUUUGACUUUCUAGAGAGUAAAGGAAAUUGGAGCCCAUAAACUUAUUUAAGGAUGGUAUACACUCAAACGCCUUGGCAACUUUCAACCAAUUUGUUUGAGGAAAGUGACUUCUGGAAUUAUUAACUUCAUGGAGAUGACUCCCACUGCAUUUACACAAUCAGGAAGAAUAAAACAAAAGAUCCGUGAAAAGUUCUUUAUAAAACCAAAAUGGACAGGGAUAUGAUCAAUUUUGCCUCAUUUUAUUAGCACCGAUCAUAGAUUUACAUGCCAAAGAGCUUCCAGCAAAUUUAUCUCCUCUUGUCACCACCAUUUACUGUACAAAAACAAAACAAGUGGCAUUGCGAUUAGUUGAAUCUGAUGAAAUUGUAACAUAAACUGCAGAAAUUGCAUACUGUACCAGCUGGAAGAUACAAUUGUGCCGAUUUUGAGCUGUAAUCAUGAUCGCUAUGACAAUUACAAUACACCACAACGAAUUUGACGAUUAAUUUCAAAAUCUAUGCAUAGGAAAACGAAGAACUAACCAAAUCCAGAAGCUAAUAAGUUCUCCAACUAGAAGAUGAAGCGAUUCUGCUAUAACUAACGAAAAUUCCUCUUUACACACAGACGAACACCGAACAAUACACUCAAAAAUUAUUCGCAAAUGAAUCGGUGUGAGAAAAAGCGAACAAAAACCCCUAGAAAUGACUGGGAAACGGGAAGAUCGAGAUUACAUUUUCAAACAGAUGAAACUCUAGUGCUUCUGCGGCGAAAUAGUGAAACUCCGGCGACGAAACUUUUCCGGUAAGAUCACGAGGCGAGAGAGAAGAAAGAGCGCGUCUCCAAUUACAGCUUUCUGCGAUUUUCGUAUGGCGGGAUAGUUAAAAAGGUUCACUCUCUCUCUCCCUCACUUUCACAGACAUCAAAAACAAAUAUAUUUUGAUUUCAAAGGAAAAUAAUUCCAUGUAUCGGUUUUAAAUCCAUAUUUUAAAAACAGCAACGAUAAAUUUUUGAAAAAUUAUAACAUGACAAAAUAGUAUUACACGAGAUUUCAAUUUCACAAGUAUAAAAAUGUUGUAAAUUGUAAUUUUUAAGCUCUGUUUGUAUAUGAAAAUUAAUUAGCAAAAUAAACAAGGUGAAAUCUGAGGUAAUUUGCAAAAUAGACCAUAUAAUAUACAAAAUAUUUUAUUCGCCCAAACCGAACUUAUCAUCAAACCAGUUUGUUCUUUCUUCUACUGCAGAUUUUACAAGAUUUUCAGAAGCAAAAUUCCAAAGCAUUUAUGAGACUAACCUUAAAAAUUAUGACCAAGAAAAGAAAAUAAGAACUCAACACAGAGCAAGAGACAAAUUCGACAGACCAACGAAAACUUUUUUUUCUUUUUUUUUUGGUUUUAGAAUACUUUCGUGAAAAGAAAAUCAAUCUUUUUUUUUAACUGACUCGGACUUCUCCCAUGCUAGCAUGCACUUGCUUCACCGUCUUAUCAUACUCAUCUUCUUCGUCUUCUUCUUCUUCUACUUCCUCAACUUCUUCCUCUGCAUCUUCCUCCUUGCCCUCGGCAUCUUCUCCUCCUCCCCACCCAAAUGCUCCAAUCGACCGAGAAACACGAGCUGGAGUUUUUGCCUCUUCCACAAUCUUCAUUAUCUCUUCGACGCUUUGGAGUGAGAAUGUCGGGUUCUCUUUCCUGAAGUAUGCAGCUUGAGCUAUUUCUGUAAGUUCCCUUGGCAGGUUCUUUAGGAACCAUGGAUGUUUCUUGAUGUCACCUAUCGUAAUCCUCUGACAAGAAAAAUGAUAAGUUAUACAAGUAAUUAUCUCAAAAAGGAUGGACAAGCUUUUCGACAGAGUGAUGAUACCUUAUUCGAGUUGGUGACAAAUAUACGGGAGAGGAGAUGUUUGCAAUCUUGUGAGAUAUGGACAUAGUCCGGGAUCUUGUACUUGACAGCCAUUAUUCUCUGUAACAAUGUGGCACAACGAUCAGUGGUGGUGUCGUGUCAACUCUUAAGCAAAGAAUGCAAAAACAAAGAAACCUACUUGUAUUGUUUUUUUGAAGUUUUUGGGAUCCUCUUGGUCUUCAAAUGGGUAUGCUCCCACCAGCAUGACAUAAAGAGUCACACCACAAGACCAUACAUCAGCCAUCUGAGUGAGAAGGAAGAAUAUAAGUACCAAAACUCUGAUGAUUUCUGUGAAGUUGAUGUUUCCAAAUCCAAACAAUAAGAUCAUAACAAUUUCAUAGAGCAUAUGGGUCAAGAUAAGUAUUUGGGAUCCAUUGCGUUUCUAAAAAAUUCUUUAUGCAUGGCUCAAGGCUAGAAAGCUUAUAAUUAUCAAUGAACAAACGCACUUAAAGAGUCGAGAAAUGCAAAAAAGGAAUGGCGAUUAAAUGAUAAAAAAUGGAAAAAUAACACAUUCUGGUCCUGGAUAAUUAAAAAGACAUGUUUACUGCCCAAAUCUAUCAAGGCCACAGCAGAUAUCUGCCAAUAUGGGCGAUACCUUCUUGAUGUAUAAACAUAUUAUGCAUGAGAAAAAGUUGAAAGAGCUACAUUACUACGCAGGAAAUUUUUUCAAACUAUGAUGUCUCUAUCAAGAUGCUAAGCAUACUUGAUAUACUAAUACUUGCAAACCAAUAAGAUUACCUUGCCAUCAUACUCUCCGCGAGAAAGAACCUCAGGUGCAAUAUAUGCUGGAGUUCCAACAGUUGAUUUGGGCAUAGAGUGCAACAGUGAGGACUACAAAAGAAGAAAAAUAGCUCACAUGGAAGUGACAAGGGGCCUCGCAAAUGGAGGGAAAAAGAAGAAAGAGGAGCUUGUUACAACAGGAUAAAUUAAGAAAUCACUAGCACAUUCAAGUGCAUGCUGGAGAUAUAUGGCAGACCUUGGAAUAACCAAAAUCACAGAUCUUCAGGCGUGGAGCAGGACUUCCAUCUAAGAGGGUAUUUUCAAGCUUCAGAUCUCUGUGGCAUAUUUGCUGUGACAAUAAGGAACUAAUGCAAGUAAAGGACUGAUACCGCAGAAAUUAUGUAUAUCUGUGAAGUUAAAAAAACUUCGUAACCCAUUUCUUUCUCUUACCAUAGCAUGACAAUAGCUGACUCCUGAGAUAAGCUGCUGGAAAAAGUAUCUUGCCUGAAAACAAAGAUGUGCACAAAAAGCUAUCAUAAUCGGAGAAGCUGCUCCAAAUGAUUUACAACACAUAUUCCUUUUGCUUCCUGUACUACAAAACACAAAUAUAAUUCUACAAGAUUUCCGCUUUCCUUUCCACUCAAUUAAUCUCAGACCACAAUACAACUCUGAAAUUGAUCAUUUAGUACACCACCAUGACUUAAAAUCUUUAAAUGCCAGGGGAAGCUCACCUCAUCCUCACUGAAUCUUCCAGCGCUACAUAUACGCUCAAAUAGCUCACCGCCAGCAGCAUAUUCCAUAGCAAUGGCGAUGUGCGUUGGUGUCAAAACCACCUGGAAAUGCCACAACAGUGAACUUAGGAUACCAACUUCCGCUGAGACUAAUCACCAUCGGUUUAAACAUGACACCAUGAAGCCAUGGAAAAAAUGCAGUUACCUCCUUAAACCGGAUAAUAUUGGGAUGACGAAGUGAUCUGUGGUUAAUAAUCUCUCUCGCCACGUUCUCAUCAAUCUAUUCACCAAAACAAAACCAGAAAAAAAAGGAUUGAAAAUCACAUACUCAAUCUUUGAUCUUAUAAGACAAUGAACCAGUACUAUGCUCACAAAAGUAAGAAUCCCAGAUAAACGAAGCAGAAGAACACUCCAACUUGCAAAAUUGCACACGUAAAAGGAAGUAAUUUGAGAGUUAGAAGAAGAACCUUAGGUCCACGCUCGAUGUACUUCAUAGCAACGAGUUCCUUGGAGUUUUUGACUCUCAUGAGCCUCGCCACUCCAAAAUUCCCAGCACCGAUGUCUUUAACAAGCUCGUACUUGUCCAUUUUCUCGUAGCGAAAUCAAACAACAAGCCUAAUUUCCACUACACAAAGUCACAAACCCAGAAAAUCAAGGGAUGCGAUUCAGAGGUUUUUCGCGAUGGCUAAAAAAGGCACAAAGUGAUAGAAUGAGAUUUUGAAAGCAAAAGCGAAAUUGUCGAUAUCCUUUUUUCUUAUCCGUGAAGAAAUUCCAAAAGAAGAUAUGAUUACGAAUUACAAUGAUGAUGAUGAUGAUGAUGAUGCCGUAAUAAUCUCCAUCGUUCCUUGCUGGCUUCUUCUCUCGAAGUCACGAUGGCUCUUAUUUUUUUAUUAUUUAAGUAAUAGUUUACUUAUUGAAUUAUUUUUGGUUAAUUUAAGAGGUAUAUUAAUAAAUGUGGGACCUACAAAUUCCAAUUCUAUCGGUUCUUUAGUGACUGAGACGUCGCUAUAUGUGAAAAGGAUAUUUUAGUUGUCACAGAAUUGCGUCUAUUUCUUAUUUUUUCAUCUUUUUGCAAUUUGCCGAUUCUACGAGAACAUCAUUUGUUUAUUGGAUAUGCUUUUUUUAAAGAAUCAAGAGAAUACGAAAACAACUUGUACUCAAGAAUGUUUACUAUAAUUCUCUAGUGGAUCUUUAUAAGAGCUGGAGAUUAGUUUGGAUUUUAUCUUAAAGUAUCCAGUUAUCAAAAAAUGAGAUUGUUAGGACUUUUUUUACCCGAGAGUAUUUAGUUACAAAAAAGAAAGUUAGUUUAAUAUUAGAUAAACUAUAAUUGCAACUAACGGUCAGUAGAAAGCUAUAUAAGUUAUAUAACGAAUCUGAAUAUGACUUAGUUAUCUUGUUGGAUUGUCUAGAUAUGUUUUUGCCUUUUACGGAAAGAUUCGAUUUGGAACAACUUCUGAAUUAACCUGAAAAACGUAAUUAAACAUUGACUUGUUGGUUGUUUGUAGAAUGGUUGGUUUAUACUUUCCGAAUGUGGCUAUGUGAAAUCACAUUUUGAUUAUAUGUAUAAAGUUGAGAUAUAAUUUUAAAAUUUGCAAAAAAUUAUUAGUUUUGUUAAAAUAAUAGGAGAUGCAAACUAAAUAAAUUCUCUUCUUAACUAAAAAAGCAAUAGAUUUGUUACAUUGAAUGAUGGAUAGAUUUGUGAGUUGUGACUUUGCUUAAGCUACCCCAACAGAUAACGGAUAUAUCAUAUAGAUGUUGAGUAAGAAAGAAAAAAAAACAUUUACGAUUGCAUUCUCGUAAUGGGCUUUAUGAUUUUAAGGCCCAAUAGAUGAAGUAAGGCUAAUGCACAACUUUAAGAAACGUAAUUCUAGCAAGUGUUUAUCGACUGCGUUGUAGGUUUCUUGUGUUCGUGGCACUAUGGAUUAGGUUUUAAUAUGGUUUCUAAUUUCGUUGAUUUCAGUGGCAUAAGUCCAGUUGUUGCUUGUGGCAAACUGUUUCAUGUACAAAAACACUUACAUCAUUACUAAAUUAUGUCAUGGGUUUGGUUUCGUUAACAAUAAGUCAAUCUCCUUGAUGAGUUUUAUCUAUAUGAUUAUCUAUUUGUCUAUUUGCAACAUGUAGUAGAUUGAAAUGGGGCUGCAAAAUAUGCUCUUGCAAUUCCUAGUUAGAUCUAGCUUUUGAUAAUACGAUUAUCUAAUUUGUCAUUUCGAUAUGAUAGAUAGAUUGUUUUUAAAAGAGAUCUCAACCACUUUUCUUUAACUAAAAUAAAAAAUUUAGUCACUUUUUAUUAAAAAUAACUAAAAAGUUUUAAACCUAUCAGGACACUUCCAUCAACAGUAUUUAAAAGAGAUAUUUAUUAUUAAAAUAAUACAAAGUGGUGAAAAGAAGAGAGAAGUGAGAAUCGUCUCUGUUUUCAGAAACUCUGAAAAAUGUUUAUGGCCACGUGUUUUUCCAGAAAUGAUUGAUUUUAUUCUUUUUAUUAAAAUUUAAUACUUUAUCUAAAUUCAAUUAAAAUAAGCAAUAUUUUAUUCAUGAGAAACUCUUUUUUGAGAAUCAACCGAUGUAGAUGGUCUCAUACUCUACUUUGUUGAUUGUGUUUAAGUUUCUGAGGAUUUUUCUACUUUCCGACGUUAUGCCAAGAGGCUGGUCUUCACUAGAAAACUACUUCCACCCAAUUCAAGCAAGUAUGACCUCUUCUCCCAACAAUUUAUUCAUGUACUGAAAGGCCAUUAGAAGUUGACUGAAGUGUGAAGGUGGAGAUUAUGUAUUCACUUGUUGAUUUGGUAUACAUUCUAUGUAAGGUUCAAUUAUUUACGUUAUAUAAUUAUAAUGGAGUAAUUUACAGUAAUUGGGUUAAAAUGGUUUGAUUCGGUCAGGUUGAUACGGUUUGGAAGUUAAACCCGGCCUAGAUAUGAUGUUACAACCAGUCCACAUCUUUUAUGAUUUUAGUGGAACAAACGAAGAGUUAUUUAGACGAUACAAACAAGGUCCGAAUAAGUGUGAGCUGUCCCAAGUAAGACCACGUAAUACUCACCUCAACAAGAUAGUGUUCUUAAAGUGUGUCAAACACAAUCACACACACACAAAUCAUAAAACACAAAGACGAUAAUCCAUCGAUCCACAGAAUAGACGCCACGUGGUAGAUAGGAUUCUCACUAAAAAGUUCUCACCUUUUAAUCUUUCUCCACGCCAUUUCCACAAGCCAUAAUCCUCAAAAAUCUCAACUUUAUCUCCCAAAACACAAAACAAAAAAAAAUGGCUUCCACUGCUCUCUCAAGCGCCAUCGUCGGAACUUCAUUCAUCCGUCGUUCCCCAGCUCCAAUCAGUCUCCGUUCCCUUCCAUCAGCCAACACACAAUCCCUCUUCGGUCUCAAAUCAGGCACCGCUCGUGGUGGACGUGUCACAGCCAUGGCUACAUACAAGGUCAAGUUCAUCACACCAGAAGGUGAGCUAGAGGUUGAGUGUGACGACGACGUCUACGUUCUUGAUGCUGCUGAGGAAGCUGGAAUCGAUUUGCCUUACUCUUGCCGUGCUGGUUCUUGUUCGAGCUGUGCUGGUAAAGUUGUGUCUGGAUCUGUUGAUCAGUCUGACCAGAGUUUCCUUGAUGAUGAACAGAUUGGUGAAGGGUUUGUUCUCACUUGUGCUGCUUACCCUACCUCUGAUGUUACCAUUGAAACCCACAAAGAAGAAGACAUUGUUUAAGCCUCACCUACUCACCAGCUUUUGAUGGUUUAAAAAUCAUGUCUUUAUAAAUUUCACAUUUUGGGUUGAGUUUGUUGUUACUAAAAACUAUUGUUAUCUGUUGUUAUUGUUCCUGGUUUGGCUCACCAUCAAUCGAUGACAUUUUAAACUAUGCAACUGCAAAUUCUGCAACACUUUCGAUGAGAAUCUAACAUUAUCGUUUAAACAUUGGAAAUACAUUUUCUUGAAGUCUAGCUAGCUUUGGUUUGUAGUUCUUAUUCUGAACUCAACAAUCAUCAAAGUAUCAAGAAAAAUCCGAUUUGCGAGCAAUUGUGAAAUCUUAGAUUGAUAAAUUCUCUAGAAAGAACUAUACAUGUUAUUUGUAGCUAUAGAAGAAACUAUGGAAUCUUAUACUCUAAUUAAGCCCAAAUGGCAAGAGAAGACAUGAGUCCAGCUCCUAGGAACAACAUUACAUAAGAUACAAUUUGAAGCCUAAAGUUACACCUCAUUUUUGUACUCAAGAAAUCAGCAGCUAUGAGAUCCACUAAAGCCAUGUACACAAGAAUUCCGGCUGAGAGCGAGUCCAAGAUACCUUCAGUGACCAAUGCUCCGACACUGUGAGAAUUGAAAGACGACGCCACUGCGGUUCCAAUCCCGAUCCCUAUCGGGGUUGUGAGGGCGAAAAAACAAGCCAUUAUGGUCGCUGAUUUGUUCCUGAAUUGCGCUUGGGAGAUGCAUCCACCGAGCGCAAAUCCUUCAAAGAAUUGAUGGAAGGAUAGUGCUGCGAUUAGAGGCCGGAUUGUGCAAGGAGACUGAGAUACUCCAAGGGAUAGACCGAUGAUUAUGGAAUGUGACACAAUUCCAAGCUCCAGAACCUAACAGUAUUAGCACAAAUUUUGGAGCUUUUUUGAAGAAACCCAAAUAGUAUUUGCAACUCUGAAAGAAUCAGAAAAAAAAAGAACAGAGCUUUGUACCUGAGAAACAACGAUAUGCCUAGCUCCAUUAACAGCAUCCAAACCCCCGUGUACGUGUCCAUGUCCGUGUCCAUGCCCGUGCCCAUGAGCAUGAGCAUGACCAAUGUCGAUUUUACUGUGUCCUUCACAUGAAUCAUGACCAGGAGGAUGACUAUGUCUAUGAUGAGCAGCAUGAGCAUGAAUGCCAACAAUGUGAAUCCCACCACUGUCUUCUUCACCAAACACUUUCCCAUCAUUCGUUCCUUCUCCAAUCAUGGGAACAACAAUACCCGGUGAUUGUUCACGGCCAAACGGUUCAACAGACUCACUAGCUUCCCUCUCUUGCUUCCGUUCAUAGUACUGAGUCCCCAUGAAAUCCACAAACAGAGUGAUCAAAGCAGCAAUCAUCGCAAAGAAUCCCGGGAAAGGAAACUUAGACCAAGGGAAAUCCGGUAAGCACGGGUUCUUCAAAGCUUCCGUGCCACCCGCCAACAUAUGAACAAAACCCGUGGCGAGAAUCACACCAGCUGCAAAAGCUUUAGCAGUCACAAAGAGAUUACCAUCAGUUUGAAGGAAACGACGGUUCCUGCCAAUGAGUGGUAUAGUUACACCAGCAGCUCCAGCUAAGAGAAUCGAAGCAAUGGCUACAAAUUUAAGUAGAAAUGCAGCGGAAUCAUCACGACAAAGAUCUGACUCGCUAGCAUUGCAAAGGACGUUAGAUGAAGUAGCAGCCAUUGCCUCAGGAACUAUCUGCAAAAUGGACUCUGUUGCUGUUUUUAAAAAAAACAGAGGACCAUUUAACAAAUCAAGCAUAUCAGAGCAAAUUCAAUAUUACAUUAGUAAAUAAACCUAGCAAUGGAUAAGAAAUUGCGAGACUUUGAAUCAAAUCACAUGUAAAGACAUCAAAAUAUGAACCUUUAAGUCAAAUGAAAUAGUUGACGAAGUGUUCGAUGAAAUACCUGAGAGAGACUUUGUUUCUGAUCCGAACAAGUAUAGAGGAACCAGUUUCCAAAGAACCUAAAUAAGAAAACCCAGAAUCAGUUUCGGUAAUCAAAACAACAAACUUCAAUCGAAACAAUCAAAAUUCUGAUUGAUUACGAACAUCGACGAAGAACAUUUGGGGUCUAAGAUGUCCUCGGGAUCAUGAAAAGUGAAGAAAUAACGUAGGAUUCUCGCAAUCCGAAAAAACACGAAUGGGAAUUAAAUAUGAGAAUCAGACAGAUCCAUCUGAUGAUGAAAUCAGACAAAAGCAAGUUGGAGAAAGAUACAAGUAAUGUCGACAUCGUGAGGAAGUUUGCAGUUGAGAAACGGGUUAGAGUCUUGGCAUAGAAGAUACAAUUCUUCCGAAUAUUGUAGCCACACGCCAACUAAAUGUCGACAUUUUGUUGUAAUUUCAUUUUUUAUUCAUCUUUUUUUUUUGGGUUAAAUACAAUAUUACCCUUCAUCAAUACUUUUUGGAUUGUAAAACAUAUUGGGUUUGAAUGGUAACACAAUACACUUUUGUACAGUUUUGAUAGUUAUCAAUCAUAAAAACUUUAUCAAAAACGUUACAAAAAGUUUUACUCUCAGCUUUUUUUGUAGAGCUCGUUCUAAAAGUUUUGCACUGUUCCGAUAAAGCUAACAUCUAAAAUAUUUAUACAACUUUUGGUUACCAAUCAGAUCCAUUAUUUGAUUAAAAAAUGUAAUGGUUACGGUACUAGUAAAGUAUAUCUCACAGUUGAAAACUUGAAAUAGUAAAAAAAAAGUAUCCCUACCUAAACCCAUUUGGCCUAUUGCAAAUUUGCAAUAAUACAUCAUACUUUUAGCUUAUGAGCAUCUCGAACAGGUAGAUGUUGAAUUAUAUUUUAAUCUUAGGUAUAUACUGUAUGUUGUAAUUUAAUUGUGUAUGGAACAUGAAAAAGAGUGAAGAAAUCACCAGAGAAUUGUUUGACCUUAAGAACGGUAACUAUCUCCCAAGUGCAAAGUAACUUUUAUAUUUAAGAGUAUAGUCACUCAACUACAAGAGACAAAACACACAUUCACCAUGACAAAAACAACCAUUAUUACCGAAGAGCAAAACACACAUCAUUUCAUAAGUGACCUUGUCAAAUGUUCUCUUGCAGUCGCGAGUGCUUGACUUAUCGUCUGAAGGAAAAAAAAAACACCGCAGAGAAAUGUAUCAAGUUCAUUAGUGAUGGUGUUACUUGAGAGUUCGGAUCAAUGUAACUAUUUCAAAGUUUGUAUCAAGAUGAUGUAAUUAUCAAGAAAAAUAUGAUCACAAUUUCAAAACCACUGUACCUGCUCGGAUAGAGGAGCGUUAGGGUCAGUGCUAUUGAUCCCUGCUUUACCUGCUAUUACAUUUGCAUCCGUCUCCAGAACAAUACUGAAAUAUAAGAUAGUUUUAUUUGACUAUGUAACCUAUGAAACAGUCCAUUUAUGAUCUAAUGGUUUUAGUAAUGUCGAAAAGAAGAUUUUUUUUUAUACCCGCCAUCGAUAAUUUCAUCAAAGCUUAGAAAGAUGAGAUCAAGGUUGUCUAGUGCCUCUCUCUUAUCAACAUUGCUUCUGUAAUUUGGGUUCAGAAGAGAGGAAGAUCGAAAAUUUGAGCGAAGUUGGGAAUGUAGAAAUAAUAUAACAAAAAUUUGAAGCUAUGAUUAGACAAACCUAAGGAGAAGGGUCACUGCAUCAAAGAGUCCCUCAAGCACACUGGCUAAGAUAAGCUCGUUUUCCUCUUCACCGCCCGUAACAAAGAAAUGGAGAUCUUGCACAAAUUUGUACACAACAAUGUUGUUCUCCAGUGCUGUCACUUCCACUACAUAUCAAGAACUAGCAAUUGUAAUGACGGAAAAGAUUUGAUAAAAGAUACUCAACAAGUACACUAUGAAGUAUCUAAAACAUGGUUGAUGUCGAAAUCUACCUUCGGUCCUAGCAUUUGUUUUCUGAGUCUUUGUAAACACGGAUUUUUCGAACGCUUCCUGAGCUGAAUUUGUUGGCCAGUCAUCUGAGUAAUACUUAACCGCUACACGCUUUCCUUCAGAAUCCAAAAGCAAGAUGUUUUUCACUUUUGGGGGCAAUUCCUAAAUGUAAGUAAUGAAAACACAGAAUAGAAUAAAGAUUAAGAGAUAUUGAAAAUCACCAACCAAAAGAUGUAACAGAACAUGAAUCAGUGAACAGUAACAAUCUCUUUUCUGUAUAUAGUACAAUUAGCUAUCCACAAUUGUCUAACACCUAAUGAGUGAUUAUCUGAAAAUCAUGCGUAACUUCAAUCAAAUUUUUUAUAUGACUAAAGAUUUAAGACGAUCGUAUCUAUAGAUGAAAACAAUUACAAAAUCUGAAAUUUGUCACUUCUCACAUGCAUGUAAAGUAUUACAAUAUCGCAGAUAAUAAAACAUAGGAAUGAUCGGUGCAAUAGAAACAGAGAAGAAAUCUCUGAAAUAAAAGAAGUUUAGAAAAAUAGAUUCAUACCAUGGCUUAAGGAGAAGAAAUCUGCAGAGAAUGCCCUAGUAAUAAAGAAAAACUCUCCUUUGGACUUUGGCAGAGGAAAUUUUCAGAAAACGUUACAAAUUGGCAAAUUCAUAUUUUCAGGAAUAUUAAUUUUCUUUUACUAAAACACUCUCUCUUUUUUUUCUCUCUUAAUUAUGUAAUUAAUUAGUUGCUUUUUCUUUUUCUGGUCAACUUUGAUUUGUUUUUCUUGUGACAUCAGUCAACUUGACAUUGGAAGCGAAGAAUCCAGAGUUUCCAGAUGUCAUUACUCUGUCUGGUUUUCUCUAAACCGGUUCCUGAUUCAGUCCGGACCGAGAUUUGGGUAAUAUUUGGUACACUCUUCUCUUGGGCCGUGUGGAUCUUGGGAACAUUAAAACGGGUCUUACUCGACCCGGCUUAAUCAUCCGAAACUCUGUCAGCCCAAGCAUGUGCCUCCACAGGCCCGCCUAAGUUAUUUAUGAUAAAUUAGUUCUUUUUUGGUAAUUAAGAAAAAUCAAGCAAUUACAAACGGACCUGUGACCACUUCUAAUCCUACUAUAUUAUUUGGAAAAUACAUUUUAAAUGUAACCUUAAUUUUUGUAAGUAAUUAUAUAGGUAUGCCAUUAGAAAUAAAAUUUUAAAAAGUAAAUUAAUUUAUCUCUUUAAGGAUUAAAAAGUCAAAUACUAAUUUAAUUAAUUAAAUUAAUUAAAAAACGAAAUAUAUUAUCAAUUUCCAAAAAUAAUAGCCAAUUAAAAUCAACAUAUAAGAUUUGAUAUCUAAAUUUUAAUUAAUUUAAUUUAAUUAGAAAAACGAAAUACAUUAUUAAUUUCUAAAAAAAGUAACCAAUUAAAAUCAACAAACUAUAUUUGGUAUCUAAAUUAUCAUAUUAAUUUUUUAUUAAUUAUUAUUGUUCACUUCUCAUCUUUAUAUGAUUCUAUUUUUACGGAAAAAUAAUAUCAUCAUUAUAAAAAAAUAAUUAGAGUUUUUUCGCAUAUGCCAUAAUUUGAAUUUUUAAAAACGAAUAAAAACUGUUCAAUACAUGAAAUAAUAUUGUAACGGGUGAAAAAUAGAUUUAAGAAAACUUUCUACUGAGUAACGGGACAUAAAUUUGAAAUAUUUAUAUUCAAUUUCAUACAUAUUAUAUUGAAAAUUUAUAAUCUUAUAUACUACAAUAGUUAAUAACAUAUCAGAUGUGAUUCAAUUUUUAAUACAAGCUGGAAAAUCCUAGAAUUGACGGGUUUAGAUCGAUAUUAAUACAAGAUGAUAUACUACAUGUGAAACUCUUAAAUUAACAAUCAAACUACAAGUGUAUAAUCUAUAAUCUUAAACACUAAACAAUAUAGAUAAUAUCAACAAAACAUAUACAACUCAUAUUUACUAUACAUUUAAAAUCAAAUAAAAUAAUAUCAUAUAUUUUUAAAUCAUCUUUACAAUAAAAGUUUUUAGUUUAACUAAAAUAUAAGCCUACCUGCGGUAUACUGCAGAUUAAUCUCUAGAUUAUAGGACUUAUUGGAUCUAAAGACGGGUCAUCAAAGAUUUUCUAAACUGAAGCAAAAUAUACUGAAUAUUCAAAUAUCUAUCUGUUACCAAAUUAUAAACAAAUAAGUCAAUUUAAUAUUUUAUAUAUGAAAUCAAUUAAAUCUUAAUCACAUAAAAUUAGCACAAAAAAAAGUAUUCAACAAUUAAAAAAUUACCAAAUCUUUGUGUUAUAUAAGUUUUGAUACUAUAUUUGAAUAAAGUGUAAUAUACCUUUUUAAUUUGUAUUCUUUAACUAAUUUAAGCUAACUAAUAUAUUUGCUAAUCUUAUUAUCAAAACCGACUAUCGUUUCUUAUCUCUAUAGUAUUUUUACAAGACUUUUUUGGUGGAUUUGGGUAAAAAUGCAUUCGGGUCAUAUGGUACAUUCCCCUAUUAAAUAAAUAUGGUGCACUCCUAUGUUAUUAGCUAAAAUGUUUAGAUUAUAAUUUAGAGUCAUAUCAUUAAUAAAACUAAUAUUAAUAAAAUAAAUGACUUUUUGGCAAGACGGAUUUGGAGGGACAGGUUUUUGAAUCAACAUUAAUAAAAAAAUAAAAUAUAAUUAAUCCACCGUUUCAAUAUGGGUUUAAUCUUUAAUUUAUGAUUUUUUAAGACCACUAAUAUUAAACAUAUCAAAUCAUCCUAAUUUAGAAAAAAUUAUAUAAAACCAAAAAUGUUAUGUGGUAUGUAUAAUGUUACUAUAUAUAAAAUUAAACUAUAAAAUAUAAAUGUAUUAGAGAAUGAUACAAUUUGCAAAACUUUUAUAUAUAAAAAAUAAUUCUAAAAUUUUAAAAAUUACUACUUUUAAAAAAAAUCAUGGGACGGGUAAAGAAAUUACAGAACGUGUUUUAUUUUGGAAUUGAGUUAUAUGGUGGAUGUAUUUGAAUCAAUAUUUAUAAAAUUUUAAAAUAUUAUUAAUAUGCUGUUUUAAUAGGGGUCAAAACUUCAGUUUUUUACCAAUUGUCUCAUGAAUUCGUGGUAUAGCGUUACUUAAUAACAAUUAUAAACUGUAAAAUAUAAAUAUUUUGUAAAAAUAAAAUUUACAAGUUUUAAUAUAUAUUACUUUUAAAACUAAAUCGUCCCGCGGUAUACCGCGGGUUAAAAUCUAGUUGCUAGUUUAUUGUUGAUUACAACGACAUUGAGAAAAUAAUCACUCACCAGCUAAUCAACAAUAAAUGUAACAACAUCAAAAAGAUUGUAAUUCAAGAUAAUGAUUUUUUUUCGUCAGCAAAUGAAGAUUAUACGUUUUGAUGUUAUCAUAAUAAUAAUAGUUAUCACUAAUAAAAAAUUUAGAUAUGUAAAAGCUUUAGAGAAACAAGUAUCAUAAUCCUAAAUUGGAUCCUAAAUUAAUAUUUCUUAUCUUAAUAGAGCCAAAGAGUAUUUGAUCCAUUUGGUAGAAAAUAAAUAUAACUAAAAACGAAUAAUCUAAAGACUUAAGUCUUUGUAAGAUCCAAAUAAUCUAUACGUGGUAGUAGUUAUCCUCACUUAAAUUUUUACAGAUCAUGAUUCCUAUUCCAUCAUUUUAUGUAUAUAUAUCCGUGAUAGGUUUCAUGAUCUGUAAAUGUCACUACAGCCCCUAUAAAUGUCACUCUUCACCUGUCCAUUUUUUUACACGACAACACUUGCAAAAGAAAAGAGCGAUAAAUUUGAUGAAACAUCUUUUAGUCUCUACCUAAAAUGGAAUGCAUCAUAAAGCUCCCUCAAAGAUUCAACAAAAACAAAUCCAAAAAGAACCCUUUGAGGAUCUUCGAUUCAACGGUUCUAAAUCAUCAACCAGACCAUAUACCUCAAGAGUUUGUAUGGCCUGACCAUGAGAAACCUUCCAAAAAUGUUCCAAUCCUCCAAGUCCCUGUCAUCGACCUCGCAGGCUUCCUCUCCAACGACCCAUUAUUGGUCUCGGAGGCUGAAAGACUCGUCUCUGAAGCAGCAAAGAAACAUGGUUUCUUCCUAGUCACCAACCACGGAGUUGACGAGAGGCUUUUGUCUACUGCCCAUAAGCUUAUGGACACAUUCUUUAAGUCACCGAAUUAUGAGAAACUAAAGGCUCAGAGGAAGGUGGGUGAAACCACAGGCUACGCUAGUAGUUUUGUAGGGAGAUUCAAGGAGAAUCUUCCGUGGAAGGAAACGCUAUCGUUUUCGUUUUCCCCGACGGAGAAGAGCGAAAACUACUCCCAAACCGUUAAAAAUUACAUUAGUAAGACAAUGGGAGACGGAUACAAAGAUUUCGGGUAUAUAAAAAUAUAUUUUUUUCCUUCGCCUUUACUAUUACGUUUACGUUAUCGAUAUACUACGUAUAAUGCAAGAAGACUAAAAUAGUUGGAUUUUGUCCAUGCAUUUAUGCAGGAGUGUUUAUCAAGAAUACGCGGAGACCAUGAGCAAUCUCUCUCUAAAGAUCAUGGAACUUCUUGGAAUGAGUCUUGGUAUCAAAAGGGAGCAUUUUAGAGAAUUUUUUGAAGACAAUGAAUCGAUAUUUAGAUUAAAUUACUAUCCAAAAUGCAAGCAACCAGAUCUUGUACUAGGUACGGGGCCUCACUGCGACCCAACCUCUCUAACUAUACUUCAACAAGAUCAAGUCAGUGGUCUUCAAGUUUUUGUGGACAACCAGUGGCAAUCAAUCCCUCCUAUACCUCAAGCAUUGGUGGUGAACAUUGGCGACACUUUAAUGGUAACUUUUUUUUUGUUUUUCUUUCGUUUAAGAUCCAGCAUGGAUGAGCGCAAUUUGUUUUUUUAAAACACGUUUGAAAAUUGGAGUCCCAAAUUUCCCUUAAUUUUAUUUUACAAAACAUUCUUUUGAUAUAAAUUUGGUAGAAAACCUUCAAAUAGUUUGAGAAAUCGAGACAGAUUUAAGAAGUUUGAUCAAUGCACCUCUCGUUUGACAAAAAAAAAGAAGAUCAAUGCACCUCUCUAAGUAGUAUGUGAGAAUUGAGAACUAAUAAUAUAGAAGAAGCCUAAUUUUUUAAAAUUUUUUUUGGGGGAUUUGACCAUAGGCUCUAACGAAUGGAAUAUACAAGAGUUGCUUGCAUCGGGCGGUGGUGAACGGCGAGACGACAAGGAAGACACUUGCAUUCUUCCUAUGUCCGAAAGUGGACAAAGUGGUGAAGCCACCAAGUGAAUUAGAAGGUGAGAGAGCGUAUCCCGAUUUUACAUGGUCUAUGUUUCUUGAGUUCACAAUGAAGCACUAUAGAGCAGAUAUGAACACUCUUGAAGAGUUUACAAAUUGGCUCAAGAACAAAGGAAGUUUCUGAAGAAGGAUCUUGGUAAGAGCUAGGCAGGACACAAUAUGUGUUGUGGCGCAGCAAGUAAGUAAGUAACUUUUAGUAUUUUGAAGACGUUGCUAGGAACUUAAGUUUCAUUCGUUUUACCAUAGAAAAAAAUAUAAGCUAUUUCUAAAGUAAUCUAAAUUGUGAAGGAUAUGUUAUUUCAUUAAAUGAAUAAAUUUUAUCGAUGAUAUAAUAUAUCCAAAAUGACCCAUCAUAAUAUAAACUAUUCACAAGCCAAUGAGUCUGAAAAAAGUAUUUUUGCUAUUCAACAAGAAGUAUACAGGAAAUAUAUAAAAUAUUAAUUUACUUAUGUUAUACAUUAAUUGACUAUUUUAUGAAAUUUUAAUAUUCUACUUAUUUUGUUAUGAAUAGAAAUCUAAUAAACGAUUUAAAUAAAAAAAUGUAUAACAAAAAAUUAAAAAAUCAUAAUAAGUUUCAGAAACAAGAGAAAUAUUUUUUAAAUGAAAACUUUGAUAAAAUUUAGAUAUCUAGAAUUACUUUUUACAAAUAAAAAAAACUGAAUUGUGGCGCAAAUUUUAGAAGGAUCUAUCGGAAAUAAAAAAAAUACUAUGGAAGAAAAUGUAAAACCUACAGCAAACGAUACGUCAAUAAAAAUGAUAAAUUUGUAAUUGAAAAUAAAUUCUUAUAUAUUUAAUAAAUUUAAAACAUCUACAAUAAAACCUGUAUAAAUCAAUAAUAUUAGGGUCAAUGUAUUUUACUAAAUUUAUUAAUUUAUCAUGUUUCUUAAUUUAUAGAGGUGAUAUUUGGGCCAAAAUAUCAAUUUAGGACUGGAGAAAAUUAUUAAUUUAAGGAAGUAUUAAUUAUAGAUGUCAUAUUGUAACUAUUUUGAGUGAAAUGAGCUAAAUUUUUGGGUAAGAAAAUGAUUAAAUGCAUUUGACUAUUUUCAAAAUAAUAUUGGUAAUGGUUUCUUUACAGUUAUUGUUUAAUAGAAAAGUUUAACCAAUAUAUAGCUUACUUAAACACUAAUUGCCUUUUUAAGUCUCACCAAUUUACUAGAUUCCAAAACAAGUUUUAAUAUCAUGUAUGGUCAAACAUGUGUAGUUAUAUAUACAUUGAGCUACUAUAUACAUGUCGAAUAUUAGAACUCACAAGUCAAAACAACAUACAAGCAAGAUCCAGAAAAAAAACUUGGAACAAAAAAAGAUGAAGUUAGCUGCAAUUUUCUUGGUUUCUUGUGUCUUAUUGUCUCUUCUCCCAAGCCUAACCAUUGCGGAGAAAAGGCCGUGGUGUCCAACAAGAAAACAAAUAUUUGAUGGUUCAUGCAAUAGAACUGAUUACACACAAUGCUUUAACGACUUAAGAAAUACAUGGGAUGAUAUUGGAGAUCUUUGUCCGACCGAUUGCACUUGCACUCCUCAACCACAGAAUAAACGUCUCUGUUAUUGUCGUUACUUGCCUUGUCCUAGUACCUAAAUCCUCCAAUAUGAUCAGAGAUGUCCAAACCAAAACUGAUUGUUCUCAUGUAUCCUAAAUAUUUUCAAUAAUAACAAUGAUUUAAAUUUCCGAUGAGAACUCACAAAACAUAUUCACAAUUAUUUUAUUAUCACAAACUAAUUUGGAAAUUUAGUAUAGCUUUAUAUCCCUUUGGCUACAUAGAUAAACUAGUUUUCAAAUGGUUUUACACAGUAGGCGUAUACACAUGUAGCCAAAAGGAUAGAGUUAAGCAAUUUUUUAUCUCGGGAUAAUCGAUCUUUAGCCUAAACCAAUAUGGCUACUCUAUCAUCAGACUAGAACCACUAGCUCACCACCUCAGAAAUUAUACCAAAAAGUUCAGAAAAGGUUACAAAUCCUAAUCCCAAGGUCAAGUAUGUUAUAAACCCUAGAAUUUUUAUAAGGGUUGUUUGCCUCUGUUCCCUCUAAUAUAGUGUUUCAACUAGGUUUCCACUGUACUUUCACCCUCUUCCCAUUUCCCCUUGAAGUAUUGAUAUUCUUUCCAAUUCCACCUAAUUUUAUACAAUUCAACCCAAUGAAUCAAAAUCAAAUUUUCUCCCUAAUUACGUUUUAAAAUCACUAAAUCGCGUUUUAAAAUUGAUUAGUUUCAGUUAAACCGAUAAUCCGGCCACAACUUAUUAACCCAAGUUGAACCCUCUGUUUGACAAAGAUGAUUAGAUUUAUUACUUAGAACCCAAGGCGGAGAAAAUUAUAAAAUUAGAGUUUGUUUUCUUAUUUGGAAUGAAAUCUCUUUGUACUGUUAUAGAUGGACAAACUUUUGAAAAAAGAUCCUUAAUAUCUAAUUUUCCUAAAUUUUUAGAAUCAAAAUCCAAGAUAUACUGCAGAGAUUUGAAAUCCACACAAAUGGAUUCUUAAAAAUAAUAUCAAAAUUUAAUCGAAACUUUAAAGAAUUGAAUCUGACUACAUGAUUGAAUAGCAAAGUAUAUAUUGUAAUACAUUAUUUCCAUAAAUAUAAUAUUAUAAUCUACUUCUUUUUUUAACAAUAAUAAUUUAAUAAAAUAAAUGAAAAUAGUGUUAAAAAUAGAAAACAAUCAUGAAAUUUCAAUGAAUUUUCCUUAGGCCUCUAAUAUGAUAGAUAUGCUCUGUGUAUAUAUUUAAAAUAAGUUCUUUCUUGGAGACAAUCACAAGCUCAUAAACAUCACAUAAGCAAAGAAAAACAAAAGAGAGAAGAAACUUGCAAAACAAUAUGAAGUUUGCUGCAAUCUUCUUGGUUACUUGUGUCUUCUUCUCCCUUUUCUCAAGCAACCUUUCACAAGGUUUUUUAAUCAUUUUACUGAAGUUACCAUUUUGCUCAUUGAAAUUCGGUUGUCCUAAACUAGUUUGGUUUAACUCUUUGUAUUGUUGUUGAAUAAUAAGGUGAAAAAUUAAGCAUGGAUCCUACGAGGAGGCCGUGGUGUCCGUCGAAAAAACAAAUGUUUGGUGGUAAUUGUGGAAACGAUGGAGACUCUCUAUGUCUAAUGCUCUUAGCAGCUAGUUGGGAUGAAAGUUUAAGGCAUAGCUCCAUCUCCUGCAAUUGCACUACUUAUCCUAACUACAAAAUUCUCUGUAGUUGUCCUAAUAUGAUUUGUCCCUAGAAAACAUCUAUAUAAGACUCCAAACUGUUACGUUGUUCUAAAUACUUUUUCUGCGUAUCAAGAAUAAUGUUUUAGGUUCUAAUGAAAAUCCCAAAGAUGAUAUACUUAUUUACAAAGAAUUACGAUAUUCUACAUGCACCACAUUCAUGAUAGUUUUAAAUUUGUAUCAAACAAAACCUCAUCGAAUACACUACACUUUGGCUCUUUAUUUCAAGAACUUAAAAGUGUCUACCACUUUUAGUUAAGUUUUGCACCAAAUGGAGAUCAAGGCCCUUACUCCCAUCUUCGAAGGUGGGCUGUCAAAGCUUGAACAAGUGUUCGAAGGCUUAAAUCACUGAUUGGUAAAUAUGCAUAGUUACAUAAUCUAUUUCUCUUAUUUGUUUUUCUAUGUGUGAGUAGUUGUCCAAUUGGGUUUUAGGGUUCUAAGGGAAAGAGUCAAUGAAUAAGUGAAUUGAUUGUCAUUAAGAAUUCUCCAUCACUAGGUUCUUGGAUUCACAUUCUCUUAAUGAUAAAAUAGAAAUGAUCACCCUAUUUUAGAUGAUAAGUUUUUAAAUGCAUCAAAAGUGUUCGAUAAAAUGCUUGAACGAUUGUAAAUUGAGCAAUGUAUUUCUAACCAAUGAGAAUUGAUGUUAGAACGCAUUGUGAACCAAAUAAACUUGUUUGAUAAUGCGAAUUUGACUAGAAAAUUACAAAUAAAAUUUUAUUACUCGAGUAUUAAAAUGUAGUGGCUAAAGUCUUGAAAAGAAUUAGUUUAAACUUGCGUUUCAUGUUCGAGAACAUUUCUUCAUUACUGAAUUUCGUAUUAUGUGCUGCUAAUUAUUGUUCUUUAAAAUACCCUAUAACCCAAUUCAUUAAUUUAAUCUAUUAUUGACUUUGCAAAUUUAUUCAAAAAUGUGAAAACCAACAAACAAACUUCAAAGCUUUAACCUAGAACGAAUCUCACAAUUCUUUAGUGUAUAUAUAUACUAUUACUACCUUGUGAUUAAGUUUAUCGAGUAGUUAUUCGAGCAUUCAGUAUAAGAUAGAGAAUAUGCCAAAGAAGAAUCUAGAGCCAUAUAUAGAGGAUACCAGAGAACAAUCUAUUACACAACUGAAAGCCCUAAGAUAAAAGCUUGAAAAAACCUUUAAAACAACCACAAAAGAUAAGUCGAAUUAGAUUUAAACCGGAAAAUUAAUAAUAAUAAUUACCAUUAUUUCUUAUUUUUAUACGUACUUAAAAUUUAUAAAUAUUAUUCAGAAGUUACAUACUUAUAUAUUUGAUAGAAUUUUUUUUUCUUAUAUACGAAAAUGAGUUGUUAGAAUGUGAAUGAGUAUAUGUAAAAAAGUAGAGAUUCUGUCCAAUUCACCCAUCUGUCAAUUAUUUGCUCAUUUUUCCUUUCUAUUAGUCCAAAUUAGUUUUCAAUAUAUAAGAUGAUGAUAUAUUAAGAAUUCAUAUAUUUCACUAAGUUCUUAGAAAUUUUUAUAUUUUGAAACUGCAUCAAUAUUUAAUAUGAUGCAAGAUAUCCCACAUUUAUGCUUUUAAUUUGAAAUAUAUCUUUUUGUAAAAUCUAAUAAUAAAUACAUAGAUAACAAAACAAUGAUUUUAAAUAGAUAAGUAACUAAAACCAUUUGAAAGUGAUGAUUGAUCUAAUUUAGGUUUUUAAAAACAUUAAUAUAAUAAAUGAAAAUGUUGUUAAAAAUAGAAAACAAUCAUGAUAUAUUUUAAAAUAAAAGGCCCACAUUUAAAUGAAUUUUCCUUUUGGCCUCUACUAUAUUAAAUCUGCUAUGUAUAUAUUUGUGAAAUAUAAGUUCUUUCUUGGAGACAAUCACAAGCUCAUAACAUCACAUAAGCAAAGAAAAACAAAAGAGAGAAAAAACUUACAAGAAAAUAUGAAGUUUGCUGCAAUCUUGUUGGUUACUUGUGUCUUAUUCUCCCUUCUCCCAAGCCAUCUUUCACAAGGUCUUCUAAUCAUUCUACUGAGAUUACCAUUUUGCUCAUCGAAAUUUGCUUGACGUAAACAAGUUUGGUUUAACUUUUUUUUUUUUUGUUGAUGAUGAAUUAGGUGAAGAAUCAAGCAUGAAUAUUGAUGCGCAGAGAAGGCCAUGGUGUCCGUCUAAAAAACAAGUGUUCGGUGGUUCGUGUGGAAAUGAUGGAGCACAACAAUGUCUAAAUAACUUAUUAAGUACAUGGGAUCCAAGUGUAAGGCUUAGCCCAGUCUCCUGCAAUUGCACUCCUCAACCUAACAACAAUAUUCUUUGCAGUUGUCCUAACAUGAUUUGCCCAUAGAAAACGUCUAUUUAAGACCCAAACUGUUGUUCUAAAUCAUUUUUAUCUGUAUCAAUAAUAAUAAUAUAUGUUUCAGUUUCUCGUGAAAACCCCGAAGACUUGAUUUCAGUAUAAAUGUGGAAACAAGUUGUUAUUUUGGGAUAUUAGUAUGUAUUUGUGUGCAAUUUUAAGUACUUGUUGUCAAUGAUCAAAUAUUCGGUUAAAACGAAUCGAGACAAUUUUUCUGGAUAUUCGCUUCGUGCCCAGACCUAGUUGUCAUUAUUUAGGAACAACAAAAUUUAAUUGCUAAUUUGGAUUUAUCUUGCGUCCAAAUUCUAGUACGCAUAUGAUUCAAAAAUCGUCCAAAAUGGAUGCAAUUCAGUCUAGUCAACGUGAAUAAAAAAUAUCUCUCUUUUUUUCUUAAACACCAUGUUUUGUUUUGUGAACUAUAUAGCUUUGGGUCUUAAACAUCAUCUUUUUUUGUUAGGGCAAUGACAUAUAUCAAAAUACGACUCCAAAUUUUUACAGGCCAUGCCAGAUUCAAAUAUAAUAUAUGCCUGGUUUUGUGGGCUUAGGGUUCAGACUAGGCCGAGUUAGCCCGAUUGACAUGCCUAGUAAUUUUUUAAAUUUAUGUUUUUAGUUUUAAAUCUAUCUUUUGGAAAAAAUCUAAUAAUAAAUAUAUAGAUAUCAAAAGAAUGAUUCUAAAUAAAUAAGUAAUCAAUACCUAUUUUACGUGAUGAUUUAUCCAAUUUUGGUUUGUUAAACAUUAAUAUCACAAAUGAAAAUGUUGUUAAAUAUAGAAAAAAAUCAUGAUAUAGUUUCAGAUAAGGCGAUAAGGGCCACAAUUUAGUGAAUUUUCCUUGGGCCUCUAAUAUGUUGGAUCUGCUCUGUGUAUAUAUGUAAAAUGUAAGUUCGUUCUUGGGACAAUCACAAGCUCUUAACAACACAUAAGCAAAGAAAAACAAAAAAUAGAAGAAACUUGCAAGAAAAUAUGAAGUUUGUUGCAAUCUUCUUGGUUACUUGUGUCUUAUUCUCCCUUUUCCCAAGCCACCUGUCACAAGGUCUUCUAAUCAUUCCACCGAAGUUACCAUUUUGCUCAUUGAAAUUUGGUUGACCUAAACCAGUUUGAUUUAACUCUUUUAGUUGUUGUUGAUCAAUUAGGUGAAGAAUCAAGGAUGAAUAUUAAUGCGGAGAGAAGGCCAUGGUGUCCGUCUAAAAUACAAAUGUUUGAUACUAAUUGUGAAGUGGAUGGAGCAAAACAAUGUCUAGAUCUCUUAAUAAGUACUUGGGAUCCAAGUGUAAGGCUCACCCGAGUCUCUUGCAUUUGCUCUGAUUUUCCUUACAGGAAUAUGAUGUGUAGUUGUCCUAAUAUGAUUUGUCCCUAGAAAACGUCUAUAUAAGACCCAAACUGUUGUUCUAAAUCAUUUUUCUAUGUGUCAAGAAUAAUGUUUCAGUUUCUAAUGAAAAGCUAAACAAUGAUAUACUUAAUUUGUUACAAAGAAUUACGAUAUCCUACGUAAUUCUCAUCAAACAACACCGCAACAAAUAGAUUGUAACUAUUUGGUAAGCUUAUCUCCUUGUCGCUUUGGUCCAGUGGUAAAGGAAAGUAAUUUCCGCCACUUGUGUUCGAGUAAUAUUGGCUACUGGGAUUCGAGUAAUUUAAUAUGGUUUCCCCGAACCCGAAGAAUAGUUUUUGGGCCGUGGAAACCUCAUAGGAUCACCUGAGUUAUUAUUAAAAAAACAACAACAAACUUAUCUCCAUUAACAAUUCACAUUUUCUCCGAAUGGAAGAACAAUAAACCUUUGGGUCUUAUUUUAAAAAAUCUUCUCUAAAAAUGUCUUUCACUUUUAGUUUAGUUUUGCACCAAAUGGAUAUUAAGGGCCCUUUAGGCCCAUCAUCAAGGUGGGCUAUUAAAGCCUAACAUUUCUUGAAGUGUACCAAGGCUCAAAUCACUAAUUGGUAACAUGCAGAGUCACAAAAUCGUGUCAAAUGAAAUAAUGUAUAGAACAGAAUGACGAAUGCAUCCACGACUGCAAGAUAGUGGAGAUGACAUAGUGAUAUAUUUGAUUUGGUCAUCAAAUUUUCAAUAGAAUAGCUAUAUUUUAGAAACAAUUUUGCAUAUUUGUUCAAUCCUACGUAAUCCUUAAACCAUUAUAGGAAUCAGACUGUAUUAUCCAUUAUCGUCUAAUGUUUCUCAAUAUUUUGUGCAUCCCUAACAAAAUAUCUACCUGCAUAGUUGUAAACAGAAAAUAAUCUUCUAACUGAUUUCAAAUUAACACCGGGUCAAGACAAAACAUUACGCAGGUGAAAGCGACCUAGCGCCUCCGCAUAUACCACUUUAUAGCUCAGUGCAUUUUGCUUUUGCUAUUAUUCAGAACGUGGUCCAAUGAGACUACAAUUCCACUUAUACAUCUAUUAUUAUGUUUCUUGAUUAAUAUAUUAUGCAUAUAAGAAAGUGAAGACUUUAGACAAAAGUAAGAAAUUGAAUAAAUAGGGGUAGAUGAAGUUAACUAACAUGUGUAGAAAAAAUGAGCUACUGAUAUUAUUGAAAAUAUACAAAAGUAACUAUCCACUUAUUGAAUAACUUGUUUUAGGAUAGAGAGAUUAUAUACAUUCUAAUGUAUAGGACUACCCAAAACAGCAAAACUCAUGAUACACUCCAAUAUAUGCCAAUAUUUUAAAUGUUAGUGCUUGUUUGGGGACAAUCACAUAAUCAUAACAAUUAUAAUAUAUAAAAGAACAAAGAAAAAAACAAAGAGAGAAAAACUUACAGAAACACAUAUGAAGUUGGCUGCAAUCUUCUUGGCUUCCUCUGUCUUACUCUCCCUUCUUCCAAUCCACCUUUCGCAAGGUUCUUCUUAUCAGUCUACUGAGAUUACAAUUUUUCUCAUCGAUCUCCGAUUAACCAAAAACUCUUCUUUUCGUUGAUGGAUUAGGUGAAGCUGCUGGGGAGAGAAGGCAGUGGUGCCCAUCAAAACAACAAGUGUUCAGAGGUUCAUGCUCAGACGAUGGAGGACAAAAAUGUCUAAAUGACUUAUUAUGGACAUGGAAUCCAAGUGUAAGGCUUAGCCCUAUCUACUGUGAUUGCACUCCUAAACGUCACAACAAGCGUCUCUGCGAUUGUCCUAGUAUGAUUUGCCUCUAAAACACGUCUAUUUAAGAUCCCAAACUGUUGUUCUAUCUUCCUAUGUAUCAUUAAUAAUGUUUCAAUUUCCGAAUGUAACAUACUCCAAAUCAAAAUAAAUGCAGAAACAAGUUUUGUUUCCGGUACCCGUGUGUUGUCCUUAUGUAGUUCCUUGCAUCAUAGCGUUUUUUCUUCUACUCAAGAACUCGAGUUGGCUGAUGGAGGAUGUUGCCGCGCUAGAUAAGGGACUUCAGAUACAAUCCCUGAAAUAUCUUCACCUACAGUCACUGUGUUGCCAAUUGAGGCUGCUUGUUUCUUGAUGUAGCCUAACCCGAAAUGGCCAGACCCGUUUUUUCCCCCAGUGUAGCUCGUUAGCUUCCCCACCUAAAAAUAAUGUUUAUAAGUUAGUUAAGUAAAAGUAUAACAAAAUUUGGAUUUUCUUCUUUGUUUUCGUUUCAAGCUACUAAGGUAUGCACACAAACGCUCAAAACCUUUUUCCCGUCGACUGUGAUGGUGCUGCCGGGUUCCGAUGGUGCAGAGAGAUUAAGUCCACAUAAUCUUUGCUUGAUUCCAUCAUAUGUCAUGAGUCUUGCUAUUGUCUCCUGUCCCUUAUAACAUCCUGAGAUGUUUGAAGAUUGUUUACUGAUAGGUGUUUAUUGUAUCAUUUUAGUUCAUUGAACAAAAGCUUCUCAAAUACCUUUGUUCAAUGAAAUCGAGUUCCAUAGGCCCGCCUCCAGAACAUUAAAUUCCUUGCUGAGUUCUCUCUCAGGUGCUGGUCUUCCUGCAAAACAUCAAUGCUUUUGGCCUGAGAAACAUUUUAUUUUCUCUGCGUAUUCACUACAUCAACAGUUCUGUAAGAUCUAACAAUUCUGAUUUCGCUAAUGGCAAGGCAAAGAUCUGAGAGCAUACUUAUGAACUUCUUGCCUAUAUUAGGUAAAUAUCGACCAAUCAUGCCAUUAGUAGGACUAUCGGACUAGUGGCUACAAAUUCAUGAUAUUAGAUUUUGGAGGUUAACGGGUGAUAGUAGUGUCAUCAGUGCAAAACCAAAUCGACAAAUACUUAUGGCGCCUGCAUUUGGACAAUAAUUUUUACUAACCUUGAGUGAUUCUAAGUUUCUCCCAGGCUACAGAACCCAUCGGAAUAGCACCUUCAGCUAAAAGGGUCUUCCAGACUGAAACGGCACCCCCUGGCGACAUUAACAUGGUAAAGCCUUCAUCUGAAAUAAGACUUCCGACCCCAACUGUUAUUGGCAUUCCAUCAAACUGACAAAGAAAAGGGCUUGUUACUUACAUGUUGCUUCACAAGAUCUGUUUCGAUAUUACAAAAAAAGACUUACACUAUAAUGCUGAUGCCUGCCAUAUGGCUGCCCAAUAAGAUCUCCCAGAUUCAGUUUAGACAUGAUCUGUUUCAUGUUUUUUACAGUAGCAUAAGAAUAAUGUAACUGAACUAGCAUAAAGACUAAAACAGAGAAAAUUUUACAAGGAUUAGUCAGUCUGCUUAAAGAAUAAUCUUACUUGGUUGCUUUUGGGUCCAGCUAAAGCAAAUAAGCAAGUUUGCUUGGUGAUGUCCUUGAUCUCUACCUUGUCAGCAAAGAAAAUGUACCUGAGAAGACGAAGAUGAGAAAUAAGUGAUGUCAUGGUUAUCCAACGAAAGCAGAUUUUCAAAGAAACCAGCAAAAAUGUUAUAUGUUAACAAGAUGAAACGUUUUAACAUACUUGUUGAGCAUCUCAAUUAUGCUUUGGCAUGUCGUUGGAGAAACAGUCAGCAAUAUUGCAUUUUUCUGGAAACAAAAAAAGGUAUGUUAAACAUAGAUUAUCAAUAUAUGAGCCACUAAAUGUGAACCCAAACUUAUCUUACUCCCAUAAGAAGAAGUAUUAUUACCAUGAUCCAGGCAUGUGCAAUAUCUAUCGUCCUUGCUGUUGGGGUAACAAAUACAGUGUCACAUCCCUUCACAAACGAGCAGAUAGAUCCACAAGUGAUUACCAAUCACAGAGGCAACAAUAUACACUCAAAUUCAAAUAUCCCUAAAAAGACUCACCUGUCCUUCAUAAAGGCUUUCAAAAUUGGCAGUGGUUUGGUUAUGAAGGAAAUGAGCACGGUCAUCUCCACUAACUUGAUGGAAAAUAGAUUAAAAAAAAAAAACUUAAGGUAGUAUUCAUAGGCAAAUUCAGAGCGAAAAGCUAAGCAAAUUAGAACGAAUUCAAUGUCAAAUAAGACAGCAGAUAAACAAGGAUAUACCUCGAAUUCUCCCAAAAUGUGAGAGGUCCACAACCUAUAAAGCAAGUUUUGAUCAAACAAAAAUGAUAAUGCAAAUCCAAAGAGCUCCAAAGUUAAGUUACAUACCACAACUCCAUUAUCAAAUGCAUCCAAAGCCUCAUCGUCGUUAUCAAAACUCUCAACAACACCAUCUUCAGAAACUUUACCUCCAGAAACACUUAUUGUAUCCUUCACAAGUCGAUAAGUAAAAAUGCAUUAGCAUUAUUAUACUACUCAGAAACUCCUAAUUCACAGAAAAAAUUCCAAUAACUGUUUCAUAGAGCUAGACUUUAACACUUUGCUGUUCAAAGAAAUUGAAAUUCGCAGAAGCAAACAAGUGAAGCUUACAAGAAAAUCGUGAUCAAUUGGAGGCGGAGAGAAAUCAAACUGCAACGAAUCGGAAGAAGCAGAGACGCAUCGGAGCUGAAACUUUCGUUCUCGGAAACCACACUUUCGGAGACUGAGGGAGCGCCGGCGAAGAACUGUUCCGUUGUAGAGACAUGGAAGUAGAGCAGUAUUGGUGAUGUGGCUCACGCUAUCUAUCCUCAUCAUCAUCGCCAUGUCCUUACAACUCUGGAGAAGGUUCAUAUAAAAUUGACAAGUUUAUUUAUCCUCCUCAUAUAUAUAACUCGUAUCUCUGAUUGGGUAAUUACUACUUACUCUACUGAUCACAUUUGUUGUUCUUUUUUUUUAUUAAUAUUUUAGGAACAUAUAAAAACAUAGAAAUGAUAAAAAGUAUUUUGCGAAAAUUAUGACUUUACCACAUUUUCUCAAAAGCUUUUCAGAAUCAUUUUUUUUUCUCCCUUCUUUACCAAUUUUUGAUCACCUUAAUAUUUCAAAAGCUAGUCUGUUUUUGGCCAGUGACUAUACAAGCAAACAAGGAACAAAAACCAGAGGCCAAAAAUACAAAAUAUACAGCAAACAAAGAAAAAAAAAACUUUAAUCAACUGAAAGAGGAUCAUGAUGCGGGUUUUGAGGUGGACUAGUAUCUGCAAACACUUGUGCUUCAUCUUCAUCUCUCACAUCUCUAAACAUCGAAAGAAACGAGUUAAGUCCUUCUGACGAAGCCCCGCCUAAAAUCCAUAGAAGCAUCGAGCUGAACGAGCUCAUUGCGCCUGCUUGUUGUGGGUUAGGCUCUGCAGGAACGGUGUUUGCUUCAUUCUCUUCUUGCUGCUCUUGAUAUUGUGCCGGAUUCCCGACACCUCCUCCAUCCGCUGUAAAAGAUCUUGUUUCCGUGUUUUGGUUUGGGGUUGUGUGGUUAGGACCAGACGGAGUUCGGUUUCUUGUUGUUCUGUUCAGCCUUGUGAUGUGAAGAGUUGAUGCUAGGAUUGUUGAGGAAGUGAUGUGAAAGUCUGGGUGUUGCUGAAGGUGUGACUGUCGGCUUUGAAGGAACCUCUGAAGAGCUGGUACCUGUAAUUUUGUGAUAAAAACUUUGAAUUGAAGCUUAGCUUCUCUGGAUUUGGCCAAUCUUCGAGUUGUUGGAAUCAAACGCGUACCUCAAAACGGUUCCAGAAGUAUAAAAUUAAGUGUUGCAUGAAUGCAGCGGUUGUCAUUAGGGCGAGAUAAGAAAAACCUGUGGAGAGUUAUGCAGUAAGUGAACGCGUCUGCAGUUUCAGUAGUUAAUGAGACAAAUAUAACGUAAAACCACAUCUCUUACCAUAUGCAUAUGAGAAGAAAUAAAUAUGGAACACCAAGAAGUACAGCAAGAAGAAACGCGGGAAGAACUUCAUCGAUAUUGGUGUCCUGACACUGCAAUAUAUGGAGGAUAAGAGUUUGUUAUUAUUCCAUUGAACAGCUACAAAAAAAACUUUAACUUGGCAGUGAGAUUAUCACGAGCAAAAGAGCUUCAUAGUGGAAAUACAGGUGACUGAGGCAAAAGAGGAGACCAAAACCUUAUCAGGGUGAAUAAUUCGCAAAGCCAGACAAGAACUAGAACCAUAAAAGCCAAUAGCUGAUCGUCGUAAAACUCAAACAGGAAGAACAAAAUCCCAAUCAUAAUCUGCAAUUUCAAAUAGUUAUAUCAUGUCGCUUAAGAGAAUCCUCUGAAAUCUUGGAAUAAAAAAGAACCAGGGUUAUGUAUGCAUACCGGUACAAAGACAAGCGAUUCGAUCACGUGUACAAAGAUCAACUGAAAUGUUGGUAACCGAUGCUGGGCAUGGUGUUGAAGCUGCACUGCAACAAAGUGAUAUCGAAACAAAGAUGAUUGUUGAGAAGCAAAGAUUGGAAACCAUAAGCUAUUGGAAUAGAAGAAAUUCUAACCUGUAAACUUCAACAUGCGAGUUUGUGUCUCUCGCAAUGUGAAUGAUACAGACAUUGUGGUUGUGAAAAACACAAAAAGUGACAUCAUUAGGACACCACAUUUCGUCACCAAGUAAUCUGCAUACACCGGCAUUAAAAUAUUACUCUUAAAGUAAAUGCUUACACCAAACUACAGAUAAAAGUUGCAAGAGCUAAUAAAGCAGCCAAGGUAAGAUCUUCCAAUCCAACGUAACGCUCAUAAUCGAUAGACUUGCGAGAUUCAAGGGAAAGUUUUCAACAUAUGCUGUUUCCGUGACAGAAAAUGACAAACCUCCGAAAUGCGCAGAACCGUCAGGAAGUUCUUGGGAGUAACUGAGAUUGUAAAAUUCUCUUGUCUGGUAGUUGUAUAGAUAACCUGUAAUGGAGGAAGUUGGCAGUCAUAUGGAGUGCAAACUGACGCUUUCACAAUAGCAUAUAGAAAGUAAGAAACAAUCAAAGGGACAUGAGCAGCGACAACGACAGAUGGAAAUAUCAUGUAACAGCUACCAACAACGACAUUGGUUAUUUUACAUUUUGCAAAGUCUUGCAUGAACCAAUAUAUUGCUGCACACUGAAAUUCGACUAGAAUUCCCCGAGGAUAACUUAGUUUAAAGUUACAAUAAGCUAAAUAGACAACCUCUUUUUAGUGGUAGCCUAACAUUUCAGAAAGAAACAGUUUCCGCACAAAAUACAAAAGAAAAGACAAACCCAUAGUUGAGGAAUUACAGGCUUCAAAGGAUGAGACCCACAAAUAGCAAAACUUGCAUGGACAUUAUGAACAAGACAAAGACCUACUGCCUACCUUGACCAGCAGAGUUCUGUAAGCUAUUCAUUAUAAUAGUAUCAUAUCCAACAACUCUGUUUAUAAGAAGUUGCUGCCACCUGAAAAAGUAAUCCAAUUUUAGAAGCUUAUCAUAAGGAUACAGCUCUAGCAAUUAAAAUCACUGUUUCCAAAUUGAGGGCCAAUAACGUGAAUAUUACCUGUUGCCAAAGCAGGGAUGCCGUGCCGAUAUGCUGACAUUUGCAGUGCGAAUGUUAUGCCGUGAUUUUGCUUCAUCAGGCAGCAAGAAGUAACCCUAUAUGGAAAAAGAACAACACAAUUGUGAGACCGAACCAGAAGUUCAACCGAAGAAUUCCUCAUUUCACAUCUUUCUUUGAUAAGAUGCUCCAGCAUUUUCCACUAGUGAGCUUUACAUUCUUGAGAGAGAAUAACGUUUACCUUUUCCAUGGUAUAUAGAUAUGUUGGCUCAAACUCUUGAGUUUUACUCUCAAGCCACUGAACUGAAAAAACAUAACAAACCAAUUAAACCAUAGCAGUUCAUAUAGACAUCUUCCCAUCCAAAGCACAAAAAACCAAACCUAUGUGAUUUUACUCUUCUAGUAGCUAAACCUCUCACAUGUAAAAUCGUAAAAAGGCUAUUAAGAAGGUGCCGUUUGACAGAAAUUUUAUAUGGUAGUUUGCGUAGCUCAAAACAAGGAAUGAUUUUCAAAAAGGAAAUGUAUGUAAUCAAUUCAUUUACAUGGUGUAAACGCUAAUCUUGAUAGGUUCAUUCAGAUGAUGAAGAACAAAACUAAAGUAAAUAUAAAAUCGAGAUUCUAUGGAGGUGGCUUUUACCUGCAUAGUAGUUGACUUUAUCCAUAUACAGUACAUGCAACAAUUUGGGCACAUCAAGAUUUAGCGGUAUGCCAAUGAUGUUCUGCAUUUAAAUUUGAAGAGCAAAAUAAUUUGUUUUAGUAACAAUAUAAAUAAUCAGGAUUGCAACCCAUCAGAUGACCUAAGUACUGUGGCACCAAUAACAGAUAUCACAAGAGCUAAAUUAGUAGCUAGACCUAAGUCCAUUUUCCUCAAAAAAUCAAGGGGAAAUCUUCACACCCUGAUGAUUGAGCCACGUGCCAGUUAAAUUUUUAGUAACAUAUAUUUCCGAUCAAAGGAACGCCGCUUAAGAACCCUGCUUUAUAAGUGAUAUACCAAAAACAUCCAACAGAAACCUCCCAGAGAAAAUACAACAUAUAUAUAUAUAUAUAUAUAUUACAUGACAGCCAUACGCACUAUCUAAGUCAGAAUCUGAGAAACAAAAAGGAAAUGAAACAAAGAGGCGUUGUUACACAUUCUAAGAGAUAACUCACCCAUAUUUUUCUAACACCUCUGAGGAUCCGUGCUGUAUGCUGUAAAACGAAAGAUAUGCGCCUGUAACACUUUUUAAGAAAGCGAAGAAUAGCUGCUCUGACAUUCUCUUUUGCAGACACUGAGAAACUACUGCGGGGCUCUUCCUUAUCAAUUUUCACAAAUGUAUCAUCGGUAUUUUCUUCACUGGUAGAGCUUUCUGCAUGAUUGCAAAAGAGGCAGUGUCAGUACCUGCAAACGUCAAAGAUAUUGAGCUCCUACAAACAGUCUAUCCAAACCAAUAAAAAAACACCUUGAUCAGUCUUUGACACUUCUAAACUAUCAGUUGCAGCAACAACUCGAGGAACAUCUGCAGCAGUACUUUCAUCAUUACGUGACCACAACCCUGCACUUGUUAUCUAUAUCACAGAAAAUCAGUUGGUUAGAGAACUAAGGAUGAAUAGAAAUUUUAUUUGUGGCUAACUGAUUUCAAGAAAGAGUUUUCCAAAGUACGAGUGAGGAACCAGUUCAAAGCCUAGAAAAUCUAAAAUUUUUCACUAAUUAUGCAUGCUAGCAUCAGAAGCGAUAAUAGCUACAUACCUUGAUUUGCAUAAGCUCUGCUUCAGCUAACUCAACUCCAGUCAGCUCACUUGAACAACCAGGCUUUAAUAAUAAUCAAAAAAAUUAACGAAAUUAGUUAGAGAGAAACAAUAAUGGUCAGAUAAGAGAAGCUUAGGAGAGUCUAGCAAAGAUAAAUCUUAGGAAGGCAUGCACACUACACGAAACUCUUAAAGUAGAAGAGAGCUAAGCCAACAGAUAUUUGAUUUUUGAAGUUUGCAAUCUUAGAAGUAUUCAAAUGCAUUUGCAUAGGCCGUAAUUCCUAUUGGAAAGUGUACUAAUGUUUACAUAAACAUAAACACAAAGAAAUCAGAAAAGUAUCUUCCGUCGGAUUUAUAUAAUUAUGACCAGUGCAACCUUAGUAAAGAUACAAACAGUAGUCUCCUAACCACGCUCAUGCGAACAUGUUCUACAGAAUUAGCUUAAGCUCCACAAUUCAUAUCAGAUUACUCCUAACACAGAAAAAUGCUACAUCAUCCUUUUCAAAUUGUAGUAUCUCAGACUUAAAAUUUCAACAAUGAAGUCAUUAACAAAGGCAAUUUGCACUAAAAACGACCUAUAAAUUAAAGGAUUCAAUACGAGAGUCAAAAAUUACCUGCUGAACAUAAUUGGCGUGCAUAACAACGAGGAUACAGAACAAAGUGAUGGCAACGAAGAGGUAAGUAUACUCUAAGAAACCUCUAAUCCUUGGCGUUAAGAUCUGCGAAAACCUCUCCUGAACCCUAAUAAACGUCUGCUCCGGAUCCAUAUUUCGGAUCUCCGAUGCACUUUUUCGUCUUCUUCGUUAACACUACGUAGUCAUCGAAUUUGAAUUGCUCCGUUGCGAGGAUCGUAGAUUUCUUCUCGUUCUGGGAGAUUGUCGAAUCCACAGAAAUUGAAGAGUGAAGAUGAUUGAAAAGAAAAGCACCGCGAAGCAAAUUUUACACUUUGUUUGCUGUUAAAUUGUUUUUAUUUUUCUUCAAAAAUCCCUAGUGAGAGUGGCGCAAUUGGGAAAGCGAUAGGAUUCUUUUGCUUCCAGGACAAGAGUUCGAUUCCUUCAACACAACCAUAAAGCUCUCAUUUUCUCUUCAUUUUUUUUCUGUUAACAUUCUUUUAUAAACUACUUCAAUACAUGCCAUUUCCAUGAAGAGAAAUUCAUAACAUUUUCCAACUUUAAUACAAUCACAAGAGGAAUUUAGUAGUCAAAUUCUUAACCAUUUGCAGAGAAAAUGUGCUCAUUACAAUCUCUCGUCUACCUUAAUUUAGAUGAAUCAGACCUUCCUUGUCCUUUAGAGGCUUGGUAGAAACGCAUCAAACGACACCGUGUAUUCAUGAAACUGCAAAUAUCAAAAGCAAGGCUCACUAAUAUGUCUUACAGAGAAUCUGGAAGAACCCUAGUAGCUUUUUAACUUUGGAAACCUCUUUAACUUGAUGCACCACAAAGCUUUUGUUUCCAUGGUUCAAUAUAUUAGCAGAUAAAAAUAAUGGAAACGAAAUAAACCUGCUUCACGAUCUCUUCAUAUUUAGCGGCUAGUUUUUUAACUUUAGCUUCUCCUGACUGUCUCACCUGGUUAGUCUUCGCAGUAUUGUCAUCAACCUGUUGAUAUAUAAACAAAUAAAACUUACGGAGAUGAUAAAGCAUCGUGCACAACAGAUUCACGUUGUUAGAUGUUCGAUAGAAAGGAAGCAAUACCAUAGCUACUACUGAUUCAACAUUCGUUUGCCUGGUUUCAAGUUCACGUCUUCUGGAUUCAACCUCCACUUUUAAUUCAUUCAACUGUUUCGUCCAAUCAUCAAACAUGACUGCUUUUUCUUUCUCUAGUUGUUUCAAUGAUUCGUUCAACUGUUCCACUGUUGACAGAAGAGAUGAUUACAGUCUCCGUCCCAAAACAAAAUUCAGAAACAAUAUCUGAAGAAGGAAGAAAUAAACCAACACUUGCCUAUUCUUUCCCGCUCAACCACUUUCGCCUCAAGUGAUUUGUAUGCUACCCCAUCCUCACUCAGCUUAUCUUUAAGAGCUUUGAAUUCUUUCUCAACCGUUUUCGCAUUGGUUACCUGUAACAUCAUCAAAUAUACAUAAAAAUGAAAGAUAAAUCUAAAGACACAUUAGAUCUCAUUCCAAUAAUUGGAAGGAUCUGUGUGUUGCCACAUGCUAGAGAUACAAUACAUGGUUCACAAUCUAUAAGCAAUGAAAGAGGAAAGGAGUUUUUUUGCUUGGUCACCUGUUCGUUUAUUAACUGCAGUUGCGAAGAUGACUUUAAAAUUUUCUUCAAGGCCUGCAAAAGGCAACCAUAGUUGAAUAAACUUUAUUACCUCAAUAUUAAAGCAAAACUUAUUCGACUCAAAAAUAAAGCAUAAAACUGUUGCAAGACAAAACAUAAGAAAAUUUUGAAGUAACAACACAGAAUAAGGUCUCAAUCUAAUAUUUUCCAUCUUGGGAUCAUUCUCAUCCACUAUACAACAAAAUAAAAGAAGUUCUUCCUAAAGCUUCUGGACAGAAUUUCAUGAAGUAUGAACAAAAGUGAUAGAGCAAUAAACACACCAAACUUAGAAGAAUAAUGACUUGAAAUAUCCUUCUCUAAAAACUGGUUUGAGAGCAGUAUCCGCAGUGACCAUUAAGUUGCAAAUGUCGUAAAUGCAUUUAGCUACUUGCUAAGCGACAGGAUUUAGUAACAAUCUAGAGUUUUCAUUAGAUACCUUUUCAAAAACCUCAAGAAUGGCAGCCUUUUCCUGGAAAGUUACCAUUGCUGAUUGUUCAGCUUUCUUUGUUUCCCCAAGUACUAGUUUCUUCUCUUCUAAAGCUCCCUGUCUCCACAACAAACGUUUAUACUAGUGUAUACCAAAAGUUUAUCUUAGGACUAGUACUAGUUGGAAUAAAAAUAUACCUGCAAUUUGUCCGGUGAUUGAACAAUUUGUGAGCGGAGGUUUGCAUUUUCUUGGACAGUUUCCACAAGAUCAAACUCUGCUUUGGAAAUCUGUAGAGAGAAAUACACAUGUCAGGAGCAGAAAACGCCUCUCAAGUUCAAGCAUAUGCAAAUCACCUAAUUGACAAACAAAAUUUGUUUCUUCACCAACUUCAUAAUAAAUUACAAAUAACCCAAUUUAGUUUGAGGAAGGAGCUCGACACCAUAUCCUGCGGUUACGUACCUCGUUAUCCAUCUGUGUACUCUUCUCUCUCAUUUUCUGGAAGGUAGCUCGCAGUGACAUCUGCUGAUUAUUUAGUUCCAAUAUUUUUUUAUUCAGUUGUUCAAUGUUCGCUUCUAGCUCUUGGACAAAAGGUAAGUCCCUCUCAACGGCUUCAUCAAAUUCUCCAAUCUCUGCAUUCAACUGCAUGUACAGCUUUUAGAAAAAGAUAAAUGACUUAUCUAUGGGAUACAUAUUUUUCUUGCAUUACCUGAGCAACCUUUGCCUCACACUGCUUUCGCUGCUCAUCAAGGAGACCCAACUCUUCUGCCUUUGGUCUUAUAAGAUCCAUUUUCGAGUCUCUGGUACGAAAAAAAGAUUAAAGAAGAUCAAGUGGGACAAAUAAGAACUCUCUAUUUUAACUUCUUGGUGCAUCGAAAUAGAUACUACAGAGAAGAACUAAGAGCAUGAAGGACAUACUUGUAUAGACCAUAGUUCAAAAGUGCGCUGAUGAAAAACUCGGUUCGGGAUGAUUCAGGGCGUAAGAGAUCCUUGAAACUAAUUGGUAAUGGACAAUCAAGCAUUUCUAACAUAUCUUUCACUUUGCAAUAAAGCUUCAUAGCUUGCAUUGAAGUGGCAUGAUGAUCUGGAUUCUCCAAUUGCUCCAAAGCCUCAAAAUCAACUUGCCCUUUCUCUUCUCUACAAUGUCGAAAAACGCAAUUCAAAAAAGAAGCAUCAUCAGAAAUUCCCCCAAAUUGAAACAAAAAAUAGGGUUUUCAAAAUUACUUAGCAGUUCAUACAAUCAAAAAUAGAAAAUCCCAAAGAUUCAAUAUUUAACAUAAUUUCUGACAGAAUUCGAUGACCUAGCUCGAAACUAGACGAAGAGUUUCAAAAUCGAGGGUAAAAUUGAGUGAAGAGCUAAGAGAGGAACUAGGGUUUUGAGGAGUACAUACUCGUCGAGGGCGUCGAGAUAGAUAAGAAUUCUGGUGUAAAGCUCGGAGACAAAGUCGGAAGUUGGGGUUUUGAGAUCGGUCUCUGUAACGCUAGCGAUUUGAGCAUCCUUGAGCGCCGUGAUAAUGUCGGAACGAGAGAGCCUCGGGUACUCGUAGGCUGACAUAGUUUUCAGUUUUGGUCAGGUUCGGAUUUGUUGUGUCUGGAUUCGAAGAAACUGAAAAUGACAAUUUGGAAAGAAAUGAAAAAAAAAAAAGAGAGCCUUUGAUUUUAGUUGGGUCAGGUUCGAUUUGUUUUUUGCAUUUGCUUUUCCCGCCUAUAUGAAACUGCAGUCUCUGCAGAUAUUGAUGCAUAUUUGGAUACGGUAGAACGUAGAAGCUUUUAUAAAUAAAAUUAAAAAAGAAACUUUAAUCUACAAAAAAAAAAAUUAAGCAUUUUAAUAUUGUAGAGAUUUGGUCUUAAUAUCUUGAUGCACUAGACAUCUUGCCAAAACAUAGAGGUCAAGAGACAUUCACUGAUGUGAAUAAUGUAUACUUUGUACGUGGAAAAAUAAUAGAAAAUGUGCUCAUUACAAUCUCUCUUCUACCUUACUUUAGCUCAAUCAGACCUGCCUUGUACUUUAGAGGCUUGGUAGAAACGCAUCAAACGACACCGUGUAUUCAUGAAACUGCAAAUAUCAAAAGCAAGGCUCACUAAUAUGUCUUACAAAGAAUCUGGAAGAAGCCUAGUACUUUUUUAACUUUAGAAACCUCUUAACUUGAUGCACCACAAAGCUUUUGCUUCCAUAUCCUAGAUCAGCAUAAUGAUAGAAAAAUGCAUAUGGGAAAAGCACGAAUCAGCAAAAUGAUUUAUGAAAAAACCUAAAAAAGUUAAAAACUCAUAGUUGAUAACAUCCAUAAGACUUGAUCAUUAUCACAGUAGGGUAGUAGCAAAGUUUCUCAAUAAACACCUUCUUAAAUAACAUCCAUUAGACUUGAUCAUUCACUAUUACUAAACAUGGGAACAGAAACAUCAUCAGAUGGAUAAAACUCUAUGAUGAUUUAAGAUACCUCAACGAUGACUUUAAAAAGCUACUAAGAAGCUGAGAGAGGGAUUGGUUUCACAGCGCUCUGAAUCCGCUCAAAAGCUACUCUCACUCUUUCCUUAAGACCUGAAUGCUCACUCUCUACCUCUCCACUCUCUUUAUCCAGCUGAGCGACAUUGCCAUCGACCCUAAUCACCAGUUUCCCGUUUUCUCCUAGUUUCACAUCCCCGAAAAGCGAAACAAGAAGUGCGUAUAUCACUUUCUCAACUUUCUUCCCGUUCUCUUCCUCGGAUUUCACAGCAUCUUCUUCUUCCAUAACGAUCUUGGGGACUUCUCGGCUGAUGUUGAGAAUCAGAGCUACAAUGGAGUCUGAAACCAUGUCACUUAUUGGAUCUGAUGACCACUGAAGUGAGAUGUGCUUCUCUGACUCUUGUUUCACCGUUACUCUUUCAUGAACUUUCAGUGCUGGAAGCCCCGAUUCCUCAUCUGUUGAAAAUUCCACGCUCUCGAAAAUCUUCUCCAGGCGAUGUUUUAUCACACCAAAAGCUCCUACAAACGGGAUUGUAAUUCGCUGAGUUACAGUUGCUGUUGAUAGCUGUGAGAAAACAUGGAGUUCGUCAGGUGCCAUUAUCUGAUAAGUGAACCCUUUCUUCACCAGAAUCCCGCUUACUGUAUCGCCAACAUCAGGUGUCUUUUCCGCCAAUCUCCCAAUGGUUUUCGCCAAUUUCUCAGAAUUAAAAUACAUUUCCACUGACUCACAGUUCUUCGGGGUCAUGAUCUUUGUGUUUCCAUCAGGAAACUCUGUUAAGAGCUUCUGUUUGAGCCUCAUCAUCUCGUUAGCUUCACCGUGAACAAGGAUGAUGUUAGGAGGCAUGAGCUCUUUCAAGAACGUGCUCGUCUGCGCGUAAUCUGCAUGAGCAGAGAACGAUAUAUAGUGCACUUGCAUGUUGAGCGGAGCAGUAAGACCAUUCAUAAGAGUCACCUCCUUUGGUUCAUUAAUUAUCGUCUUGGCCAGUGUACCUUCCACCAUAUAACCUGGUAUGAUACAAGCAUUCUUCUUAUCUGAACACCAGCUGUCAAAGAGUUGCCUUGAGAGACCGCUUUGAAGACCUCCAGGAGUAGCCAUUACCACAGAUGGACCGACAUCAUUAAAAUCAUCGAUGCUGUUUAAUGGAGAAAUGUGCUUGAACACAAACGGAUUAGAAUUUGCAAACUGGUUGCGGAUUCUGUCGUUCAUAGAUAAUAUGUAGGUUUGGUAAACCGCCAUACACUUUUUGGCGAGUGGUGAUGCAUAGUAGAUUGGGAUAUUGUGUAGAUCUGGGUGGUUCGCCCAGUAUUCAUCAAGAAUCAAGAGAAGUUCCUGAGCACGGCCCAGUGCAAAAGCCGGGAUCAGCACACGUCCACCCUGAGCAACCGUUGAAUGGAUUACAUCAGUGAAGCGUUUCUCACGAAUAUGACGAGAUUGAUGAAGCUGGACACCAGAAGUGGAUUCAAUGAUGCAUAUGUCAGGGGAGAAUUGAGGAAGCUCAGCUGCUCUCAGAUGUCGGUCUUCCUCACGGGAAUAGUCGCCUGUAUAGAGGAUUCGGACACCAGCUAUAUCCACCAUAAACAUGGCUGCACCCAAAACAUGGCCUGCCGUGUAACACCAGAACUUUAUGCCAUUCACUUCAACUGUUUGAUGGAAGUCAAUUACCUAUAGAGGAAAUCAAAUAUAAACCUUAACUCAACAAUCACAGUUUUGAAGCAGAUUUAAUUUCUUUUGAACUUAUCCCAAACCUAGUGGAGCAGUCAAAGUAUAAACAUAGUCAUAGAAUAUAAUGCAGUACUAACCUCAAUUUUGUCCAUAGACUUGUUGAUGUCUUGUUCAUCGAACAACAUAUCUUCCACAGACACUUUGCUCACUUUUACAUAAUCUGUAAGCAACAGCUUGUAGAUGGCCUUUGUUGCAUGUGUCAUGAAAACCCGCCCAUUGAAUGUCGUCUGAUCAAAACAUCAAUAACCUGAAUUAGUUCUCAGCUAUGUUUUAACACAUCCCAAAAAACAAAAUCAUUUUGAAAAGAGAAACAAACCUUCUCCAGAAAAUAAGGUAGAGAUGCUGCAUGAUCUAUAUGAAAGCUGCAACCAAAAGCAUCAACACAUUAUAUGUUAUCUUAACCCAAUAAACCUCUUACACAAAACACAAACUCUUUCAAGUAGACAAACAGAGACAGAACAAACUCUAGCCUCCUACAAGCUUGAACUAAUUAAUCCAAGAAGGUCUCUCUACUACACAUCAUCCUUCUGUUUUUGUAUAAACAAACUUAAACUUCGAAGAUUUUGCUCAAAUUAUCAUUCUAUUCAAAUCAAGACUAUCAUUUUCUCUUCAAAGUUUCAAUUUUUCUUAAUGGGUAUUAGCCAAAAGAGGAAGAAGAAGGAAACAUACUGAGUAAUCAAGAGGACAUCAAUGGAAGAAGGAUCAAUCUCAUCGAAGUAAGGCAACGCAGCCAUGCCCGAGUACGCAGGAUGAAUCCCACAAUCAAACUGCACAACACAACCAAAAUCAACUAUAAGACAUGCCCCAACAACAAAAUCAAAACACAUUUGCUUGAUUAGAACAAAACGGAGAAGCUGACCAGAAUAUUUUUGCCUCGGAAGGACAUGUAAACACAGGAACGACCCACUUCACUUCCGGCUCCUAACGGAGUAACGAUAAGUUGAUCUCCAUCUCGCGAAAUUGGUUGCUCUCUUCUUUUCAGAGAAGUAGAAGAAGAAGCCAUGUUUCGUCUUUCUCGAUUUUCCUCCAAGAGAAGAAGAAACUCAAAGAACUGAGUACAGCAAUUUCAGUUAGUGUAUAUCUUCAAACCCUAAAAGCCUUUAAAAAAAAAAAAACGACCACAGUGGGAGUCGAACCCACGACCUUCUGAUCCGAAGUCAGACGCGCUAAUCCACUGCGCUAUGCGGUCAAUACAUAGCAAUUGAAAAUAUUAUAUUUAUAUAGAAAGUCAUAUUAUAUACCGAAAAUACCCUUGUCUUAUUUUGUCACUCAAAUCUGCGAACGAAGAGAAAAUUCGAAGCUUUCUCGGCGAUGAUGGAGCGAACUUACGGCCGUCGCAAGCCGGGGAUGUUAAACGACGACGUCUCGCGGGCGGAACAUAUUUUUCCGUCUUCUUCAUCUCCAGAACUCGAGCCAGUUGAUUUCUCAACUCAAGAAUCAUCUUGUGUCUGGAAUUAUUCUUCAAGAUCCACUUUUUCGGAUAAUGAUUUUUCUGAGAAGAGGAACAAGAGACCCAGAAACGGUGGUGGAGGGUUUGGUUCGAAUUCGACUUUGAUGGAGGCUCAAGAGUUCGGCGAGUUAAUUGAGAAUGAGGACGAAGUUAACUUCGCUCUUGAUGGGUUGAAGAAAGGACAUAAAGUUAGGAUCAGAAGAGCUGCUUUGUCCUCUCUACUCUCGAUUUGUGAAUCUCAGUAUCAGCGACGCUCUUUGAGAGCUUUAGGGUAUGUUUAUUUACUUAAGAUUUUCAGUAUCUUCCUUUCUAGACUUUCUAGGGUUUGUUUGAAGUCGAGUUCUUUUAAAAGUUUCUGAAUUUUGUUAUUUCAGGAUCUCACAGUCCAUAAUUGAUGCGAUUUUGGGUCUUUGCCUUGAUGACAUACCAAGCAAUCUUGCUGCAGCUACCCUUUUCUUUGUGCUAACUACUGAUGUAAGUAACUUAUUUGCAUUGUGAAAUCUGCUUGUGAUGCUCUUUUCUCUUGCUCCAUUGGCAUUUUUCUCUUGUUUACUAGUUUUAUGUUCAUGAUUCUAGGGUCAAGAUGAUCACUUUAUGGAGUCACCCAACUCCAUCAAGUUUUUGGUUAAGCUGUUGAGACCUGUGGUUUCUGCCAGUACUAAAGUAAAGCCGCGGAAUAUAGGAUCUAGGCUCUUAUCAAUAAUCAAGGAUGUUGAUGCAGCACGUGAUGCAGCCAGUAUGCAUGAUUUAAGCUCCUGUGAUAUAAUUGACAGAGCUCAGGAAAUUCUUGUUAAUUGCAAGGAGUUGAGAUUGAUUGAUAGCUAUAAAAUCGAGAGGAUGAGGCCUGAGCUAAGUACGAAAUGGGUAGCUUUGUUGGUGAUGGAGAAGGCGUGCUUGUCCAAAAUCUCUUUUGAUGGUACUUUAACUUCCUGUCUGUUUUGCUGGAACAAUGACUAGCUAACUAUUUAAGACGCAUCUGGUAUAUUAUAUUGAGUUAUAGAAUUGGAAAGUUAUGUUAUCUGCUUCAGUGAAUCAGUUUAACAAAUGUGUCAGCGGUAAUAGAAUCCUACGACCAGAUUAUAAUUGAUUUAUAAAUUUCUAAUUAUUGAUAUUAUCAUUCCCCAUCCAGAUACCUCUGGUACUGUGAAAAAAUCUGGAGGAAUGUUCAAGGAGAAACUGAGAGAACUUGGAGGACUUGAUGCUGUCUUUGAUGUUGUUAUGGAUUGCCACACUGUAAUGGAGGUGUGAACCUGUAUGUUAUAGGGAUCUUGCUAUAUAUGUCUUUAUUUGGCUAGGACGUCAAUAACUUGUGUAAAGUGUCGUAGAUUGGUAGCUUUAUAAUUGUUUGCUAUCUUCAGGUUCAUGUUUUAUUUCAAUCUAAUUUAUUGCUGAAAAUCGUUGCAAGUCAAGGUUCUUUUCUUGUCCUUGGGCAAGAGAAUUCUCUUGUUUGUGUAACACAGUUUAAUGUUAUUGUGACUGCGUUUGUUGUGGACAAGUUGGAUGUCUGUCUUAGUGGUGGCAAAGACUCUGUACUUAAGUUGUCAAUAGUUACUGGACCUUUGCAACUGUAUUUAAUAAGAGUCUCUAUUGCAUAUUUUGUUUGCAGAGCUGGGUGACUCAUGACACACUCUCUGUCGAGGAUAUAAAAGAUGACUUGAAUAAGCAGAGUCUGAUGUUACUUCUGAAAUGUCUAAAAAUCAUGGAGAAUGCUACAUUCCUCAGCACAGAAAACCAGGUAACUUUUAUUUAUUUUGGAUUCCCAGCCUCAUGAUAGCUUGUAUUGAAUAGCUCUGCAGUUUGCACCUAAAAAAUAACUGUACAUAAUAUAUCUUUCAGAUUCAUUUGCUCAGACUUAAUAAAAGCAUGGGUUCUCAUGAAUCCCGACUGUCUUUCACAGAGCUCAUGAUAAGUGUCAUCAAAAUACUUUCAGGUACCCAUUCCUAUAUUUGGAUUUUACCACCAUGACUUGCUUCGUAUGUUAUCAUCUCUUAUGCUGAUGGCUGGUUGGAAUGAUUACACCAGGUCUUCAGUUACGUGCUCACAGGAACGAAAAGCAUCCUCACCCUCAGCCACAUCUAGCUUCUGCUGUUAAGAAGGGCUUUGUGACAAUUAUUAGUUCAGAUACUUGCUCUACCACUGGCUUUAGCUCCAUAAAAAGUUUGAGCGUAUCCAAGAGAAAUCAGUCUGCAUUCCUGGUAGGUUGCUCAACGACACCAAAGCCGGGGUCUCAAUCAAGUGUAAUGUCGACAAUUGAUCACUGCACGCUGACGACUACAGCUGGUUCCAACACUGGGUCGUUUGCAGGCAGAUUAGCCUCAUUGGGUAGUGGCAUUUCCAGAAGUAAAACAAGGACUAGCCAAACUAGAGAAUCCAGUUGUAAAAAAGUUGAAAACUUUGCAUCCUUCGAGGAUAGUCAAGAUCCUUUUUCAUUUGAUUUAGAAGAUUCAGGACCUUCCAGAUGGGCAGUAGGAAAGCAAAAGAAAUCUAAAGGUCAAAAGAGGAAGGGAAGCUACAGAGAUAAGAAAGAUGAACGCUCGCUUCAGCUCUUCUCGAGCCAGGAGGAAUCAAACCAUGGUUUAAAUUCUCAGGAGGAAUCAAGUGAUAGAGAUCACCAUGUAACAGAGCAACCUUCUUUAACAUAUGACAUUGAUAAAGGAUGUCUCUGUCUUUUAUCUGAUUGCCUUUUAACAGCCGUGAAGGUAAUGUACAGUCUUUUUAACAAUUACUUUUCUGUUAUGUAACAAAUUUCUGCAGCUGGAAUGAAAAUAUGUUUGGACCAGAAUGGAAUGUCACCUUUUAUGCUAAUCUGUUUAGAUAUGUGAGGAUAUCAUGUGAUCUUUUGCUACGUUCUGAUUCUGUUGAACAUAUUUUCAGGUAUUAAUGAACCUAACAAAUGGUAAUUCUGUUGGUUGUCGGGAAGUUGCUGCCUGCGGAGGACUGGAGAGCAUGGCUGAAUUAGUUGUUGGACACUUUCCUUCCUUCACCAGAUCUCCGCUUUACAGUCAGAUGGAGUCCGGGACAUGCCACCAGAAAGAUAAACAUCUCACAGACCAGGAAUUAGAUUUUCUUGUUGCCAUCCUGGGGCUACUGGUAAACUUGGUGGAGAAAAACGGAAUAAACAGGUACCAAACUGCUCUUUUCGAUUUACAUCUUUAUGUCAACUCAGGAAAACAUAGUCACUGAUUGUCUUUUAUGCAAAUGGGGGGAACUCGUGAUUUCAUAAUAUUAUGAUCUGACUCGUACCCAUGUCUUGAAAAAUAUUCGCUAAUCAGUUAUUAUUUGGUCCAGGUCAAGGCUCGCGGCAGCUAGUGUUCCGAUUACCAAUCCAGAAGGGUUACAAGAUAGUGAACAAGACAUGAUCCCUCUUUUAUGUUCAAUCUUUCUCACCAAUAAAGGAUCCGCAGACACCAAAGAUGAAACGAGUACUUUCACUUUGGUUGGUAUCUAAUCAUUGUUUUCUUGUCGAAUUUAAAUAGCCCUUAGUAGAAAGUAUGUCUUAAAACCUGCUCCUUCCUCAUGUUUCAGGACGAUGAAGAAGCUGUUUUAGAAAGCGAAAAGGAAGCGGAAAAGAUGAUCGUGGAGGCAUAUUCUGCCCUUCUACUUGCAUUUCUAUCCACAGAAAGGUUAUUUAUCUAUAUCUUCCUUACUACCUUUUUAAGUAUUCUAAUUCUCAAAAAGUUGUAACAUAAUCUCUUAUUCUUAGCAGUAGAAGUAUACGAAAUGCCAUCAGAGAUUAUCUCCCAAAACGCGACAUGGCAAUUCUGGUACCCGUGUUGGAUAGAUUUGUGGUACGUUCCUCUAAACCCUUCAUAUUUCAGUCUUAGUAGUCGAUGUGGUAUGCGCACUGAAACCUUUUGAUGCGACCAUGUACUUGUUCUUACUGUGUUAGGCGUUUCAUACAACACUGGACAUGAUUCCUCCAGAAACACAUAAAGUGGUUAUGGAAGUUAUCGAGUCGUGCAAAUUGCCAUAGAACGGAGGGAAAAAAACAGGCGACAUCUUCGUUCUCCUCUCACUGUACAGCUUCUGCCACACUUUGGGUUUGCUCCACACUUAUAGUUAGUGGUCUCACACAAUGGAACAUGUUACACGUAUAAUAUGGACACAAAUAGAGUAUCUUUUAGUUCUUUCUUUUGAGGUUUUGUUUUUUUGGUUCAGCUUAGUUUAGUAAUUCACAUCCCCCAUUCUUUUGUACUUUUGUCAUACAAAGAAAGAACAAACAGAUAUAUAGAAAUAGAUUGCUUAAUGAGAGUUAAUCAUAUCGUAUCUUAGUAUAUCGUUUAUUUGUGUGCUCAAAAUCACAUUUUCUUUGUUAUUCAUAAUCAUCAAUAUUGGAAUUACGAGGCUUAAUGAAACUAUGAAAGAGUCAUAAUUUUCUAGCCUAAAGAAAAAAAUUCUUUUUUUUUUCUGACUCAUUUUCCUCUAGUAUAAGAAAAUAUCUUUGUUUUUGAAAAAAUAUAUUAAUCAAUACUCACAUGAUUAAUUCCAAUUUAUGAUUGAGAACGAAUUAGUGAUAAACUAAGAUAAGUGAUAAUUUAUAGUUUUGCAAUAGGAAAAGUGUAAUUAAAAUCAACAUUUUUAACAAGUUGAGGAUUUUAGUGAUAUUUUAAACGACGAAACGAAAUAAAUAUCAAACUUAUGUCGAGUUUUCAAAUAAAUACCAAUUUUGUUGACUUUCCAAAUAAAUACUAAACUUUCGUUGACCUAGUCAUAUUAGACAUGCCGUUAAGUGGGAUAACACAUCCUGUUACAAUUAAACGACGUCGCUUUGUUUUUAUAAAAAGCAAUAACGUUUGAAUUAACGGGUAUGUUAAUAGAAAUUUAAUUUUGUUAACGGGAUCUGAUAAUUUACUUAACAUCAUGCUUAACAUGACCAUAUUAACAAAAAUUUGGUAUUUAUUUGGAAAGACAACAUAAAUCUGAUUUUUGUUUAGAAAAUCAACGUAAAAUUAAUAUUUGUUUCGUUUUGUUAGAAGUUGAGGAUUUAAAUGAAUGCUUUCAAUAAGUGGGGAAUUUUAGUGACAUUUUUCCCGUUUUGCAAUAUUUACAUUGAAGGGGUUUUUCAUUAAAUAUAUAGUUUUUCCCUUGUUCAGCUCUUCUUCUUAAAAAAUAAAAAGACUUCAGCAUCUGCUUCCUCUCGACAAUUUCGACAUUACUCUUUCGUUUUUCACCCCUUCCUUCUUCUCCUUUAGCCGCCCGUCGUCGAUCUCUGCAACACUUUCCGACGAUUUCUCCGUCUGAUCUCAAGUGAGUCUCCUUCAACUUUUCUCUUCUUUUCUAUACCCUUCCCUCUCUCUAUUUCCUUUUCUCCGCCACAAACGGCUUCUGCGUUCCCUGUUUCCGCCGUCCUUACCUCUUCCAAUCAAAUUGAAGAUCCAUACCAGAAAUCGAUCCUUCUCCGUCUCCGAAUUCGCUUGAUUAACCUCAGAAACUCGUAUUGGUUUUCGCAAAACCGCGAUUUGGCUUUAGACUUCACCGUUACCUGAUUGGGUGAAAAGUUUUCCUUAACCCUAUUAAUGGCUUAUCUAGGGUUAGAAUCCAAAGGAUUGUUUUGCUCUUGUAGUUAGCUAUCUACUGGUUUUUUGUGGUAUACACCGUACUUGACCAAUGUGGUGAGGUCUUUUGCUUCUCUAACUGUAUACUUCUCAUAAUUUCAGGUGACAGUGAAAACCAUUUAAAUUCGUUACUUGUGAGCCUCCUUAGAAGAUUAUGGGUGAUUUAGAGAACUUGCUUUUGGAAGCUGCUGGGAGAACAAAUUCAGCAGGGAGGAGUCGUCAUCCUCCAUCAUCGAGGAGACGUGAGGGUUCUUACUCUGAUGGUAGUAGCGAUUCAAGGGAUGAUUCUGAUGAAGAUCGUGGCUAUGCUAGUAGAAAACCCUCUGGGUCUCAAGUUCCUUUGAAGAAGAGAUUGGAGGCAGAGAGAGAAGAUCGAGCUGCUCGAGUUGAAGGUGGUUAUGGUGAUGGACCAUCUGAUCGUGAAGGUGACAGCAGCGAGGAGUCUGAUUUUGGAGAUGACCUUUACAAGAAUGAGGAAGACAGGCAGAAGCUUGCUGGAAUGACUGAGUUUCAGAGAGAGAUGAUUCUCUCUGAACGUGCUGAUAAGAAAGGUGAUAAGAACUUCACUGAGAAACUUAGGUCCAAGAGAGAAAGUGAGAAAACCCCUGUUUCUAAAAAGGAGACUCAGCCUCUUCCGGCCUCUCGUGGUGUGCGUUCAUCUGCUAGAUCUGCAGACAGAGCCGCUGCUAAGGAUGAUGCCCUGAAUGAAUUGAGGGCGAAGCGUAUGAAGCAGCAGGACCCAGCAGCUCUCAGGAAACUGAGAGAUGCAUCAAAAGGUGGUUCAGGUAGUCGAGAUUUCUCAUCAACGAAGAGGAAACCGUUAGCUUCCUCCAAUUUGAGUAGUUCCAGCCAAAGUGACAGUGAUAGUAGGUCUCAGAGUGAUGAUGAAGGCUCGAAUGGAGGAAUGCUAGACAGUGAUGAUGACAGGUCAGAUGUGCCUACGUUUGAGGAUGUUAAGGAAGUUACCAUUAGACGGUCUAAGCUUGCCAAAUGGCUAAUGGAGCCUUUCUUUGAAGAGCUUAUAGUUGGGUGCUUUGUGAGGGUUGGGAUCGGAAGGUCAAAGAGUGGUCCAAUUUACAGACUCUGCUGGGUGAAGAAUGUUGAUGCAACCGAUCCUGACAAGACCUACAAGCUAGAGAAUAAAACUACACACAAGUACCUUAACGUCGUCUGGGGAAAUGAAACCUCGGCGGCUCGAUGGCAAAUGGCUAUGAUCUCAGAUGGUCAUCCGCUGGAGGAAGAGUAUAGGCAAUGGAUCAGAGAGGUUGAGCGAACAAAUGGUCGCAUGCCCACAAAGCAAGAUAUAUCGGAGAAGAAAGAAGCGAUACAAAGAACAAACAGUUUUGUUUACUCUGCGGAAACUGUUAAACAGAUGCUGCAGGAGAAAAAAUCUGCGUCAGUCAGGCCAAUGAAUGUUGCGGCCGAGAAAGAUCGGCUUAGAAAAGAAUUGGAAAUUGCGCAGAGCAAAAACGAUGAAGCAGGUGUAGAGAGGAUCAAGUCGAAAAUCAAACAGCUCGACGCUUCACGGAACAAGAAAGGGGUAGAUAAAAAAGCGCUUAAACUUGCUGAGAUGAACAAGAAGAACAGAGCCGAGAAUUUCAAGAACGCAUCUGAGGUAAAAUCAAUAACUGCUAGUCUCAAAGCCGGUGAAGCAGGGUAUGAUCCGUUUUCAAGAAGAUGGACCCGAUCAUCAAACUACUACAACGGGAAAAACAAGGGGAAAGAUGGAGAAGAGAACGAGGCAGCGGUUGCAGCAGCGGUUGAGACCAAUGGAGCAGAUGCAGGAGCAGGUGUUGAAGCGACAGAAGCAGCUUUAGAAGCAGCUGCAGAGGCAGGAAAGCUAAUAGACACAAGAGCUCCAAUAGGUCAAGGAGCAGAACACAAUCAGCUUCAUAACUUUGAAUUGUCGUUAUCGCUAACGGCUUUACAGAAGUACGGAGGACCUCAAGGAGUACAGAAAGCGUUCAUGGCGAGGAAGCAACUGACCGAAGCAACUGUGGGAUGCAGAGUCGCAGAGAACGAUGGCAAGAGACAUGGCCUUACGUUAACUGUUAGUGAUUACAAGAGAAGGAGAGGUCUUCUCUGAUUUAUUUGCAUUUUUUUCAAGUCUCAGUGUUUCAUUAUCUUCUGAAAACUGCUUCUUGGUUCUUCUUUUCUUCAUAUCUUUCUUUUGUACUCCACAAAAUAUGUUUAGAUCAGUUUGUUUUUUCUUGAAAUAUUUUUGUACUCGUUUUUGUGUGAACUCUCCUGAUUAGUGUAUGACUGCAUGAAAUUAGAAAAUCAAGUCUUUUGCAGUUUUGCUACUCUUAAUUAGAUGAAUUUAGUUAUGAGCUAAUUAACAGUUCAAUAUUAGUUUGGUUUUGUAGAAGUUAGUGAUUAUGCAAUCAUCAUGCUCGUGUAUGGAUCGUGGACGAUAAAAACAAAUUACUCGUAACACAAUUGAAAGAGAAGUGUUGACUUAUCAAUAAAAUCCAAUAUCUGUCAUUAUAAUGCAAAUAUAUUUUAUAAGAAUAAAAUCUUUUUUAUAUUAAUAAUUUAUUAUACAAAAAAAUAUACCAUUGAGUUUUAAAAUACAUUUCAACCACCAACCUUAUUAUUGCAUAUGGUGAGUCAAUAAUUAGUGUUUCAAUUGCUCAAGAAACCGAUUAAAGUCAUGGUUAUGCUUGGAAACUAUCUCUUGCAUGUGUUUCCAAGUAAUGAAUCAUAUAAGGUGAAUAAUAUUUUUCUAAUUGGUCUGGUCUGAUUGUUUCUAGUGAGUUUCUUCCAUGGAUAACCAUGAUUGGUCCUAAUUGACAUUUUUAGCUAUUUACCUUAUUAAACUAACUAAAAACCUAAAAUAAUACUUUUAUUAAUUCUAGUAAUUUGAUACAUCAAAACUAGAACUCUACCACACUCUUCAUAUGAUAGUUAAGUAAAAAACUAUUCGCACUUAUUAUAAUACUAUUUUGUAUUGGUGAUCUCACUAAUACUAAUACACACAACCUCUAGCCUUACAAAAAAUAAAAAUAAAAAUCUCUUACAGAAGAACAAGUCUGUCUUUUGCAAACAUUGUUUGAAGAAAAGAAAUCAAAUGAUGGAACAGAGCAGAAGAACAGAACAAGUUCUGUUAGUGCAGAGAUUAAAAAGAUUGAUAGUCUCCUUUGUUUUUUGUCUUCCCAUGUCUCUUCUUGGUCUCCUUCUCAUGCUUCUCUUAAUCUAUAACAGCUUCUCUGUUUUCUCUCUUCAUCUUGUUCCCAACCAACCUAUUCAAUCCACUCUUUCACCAACUCAUCUUCAGAUUCUUCAUCACCAGACAUCAACAUCAUCAUCUGUGUCAGAUUCUUCAUUGUUACUUGUGGUGAAAGAAACCUCUUUAGGGUUCAUACAGAAGCAGAACGUUUCGUCGACGAGGAUAGAGAAAAAGACGAGGAGAUUCAAGAGAAGUACCGAGUUAACUCCUGCGAUAACACAGCGGUUACAAGUCAAAUCAAGACAAAGAUUCCAGACGAGGGUCAAGUCUUUGUUGUCCAAAUCUUCUUGUGAGUCACUCUUCUUCAUGACUUGGAUCUCCUCCAUAGAAUCUUUCGGUGAUCGAGAGCGAUUCACUAUAGAAAGUCUCUUCAAAUUUCACCCAAAUGGCUGUUUGAUCUUGGUCUCAAACUCAUUUGACUGUGACAGAGGAACCUUAAUCUUGAAACCCUUUACAGAUAAAGGGCUUAAAGUGCUUCCAAUCAAACCUGAUUUUGCUUACAUCUUCAAAGAUACAUCAGCAGAGAAAUGGUUUGAAAGAUUGAAGAAAGGAACACUCAGUCCAGGAGUGAUUCCAUUAGAGCAAAACCUCUCAAACCUUCUAAGAUUAGUCCUGCUCUACAAAUACGGCGGAAUCUACUUAGACACAGACGUUAUAAUCCUCAAAUCUCUCAGCAAUCUCCACAACGUAAUCGGAGCACAAACAGUUGACCCGGUUACAAAAAAAUGGAGUAGGCUCAACAACGCGGUGCUCAUCUUCGACAAGAACCAUCCUUUGCUUAAAAGGUUCAUCGACGAAUUCUCAAGAACCUUUAACGGUAACAAAUGGGGACACAACGGUCCCUACUUAGUGUCGAGAGUCAUUACAAGAAUCAAGAUAUCAUCCUCUUCAGAUUUGGGAUUCUCUGUUCUUCCACCAUCUGCAUUUUAUCCGGUGGACUGGACUAGAAUCAAAGGAUUCUACAGAGCGCCCACGAAUGAGAGCGAUGCUUGGUUGCGGAAGAGGCUUACGCAUUUACGCAAAAAUACAUUCGCUGUUCAUCUUUGGAACAGAGAGAGUAAGAAACUCAGGAUUGAAGAAGGAAGCAUCAUUCAUCAACUCAUGUCUCAUUCUUGCAUCUUUUGUAACUCUUCUUCUUUACAUUUAAGUUAAAACAUGUAAAGUAAAUUUCCACAAGAGAGAUAGAGAGAGAGACAAAAAAAAGGACAAAUCUUUGUGUGUUGUGAACAUACAGAUGUGCUGAUCUAUCUGCCAUUCUUAGGAGCCGUACAAAUAGGCAAUGUGUAUUUUGUAAUUUGUACAUCAAAAGUGUUAUAUUUGCCGAAUCGUGAAAAACUGCCGGAUUUUGCAUCGACAAUUUGAUUCGAAUUUGUCCAUUGCAAUAUCUUUUUGCUGUUUUAAAUUGUUUAGCAUUAUGAUCAUUGUUAUUUGCUCACUGCCGAUUACGAAUAAUGUUUUAAAGUUUCAUAUAUAUCAAUAACAAAACCAAAGAAUCACCAUCAUAACAAUCUGAGCGUUGUAUAAAUCAAAAAUUCCAAAAAAAUGUUAACCAUCCGAAACCAAAAUAAGAAAAUGUUUAACUUUAAAAGACACGCACGAAACAUAAAAUACAAAGAUAAAUAUUGAGAUAAGUUUACUUUUGGAACAAGUAAACGCUUACAUAAGUCUCACAUCUCCUACAUAGUUUGUAAAUGCAUUAACACAACACGUCCCACUAAACAAUAGUGGAACUUCAAGUAUUACUCUUGUGAUAAUGUUGCUCUCGAGAUUGUAGUAAGCUAUGAAGAACUGAUCUUGUUCUCGUGUAUACUUUCUGUAAAACACAAUUUCGCUACUACCAACCACUCCAGCAGCAACAACUUUGUUCAAAUAUCUAUUAGGCAAUUGGUAGAUAUGCUUUGACCAUUGAUGUCUCUCUGCAUCCUCUAAAACCCACAAUUCAAAAGUUUUAGAGAAUUUUUUGUAACAAAAAGCACCUAAUUUACCCUUGACGUCGAUAAAAUUGAGGGUUUGUCCCAUCUUUUUUAUGUCUUGAUUAAUGUCAAUAAAAGUAAAAUCCUCAGACCUAACAUGAAAGCAAGCGAUCGUAAAGUUAGUUGAGACAUCCGCUGCAUAAUACAAGAUACCACUUAUGCACAUCGCCCUAAUAUCUCCCAUAGGAAAAUGAAGUGUGCAACAUUCAGUCUUUCUCCAUAAGAGAUUUUUGUUUCCAGACUCGAAUGUGAGAACAUGAUACUUACCGAAUUUGGGUAAGCGACACGACGACGAGGUUAUACGCAAUACCUUCGACUGUUUGUCUAUUGGAUCAUACCCAAAAAUAUAUGUUUCAUUUAGAUAUAACAACUCUUUCUUAAUCUCGUUUAUUCUCAGUUUGGGCAAUGCUAAAAACUCUCCUGUGAUGGGAUUAGAAAUCACCAGCACUCUUGAAUAAUUCUUUCGAUCAUGUUCAAGACAUAACAAUCCGCCAACAGGAGGACUUGUUAUAAGUAAACUGUUUCCACUUGUCCUAUGAUGAAGGGUGGCUACAAGAGACGUGUUCUCAUCAGGGUUUCGAGGCUGAGGUGAAGUGUAGAAGAACAACCCUUCUGCAUUUUCGAUGGUGAAAAGGAUCCGCGGUGGGGCUGGAGACAUGAUCGGGAACAACAUGUUGUAAUAUGGACGACGAAUUUGUGAUGACCAUAGCUUUGAUACGCAACGACACUGAGCUAUAGACUUCACUGGCAGUUUCGACAAGAUCUUAGCAGUGAAGAGAUCAACAUGGAUAGCAUCAAAAUAAUCUGUUUCGUCGUCCCCAGAGGUUGUGGACUUCUGAUGGUUCAUGGUGAAUGGAUCAAAGGUCAAAUGGUUCUAUUUCUAGUGGCUGUUUUUUUUUGUGAGUUCAAUCUUUUAUAUUUAUAAGGGUUGAUGAGUUUUUUUUUUAAAGAAGUAAAUAUCUUUAGAUUUUCUUAUAUAAAUAUUUUGUAUCAUUAAGUUUAAUGACAUCGCUUUUGUUUAAUCCUCUUCCAGUUUAUCAGUUUUAAUUAGAUAAUGAUAUUUUAGGAAAUUCGAAAUUAAUGUUAUUGAAGAUUUUCUAUCAAAUGAAUUUUUAGAUACUUUUUAUCUAAACAUUUUGUAUCCUUUAACUUAAUGCCAUCUGAUUUAUGCUUUUUCCAAUAUAUUGAUUUUAAUUAGGUAGAGAUAUUUUCGUAUUUUUUAAAUAGGUGUAAUUGUAAAUUUUUAUAUCAAAUUUAUUGGUUAUAAUUUUUAAAUUAGUGUUAUUGUAGAUUUUAUAUCACAUUUAUUGUUUAGAGUUUUUAAAUUAGUUCUUUGACAGGAAAAAAAAGAAGAAAUAAUUUUAAAUUAGUGUUAUUAUAUAUCAACUUUAUGGUUCUUUAUUGUUUUCAAUCUAUCGUUUUUGAUAGGUACAUAUAUUUUAAGAAAUUGAAAAUAAUGUUAGUUUCCUCCAUACUAUUAAAAUCAUAACAACAAUGACCUAAGAUAGUAAGAUGAUAACAACAAUGAACAUAACUAUUCUAAAUCUACAAAGCAGGUGUAAGUUCUACAGGCUACUCAUUCGGAUACCGGGAUCUCUUGAAGGUUGAAAGUCUUUGGCCCUCGAAAGGGUCACAUAGUAAAGCUCGGAGACAAUCCCCGUGAGCACUAUGAAUGCUGCUCCAGCCCCAAACACGCCUUUCCUCAGUGAUCGACAAGAAGGGGAAGUGUUACCAAAGUAGACACGGUACUUUGUAUGGUAAGCGUUUCGUACAGAGCCAGCAAGUAAACACACUUGUGCUAUGAAGAAGAAAACCCUGCAACAAUCAUCCUAGUUCCAUGACAUUCAUAUAUGACACAAAACACUUGAUGAUAUAAUACAUAGAUUGUGAAGGAAUAAAAGAGGAUGUUACCAGGUGGUGAUGAAGAGAAAAAUUGCCCAAGAUCUUGAACCACUUGGUGUCAAUGCUCUUCCACAGCAUAAACAUCGGCUCGCCACCAUUAUUAAGAGCUGACUCGCUAAUAAGACCAAGAAAGAACCGACUCCGAGACCCGUUGCUAUGUCCUUGUCAUACACACAGUAGCUCAAAUCUCUUGAUUCUCUAGAAAUUUGCCACUGCAACAAAAUCAGGAACAACAACACAAUGAACACAAAACAGGACAAAUCUCAACUCUUUGAAACAAACCAAAACAGAACCAAAGCUUUCAGCUUUCUAUGAAACUAAUUGAAUUUUACAAAACCCAAAAAAAAUUCAAGAACCCAACUUUAAGAAUCCUAAGCAGAUAGAUCCAAAGAUGUGAAAUUGAGAGAUAAACACACUAAUAAUCAAAUAAAUUUGACAAGAAAUGUUUGAAGAAUUAAAGAGAGAGAAACUGACGGUGGUUCUUCGUUGCUCUGCAGCAACAGCAAGACCAAAAGCAAUGAGAUCAAACACGAACACCAGAAGAAGUAGCAACACGGAAGCCAUAGCUGCUCAAUUCGAAGCAACACAAACAAAACCCUAAACUCAGAAUCUCUCCUUCUUCUUCUUCUUCUUCUUCGACACUACUGUUUCUGGAUAAUAUCGCCGACGCGAAGAAGUCAAAAAACAUACUGUGCUAAGGAAAGAGGAAACUUGUGAACGAAGAGGACACGUGUUAUUAAUUUUUUGUUUUCCAUUCGCACGCUUUUUACAUGCUCUUUUGUCUUUUCGAAUAUUAUUUUGAUUAUUGCUAAAUGAAAUUAUAAGAGAUAAUUUUAUUUAGUUGGUAAAUCAACUUUUUUGUGCUCUAGUGGUAAGAAAAAUUCACUAUAAACUUUUUUAGCUAACAAUAAUAUCGGGAUAAAAUCUCAUGGACCAUUGGUUAUUCAAAGAAAAAUGCGAUAUUAUACAUAAUCAUGUUUUAUUUAUAUUGGAUGCGUAAGUCCAAUCUAAUUGGAUACAUAAAAAGUCAUAAGAUUUGAAAAUGGUAACUAAAAGGCACUAUUGUUUAACCUUGGUAGAUAAUCGAAAGCUCAAGCCAAAAGGGCUUAAAGAUUUUAGAUCUCCUUAUUGUUGUUUCAAGGGCAAACGAUAUCUAGGAUAAAAGUCAGAAAAUGAUCAAAGAGAUAGAAAACAUAGAAAAGAUUAUUAAGUUUUUGAUAAUAUAUAUUCAUUAUAUAUAAAUAGAUCAUCUAUCAACAAGGUCUGGUGCACAAACAGCGACGACGGAAUCCACGGCAGUCACCAUCUGAAAAACCUUCAUUGUGGCAAACAUUAGCGCAAUUGCUUGAGCUCAGACAUGGUCCGUUGAACAAGUUGCUACUUGUUUCACACGUCCGUGCCUCUACCGUGACCAGACCCAUCACUACAAGACAUUAAUUAAACGUUAUAGAUUAUUCGAACAUGUAAUUAAUAUGGGCUUAUCCACAAGCUUCUGCAUAAUCAUACAUCAAAUAUGUUAACCAAAAUACAAUGACGGAUACCAUAUGUAUCAUAUUAUGUAGACUUGCAAAUAUAUUAUGUAGAUGAUUACAUGUUGACAUGAGUUUUUAUUUAGAUGUAUCAUGAUGGUAUGAAUUAAGAACCUGUGGCAAGGAUCAUGAACAAUAGGAGAAGGGCUGAGUUCAAACGAGGAGAGACCUUCAUUUUUUAAGAGAGAGUUUGGACAAAAAGUGUUUUGAAGAGCUAUUAAGGAAGAAAGUGAAACUUAAUUAUAUAGGAACUGAAAAUUGAUAUGAUAAGAGACUAUUUAUUAAUUCAUGUUGGACGUGUUUUUGUUAUCAGAUAGAGUGGUUGUUUGACCACAAUAUCGCCGUUUCUUUGGUUCUUGCUCUAUUCACGUUUCUUUGGUUGUAAACAAAUAUAAAAUUUGGUUUAUGAAAUUAAAUUUUGGCAGAAUAUAAUUAUAUAUGUACAUGUGAAUGAAGAUUAUUAAAAAUGUGAAAUUAUUUAGUGACACAAUAGUAUCUGUGUAUUUCGAUGUGGCAUUGAAGGUGCUAAAUGAAGACAUUUUAGUUUACAAAUAAAAGUUAAAAGAAAGAAAAACUUUAAUAUAUAACAGCAAAACAAUAUUACAUAUUGUGGCAACACAAAAGGUCUUGCUUGACUUAAAAGGUUCUUAAAGCCUUUUCACUCAAAAGAUUCUGUAUCUCCGAGCUCCCAUGAAACUUCUAAAUCCUAUUUUUUUGAGGGAGACUCAAAAAUUAUACACAUUCAAAAGUCAAAAACAAUAGGUUAAAGCUUAUACAUAUACAUAAACUCUUUUAUUGUUCGAUAUCGAACAUUUUAGGAAAAUAUUUUACGCUGUUGAAAAUAGCAAAAAGGAGUAGUAGUUGGGAACUUGUGAAGAUGAUCUGAAUGAUGUAAUCAUCAUGGGUUCGGAUCAGAAUCAGUUUGGAUCUCAUGAGCCAACUCUCUGGUUAGAGAAUCAGCACGAUCGUCGUGUCCUCCUGCAAAUGUGUAGACUUUGAAUGCAAACUGAAAUGCCCGCCAAAGCAUUUUAGCAGAUCCUACUGUCUUCUUCAAACUCGGCUUUGCAUCGGGGGACACGAGCUUUUCGUCUCUCUUUUCCUGUGAAUCCAUUGUUGAUACGAUAAGAUUUCGUACAACAAAAAGAGUUAAAAGGAAAGUUGUUUUAAUAGUAUUAGCAGUUAGUUACCUUCAAUGCAAGUUCCAUGCAAUUUGAUGAGAUAUCAACCAUUGUUUCUUUGAUCUGAAUAAGUAUAUUGAAAUCAAAGUGGAUGUUGUGGCUCUGGAACUUCUUUGAUUCUUCAUCUUUGGUUCGAUCCAAAGUGUCAAUGUCUCCUUUGAUCUGUUUGAUUAAUCAUUGAGUUUUGGAUAUUUAAGUUACAAAAUGUAGUUGAAAUUAGGAUCUUAGUGAAGAUAUUAAAUAAAGUAUUGUAGUUACCUUGGUGAAGUAACGUUCUACUUUAUCAAGAAGCUGGUUCAAAGGAGGUUCUAUUUUCAUGUUCUGUAGCUCGGUGAUCAUACCGUGUAGUUUCGUGUACAAUGCAACAGCCAUUCUCAUUGCUUCGAGUUUCUUCUGCGGAAACCCUUCGCAUCGGGCAAGAACCUAAAAAUUUUAGAACACUUUCACAAUCAAGAAUCACAAAAACAGAGGAUAUUAGAUAUGAAAGUGAUGGUAAAAAGAUGUUUAAAUGUUGCAGACCUGUGACUCGUCUGUUAGGUUUUCAAGAACUGAUUCGACGCGACGGUGGAAGCUAAGAAGCUCAGUCAUGUCUUUAGUCUGGAACUUAGUGAUCUCAAUCUUCAGCUCAUUUAUUGACGUCAUGUACUUUGCAAUAUCGGCUUGUAUUUGCAAAAAAUAUGCAGAUUUCUUUGUGAUCUCAGCAAGAGCAUCAGCCAUUCCUUGCUUUCCACCAGCUGGAGCGCUUCCGGCUCCAGCUUUUCUUCCGCUUCCGCUGCCGGUUUUUGCGUUAGGAUCACGCCCUUCUACUUUCCCUUUAAGGAUUCUAUAAAGGUUUCCUAGUUGUGUUGACCUUUUCAGCUUUGUGGCAGCUUUCUUGGGACGCAAGCUUCUUGCAGCUCCUGGUGGCGGUGGUGGACCAGCUGCUCCAUUCGCCAUACCCAUUCGAGGUGGUGGCGGAGGCGGUCCUGCUGCUCCGUUUGCCAUAGCCAUAGGAGGUGGCGGCGGUGGCGGUGUUGCUCCAUUAGCUAGAGGCAUAGGAGGUGGUGGAGGGGGUGGUCCACCACUUCCACUAUUUCCCAUAGGCAUUGGAGGUGGAGAUGGUGCUCUGUUUUGCAUAGGUGGAGGAGGAGGCGGUGGUGGUGCCGCUUGAGUUCCUGGAGGUGGAGGAGGCGGUGGUGGUGCCGCUGCAGUUCCUGGAGGUGGAGGAGGUGGUGGUGGGGCCACUGCAGCUCUUGGAGGUGGAGGCGGUGGAGGUGGAGCCGCUAUAGUUGUUGGAAGUGGAGGAGGUGGCGGUGGUGGUGGAGCAGAGCCUUUUAAAGGCUUAAAUGCUGGUGGAGUCGGUGGUGGUGGAGCAAAGUGUUUCAAAGGCAUAACUGCUGGUGGAAGCGGUGGUGGUGGUGGUGGAGCAAAGUGUUUCAAAGGCAUAACUGCUGGAGGAGGCGGUGGUGGUGGCGGAGGAGGUGGCAUUGAUAUUGCGAUGUCAGCAAUUGGCGGAGUAGGAGGUGGUGAUGGAAGAGGUAAAGAAGCAGUUUUUAUAAAGGAUAGUGGAGGAGGAGGAGGAGGAGGCGGCGGUGGCGGGAAAAGUUGUGAUGAAUUUUCAUAUUUUUCUGAAUGAUUGAGUUUGGAUUCAGAUGUUGACUCCAAUGAAGAGAUCUUCAUGAUAGUGUCUUGUUCGCCAUUAAGAACAACGGAUUCUUCAUCAAGAUUAACAGAUUCUUCUGUCUCCAUUUUCACAUCAAUGCUCUCUAUUUCAUCCUUCUUCUGCUUGAUCUCUUCAACAACACUAAUCACAUCUUCAUCAUUGCUUUCGUUUGGUUCCUGAGCUUCUUUCUGUGACAAGAUGUGGAUAGCGAGUCGUUUAACAUCGAUAGGACUAAGCUUUUCAAGUGCUUGAACUCUCAUAUUCCAUAAAAGAUGAGAUGCAGAGUUUGCAAAGUCUCCAACUCUUCCCGGUGAACCCAUCAUCGAUUCUGGUAGAACUGAUCUUGGCGUGGUCGGUGACCCGCAAAACGAGUUUCUGCUACCAAAGGAUGAUUUGCUAUCGGAGAAUGAUUCGGAUGGCGAUAAAACUCGACUGCUCGAUGUUUUACCUGUCUGUGGACUAGUGGACUCUUUCUUCUCUUCUUCUUCAUCAAUCUCCAUCAUAUCAAACCUCUCUUUGGACAUCUUAAUCAGUCCAUCUAAUGCAGCUAACACUUUUUCCACUGCAAAAGAAAACAAAACAUUUAAUUUAAAGAGUUUUGCACUUCAAAACAUGUUUAACAUUAAUAUAAAAAAGAUGAUUUUCUUGUUACCUAAGCGAUCAGACUGAUUCUUCCCGACGCUGCUACUCCAAUACUUGGAUUUAGCUAUCCAUUCAGGGUUAUCAAUCCAUGAAUCUCCAAUGGAUUUCAAAGCAUUAAAGAAAUGGUCAAGAACCUGCGAGAAAAACACUUGAUCAGAUUCAAGAUAUAUGAACAUAUAUUAGGACAAAGGUAAAUCAUAUAUUCGGAUCAUGUUUUGAAUACCUUAUCUACAUUUGCACGUCUAAUUUCCAUGAUAUGGGAGCUAUGAAUGAUCUCAGGACAAAUUUUCUGGAGAUCUUUCAUUGUAUGCAUCACCAUCUACACAACAAAACAAACAAGUGAGUCAAAAUUACAUGUAAAGCAUCUAGAUACAAUAAACAAGGAUAUAAGGUUGCGGUUUACGCACAUCGGUUAUGGAAGGAGAACCAUCAAGGGUAGAAAGAUCAAUGAUGUCUCUAAAGGUAAAGAUCUUCCUGCGAAGCUCGACCAUAAGAAUAAAAUUUCCUGUCCAUUUAGGCGAGCUGCUCGUCUUGGGGCUCCUAGCUUCUUUAACAGAAAUAUUCUUGAGGUUGCCUAUAGGCGAUGAAACACGUCUUGAUGAUGUUAAGUAACUCCCGGAUAAUAUUGACUUAGAUGAUCUAAUCGGUAUAGGUGACGAAGAAGGUUUAGGUGAAGAAGAAGAAGUUUUAACAUCCUGCUUGCUACUCUUGCUAACUUUAGGUGAUGCUUGCCCUUUUACAGGCUGCUAAAAAAAACAAAAAUAGAAAUUCAGAAUCAAGUAUUUUGCAUUUUGGAAACGUGAUGAUGAAAAAUUUGUUAGUUCUUUUUUGUUUCAUCAUCAUAGAAUUAAGUUUCAAGAACCAUCAAGAAACCAAAGAUGCAGAACUAUAUGGUUCUAUUGACCAAAAGAUAUAGAUUUUAUGAUGGUAUAUAUUAGCAAGAAUGAUCUAACAUGAACAAAUGAAGACUACAUGGAAUUUUUAGUCUUCUUGGAACUAGUUCAUGUAACCAUAACUCCUAGAGACAGGAAACUUAUUAAGAGUUUUUUAUAUAUGGAUCAUGUGAUUAAUUUCCAAUUCAUAAAUAUGAUUCAUAGAAAAUUUAUAUGAAAGGGUUUUGUGUGUAUAUAUACGUAUAUCAAAAUCAAUCGAGAAAAGUUUAGCAUAUAAUCAAGGAUAUGUGAAUAAUCAUCUAUAAUCAAUCAAGAAAUAUUAAGAUGUUUUACCUGUAACUUGCUUGAUGAUUUACGACCGAACAACAUUGUUGUUUGAAUACCAAAACAGCCUCCGGCUGUCAUUAAUUGCCGGCGACUCCGGCUUUAUAAUGUCAAAAAAUAAACUAUUUUUUUGGUAUUUCUGUUGAAAAAUUCAAAAUAAAAAAUGAAUAUUUACAGACUUGUUCAAAGCCUUACAGCUGAAGAAAUUAAUAAAGAAUAACAUCACAAUCGUAGAAUUCAGAAUCGUGCAGAGCAAAUCUUAUUAGGGUUUUGAGAUUCAGGACUUAUGGAACUUUCUCAAGAAAGAGAGAGCCAAAGGAAAACUAAUGUUGAAUCUGUCUUUUUUAUGGGCAAAUUUCUCUAACCCCUUACUAAAACCUAUCUGUCCUUUUUUUAGUUAAACUUUUUUCUGUUAUUUUUUUCUCACCUGUGUAAUUACUAAUUAUAAUUUUUUGGGAAAGUAGUUUAAAACGAUAUAAUUCUUUUUCUCUCAUAUCUUGUUUUAUUGUUACACCUUUUACUUGAAAGAUUAAACCUUUUUCUAUUUCGAUUAAAUCAUAACAGAAAAAAAAACAUAUUAUCUUUCUUGGUAAUACACAGAAAAUAUAUGAUGCCAUCUUAUGCACAAUCUGCGGGUGUUAGUAAUAAAAUAUAUAUACUAAAAAUAUAUAUGCCAUAUGAGUAAUAUUUUUGAGAUAUUUUUUUGAGAAAAAUAGAAAACAACAUUCAAAAUAAACUUUAACCAGAGAAAUUAAAUUGUAUACAAUAUCACAUACCUCUUUCGAAGAUUUUGUACGUAGCUGUGGUGAGACAGUGAAAUUCUUGUUUACAGACAAAAACAGACCAGUGCCUUUAAGUAAAUAAAAUUUUCUUGAAUAGUCACACAAUAAGUCAAUAAUCAAACUCUUUUUAUACACUGGCCAUAAUCCGUGAUAUAAAUACAUGAUCAAACUCUUCUUUUCACGAAUUAUAUACAGUAUGAAUGUGCAAUAAAGGAUACUAAUCUACCAAUAACUCAUAUACAUAAUCUUACAUGCACAAUUGUAAACAUUUCUUUGAAUUAGUUUGUUUUUAUGUUAAAAUAUAUAUAACUACUAUAUAAGUGGUAAAGUUGGUUUAAACACAACUAAUGACUACCUCAAAAAUUUCAUAUUUUUGGAAAAUAAAUUUUAUUUAUAUAUACAGGAAAUUACAAAGUUUCUUAACAAGAAAAAUUCAAAAGGAAUCUUAAUGUUGUCAUUGUGUGACACUAUUCACAUUCAAAUCUUGUAGAAUAUAUAUUGUUUCGACGGAAAUAUUUUUUGUUAAAUUAAUGAAUUAUGGUUCUACUGAUGAUUAAAUGAUGCAAUAAAGAAAGAAAAAUAAAUGCUGUAAUAGUUCUACUAUGUUUUUUUUAUAGUUUUACUUUUGUUCGACCCAAUAGUAUACGAUUCUUUUUGUUAAAUGUGCUAAGACAUAGUCUAUGUUGGUUGCAUCAAUUCAUGACAUAUGUUUUGUGAAAAAACAGUCCAGUUGUGGUUUUUAAUAAUCUUUUUAAUAUGGUAUUACAUGGUAAUAUAUUAUAAGCUUUUUUGCUUAAUGCUAGUCAAACUUUACAAGUAGAUACGGGAUAUUAUCUAUAUGAUUCAUGCAUCCAAUUUCUAUAUAAAUGGCAUAUAUAAAAUUCAUGCAUCAAAAUAUAAAUGGCAUAAGUUUCAUUAGGUGAACAAUUCAAAUAUAGUUAAACGCGGUGUGGAUUAGACUUUUACAACACGAGAUAAAAUCAACUUCCGGCUAAGAGAUGGAGUACACUUAAUCUUUGUAAUAGGCCCAAAAAAAACCACUAAUACUAAGUUUAAGAAAACGGAGAAACUAACCCAAAUCCGAAGAGAAAACCGGUUGAACAGGCUUUUAAAUCCGAUAUGCAUGCAUGGUUGUGAUUUUCAAGCACUCUUUGUUGUUCCAAUGGUCCAGGUUACUGCUUAUUUAUUUCAGUACCAAUGGACAAUGGUAAGAUUUGUUUUGCUUUUCUAGCAAGGAAUUGUUUCUGAGAAAAUUGGCUUCACAACAUAGGUGUCAUGUAAUGAGGUGAGAAAUCAUAUCUUGGUCUUUUGUGUUAUUCGCUGAGAUUAGGAUUCAAUUUAGUUUUAGGACUUUUACAUAAACAAAACACACAGGAAUGGUUCCAUAAGAACUUGACGAAAAGAAAACACAGGCACCUCAAGUGGGUCUCUUGAUGUUGUAAUCAAUUAAUUUCCGAAUAAAAUGAUCAACCAUAACAUUUACAUAACAUUCAAAACAAGAAUUCCAUACAUUUCCAGAAAACAGGCUCAAUAAAAUUGCAAAUUCAACAAUAUGCAUCAAAUAGAUAAAAUUUAUUUAUUGUUUUUCAUAAUACUAUUUUUUAUUUUGGAAUCACAAAGACCAGUUCCUAAACAAAGGGAACUUAAAGGGAGUACAACUCCUAUAAACAAAGGGAAAACAUAAACGUGGUUUUUGUUGUAUAAGGAACACAAUACCCACUCUUAUUUGUUGUAUAUAGAUCUAGAAAACGUAUCCUUUGAUCAUAGUAUUAAUUUAAUGUUUGUUGCAGUUAGGUUCACAUUUGUGAGAUGUACUGGCCUCACCUUGACGUGCCUCUAUCCUUCUUACAUUAGCACAAUCUUCAGCAUCCUUGAGAUACGCCUCUCUUGAGGACUCUUUAUCGAUCAAGCCUAUAAACGUCUGAAAGCCAAUUCCCACAUCCGAUUGUUUUAAAGAAGGGAACUUGCGGGUCACGUGCAUCUCAGUUUCCUUCUCAGUGUAGCAGUUUUCGAAGCAGAACAUAAACUCAUCCAUGCUUUGUUUCUCUACUUCCCUCUCGAGCCUUUCCUUAACCAACUUCAUAGCCGGGAGCAGCUGCAUCUCAAUGAUCUCGCGAGUUUCUGGUCUCAUCUACAAUCACACCAACAAAAAAUGGAUUUAUUCUAAGUAACACUAUAGAGAGUCAACAAAAGUCUAUCCACUUUCAAGAUUUCAGAUAAUAUCACAAAUGCCCUCAGACAGAUCAUCCGCAGAUCACAAGAAUUAAGAAACUCGAAGAUUCUUUCAACGCACAAUCAAGAAACAAAAAAAAGAUCCAGACAGAAAACAACAUGAAACAGAGCCAGUAAAAUGUAGUAAAAUUUCGAAAUCAAGACAAGACCAUAAAUCCCUAACUAUCAAACCUGAGAUAACUACAGAAAAAGUACCUUUGAUCUAAGAAAUACACAGAAAAGUAUAGGAAAGAGAACAAAACAAGGAUUGUAAGUAAAAAGACACAGUAAUGCGUAGUACUUGCUCUGUUUGAAGAAAACGUACCUUUGAUUGAAAGAAAAAAGUACGGAAAUGUAUAGGAAAGAGAGGAAUGAAACGAAGAUUGUAAGAAAGAGUAGAGAAUGUAUUUAGACCUUUGCGUUGGCUCUGUUUUUAUAGCCAAAACUUCAAAACCCAUUACGCAAGAAACAAAAAAGAUCAGACCUGUGAUCCACUAAGAAAAGUAGUUUUGAAAUGUGUAGGAAAGAGAGAAAUGAAACGAGGAUUUGAGUAAUCUGACGAUGUGUUUAGUACUACUCGCUUUGCUUUCUAGGCAAAAUCGGCAAAGCCUUGUGUUCACGUUUCUCUAAUGGGUUAGUUGGAACUAGGUAAAUUUACUUACAAAAAUAAGAAUCAACCUUCCCAUUAAAGUAUCUACACAAAACAAUUUAACGUUGAAAAACCGAAAAGAAACAGAACAAGAAGAAUGUCAAAGCAUCAAAAAACUCAUAAUGUACUUGUUAUAAUAUAUACGUUGAGUUAAGGGUUAUUAUUCGUAUUGGUUUUAAUCUAAAAUGAAUAUCUCGGAUGUUAUUACAAAACAUCAACUGCUUUUAUUAUCACGAAUAUUAUUAUUAUAUACGUUGGUUAAUCACAAUUUAUUGAUAUGCAUGCAAGUGCAAUACAACCUUUUCGAGAUGCUAUAGUCUAAUGACUCAGAAAUAUUGUAUUGCUCGUCUUCCACUAGAAACAUCAUCGUCGAAGUAUUGUUCCCUGCUCAUAAUUAUUCCCAUAUAAAAAUAUUGUCCAUAUAUAUAUUUCAAUAGAAUAUACUAUAACAAAAAGUAACUUGUAAUUACUUAACAGAAUUGAGUUUUAUAUAUUAAUUAUAGUUUUUAUAACAAUCACCCAUUGGUUAAAAAGCUUCGAAAUUCAUAUUUUUUUUUUACUUUUUCCAAACAAAUUUGUUUCAUAUUAAUUAGUUUAUCAACGUCUUGCGAGAUUCAAUACGUUAAAAAUGUUGGUGGAGUGAGAAAUUGAUGUACAUAAGUUACCACUCUUUGCAUGCCAUAUAUGGGAAGGGUUAUAGUUUGAAUUUACAUCGUCAAGAUAAUGCCAAAAACUACGAAAAGUUGAUAAAGUUGUUAUCUAAUUAAACAUUCUUUGAAAACUAAAAAAGAUUAACAAAAAGGUGAAAAGUAAAAUAUUGACGAAGAGAUGAGGCGGAUUCAGUUUGAGUAAACUCUUUCAUGCAUCCCAAUUUUUACGUGGACCACUAAACUAAUUUAAAUGCAACACGAGAUUAAAUCAUCAUAAGAUUUUUCACCAUGCCAAUUUUAAACAUUAAUGUGCACUAAUAAGAGAUCAAGUAUACAUUAAUUAUAUUCUGAGUAUAUAACCCAAAGUACAAAAAAAAUAUGUACAGUAAAUCGUUUAUGCAUGUAUUAUGUAUACCAUCUGACCUAUUUAUGUUUACUCAAAAUUAAAUUAGUCAAGAAGAUCCAGAGUCACUAACGAAUAUAUACUUAGCUUGUCUCUGUACGUAAAUAAACACACAAGAUUGGUUUCCAUAAGAACUUAGGCGAAAGGAAAACACAGGAUCCUCAAUUGGGUCUCAUUGAGUUGUAAUCAAUUAUAACUUCCGAAUAAAAUGAAAAUAUAGAUAAAAUUAUUUUUUGGUUUUUCAUUACACUGUUUUUAUUUUGGGAUCACAAAGACCAAUUCCUAAACAAAGGGGAAUUAAAGGGAGUACAACUCCUAUAAACAAAGGGAAAACAUAAACGUAGAUUUUGUUGUAUAAGGAUCACAAUAACCACUCUUAUUUGUUGUAUAUAAAUUUAGAAAACGUAUCCUUUGAUCAUAGUAUUAAUUUUAAUGCUUGUUGCAGUUAGGUUCACAUUUCUGAGAUGUACUGGCCUCACCUUGACUUCUCUUAGCUUCCUCAGAAGUAUCACGAGCCUGACUCCUUCUUACACUAGCACAUUCUUCAGCAUCCGUGAGAUACGCCUCUCUUGACUCUUCAUCGGUUACGGCUUUAGAGAUCUGAAAGAAACUUUUCACAAUCUUAAGUACGUAAGAAGGAAACAUCUGGGCGAUAUGAGUAAAAGUUUCAUCCUCUGUGUAACAGUUUUCGAAACAGAACAUGAUCUCGUCCAUGGAUCGUAGUACUUCGUUGUCGGUCAUAUUUCUCUGAGCCGCUUUAAUUUUUGUGAGCUGUUUCUGAAUAACCGCGAGAGUUUCUGGUCUCAUCUAGAAUCAUACCAACAAAAGGAAUUGAUUAUCUUAGGAUCAAAUACAAGAUCAUUAAAACUGAAACAAUAAUCAAAACCGGACUAACGUGAGAGUAAAGCAUUACACAAAACAAAAGUUUGUCCAUAUUUCAGACAUUAUCCAAAUGCAAUCAGAAAAAUCUCUUUGCGGAUCACAAUAAUUACGAAAACGUGUUCCAGUUCAAAGAAUCACAUUCAAGAAACAAAAAAUGAUCAAGACUGAAAUCAAAAAGCAGCAAAAUUUGAAAAAUAAGGACAAGACCCAUAUUGCAAGAAAAAUCAGGAUAUCAACUUAAAAUAUGGUACCUUUGAUUGAAGAACAAAUGUAUAAGAAAGAUGGAACGAGGGAUGUGUUUAAUAUUUUCUCUGUUUUUAUAAAGAUCAAAUAACAAACGUACCUUUGAUUGAAAGAAAAAAGUACGGAAAUGUAUAGGAAAGAGAGAAAUGAAACGAAGAUUGUAAGAAAGAGUAGAGAAUGUAUUUAGACCUUUGCUUUGGCUCUGUUUUUAUAGCCAAAACAUCAAAACCCAUUACGCAAGAAACAAAAAAGAUCAGACCUGUGAUCCACUAAAAAAGUAGCUUUGAAUUGUGUAGGAAAGAGAGAAAUGAAACGAUCGAGGAUUUGAGUAAUCUGACGAUGUGUUUAGUACUCGCUUUGCUUUCUAGGCAAAAUCGGCAAAGCAUUGUGUUCACGUCUCUCUAAUUUGCUAAUUGAGUUAAGGGUUAGUUGGAACUAGGUAGAUUUACUUACAAAAAUAAGAAUCAACCUUCCCAUUAAAGUAUCUACACAAAACAAUUUAACGUUGAAAAACCGAAAAGAAACAGAACAAGAAGAAUGUCAAAGCAUCAAAAACUCAUCAUGUACUUGUUAUAAUAUUUUUUUUUAAUUAUUAUUCGUAUUGGUUUUAAUCUAAAAUGAAUAUCUCGGAUGUUAUUACAAAACAUCAACUGCUUUUAUUAUCACGAAUAUUAUUAUUAUAUACGUUGGUUAAUCACAAUUUAUUGAUAUGCAUGCAAGUGCAAUACAAACUUUUCGAGAUGCUAUAGUCUAAUGCCUCAGAAAUAUUGUAUUACUCGUCUUCCACUAGAAACAUCAUCGUCGAAAUAUUGUUCCUUGCUCAUAAUUUUUCCCAUAUAAAAAUACUGUCUAUAUAUAUAUAUUUCAAUAGAAAUAUAGAAUAUACUAUAACAAAAAGUAACUUGUAAUUACUUAACAGAAUUGAGUUUUCUAUAUUAAUAAUUCUUUUAAUAACAAUCACCCAUUGGUUAAAAAGCUUCGGAACUCAUAUUUUUUUUACUUUUUCCAAACAAAUUGUUUUCAUAUUUAUUAGUUUAUCAACGUCUUGCGAGAUUCAAUACGUUAAAAAUGUUGGUGGAGUGAGAAACUGAUGUACAUAAGUUACCACUCUUAAAAAAAAAAAAAAAAAAGUUACCACUCUUUGCAUGCCAUAUAUGGGAAGGAUCAUAGUUUGAAUUUACAUCGUCAAGAAAUGCCAAAACUACGAAAAGUUGUUAUAUAAUUAAACACUCUUUGAAAACGAAAAAAUGAUUAACAAAAAGGUUAAAAGUACAAAUGAUCAAGUAUACAUUUAUAUUCUGAGUAUAUAAUCACAAGUACAAAAAAUUAUGUAAAAUCGUGUAUGCAUGUAUUAUGUAUAUCAUCUGACCUAUUUAUGUUUACUCAAAAUUAAAUUAGUCAAGAAGAUCCCGAGUCACUAAUAUAUAUAUAUUUCUAAGUCAGUAAAUAUCAUAAAAAUGAAAUAGUUAGGAAUUACAAUAGAAACUCCUAAAUAUUUAGUUCCUUGGCAAAAAUUAUGAUAAAAAACAAAGAAGUAAAACAAUCUUUAGUCACUAACGAAUAUAUACUUGUCUCUGUUCGUAAAUAAACACACAAGAUUGGUUCCAUAAGAACUUAGGCGAAAGGAAAACACAGGCUCCUCAAGUGGGUUCUUGAGUUGUAAUCAAUUAUAACUUCCGAAUAAAAUGAAAAUAUAGAUAAAUUUUUUUUUUAGUUUUUCAUUACGCUGUUUUUAUUUUGGGAUCACAAAUACCAAUUCCUAAACAAAGGGGAAUUAAAGGGAGUACAACUCCUACAAACAAAGGGAAAACAUAAACGUGGUUUUUGUUGUAUAAGGAACACAAUACCCACUCUUAUUUGUUGUAUAUAGAUCUAGAAAACGUAUCCUUUGAUCAUAGUAUUAAUUUUAAUGUUUGUUGCAGUUAGGUUCACAUUUGUGAGAUGUACUGGCCUCACCUUGACUUCUCUUAGCUUCCUCAGAAGUAUCACGAGCCUGACUCCUUCUUACACUAGCACAUUCUUCAGCAUCCGUAAGAUACGCCUCUCUUGACUCUUCAUCGAUCAAGGCUAUGGACUUCUGAAAGAAACUUCUUACACUCUUGGGUACGUAAGAAGGAAACUUCUGAACUAUAUGAUUCACAGUUUCAUUCUCUGUGUAACAGUUUUCGAAACAGAACAUGAACUCGUUCAUGGCUCGUAUUACUUCGUGGUCGGUCAUAUUUCUCUGAGACGCUUUCAUUUCUGUGAGCUGUUUCUGAAUAACCGCGAGAGUUUCUGGUCUCAUCUAAAAUCAUACCAACAAGAGAAAAAUGAUUAUCUUAGGAUCAAAUACAAGAUCAUCAAAACUGAAACAAUAAUCAAAACCGGACUAACGUGAGAGUAAAGCAUUACACAAAACAAAAGUUUGUCCAUAUUUCAGACAUUAUCCAAAUGCCAUCAGAAAAAUCUCUUUGCAGAUCACAAGAAUUACGAAAACGUGUUCGAUUUCAAAGAAUCACAUUCGAGAAAUAAAAAAUGAUCAAGACUGAAAUCAAAAAGCAGCAAAAUUUGAAAAAUCAGGAUAUCAACUUAAAAUAUGGUACCUUUGAUUGAAGAAAAAAUGUAUAAGAAAGAUGGAACGAGGGAUGUGUUUAAUAUUUGCUCUGUUUCUUCAAAGAUCAAAUAACAAACGUUCCUUUGAUUGAAGAAACGAAACGAAAACGAAACGAAGAUUGAAAGUAAGCGUAGGAUAUGUGCAUAUGUUUAGUACUUGCUCUGUUAUUUUAUAGGCAAAACUUCAUGACCUGUUACGCAAGAAACAAAGAUCAGACCUAGGAUCCACUAAAAAAUACCAUUGACACGAAAUGUGUAGGAAAGAGAGAAAUGAAACGAGGAUUUGAGUAAUCUGACGAUGUGUUUAGUACUACUCGAUUUGCUUUACAAGCAAAAUCGGCAAUGGCUUUGUGUUCACGUCUCUCUAAUUGGCUAAUUGAGUUAAGGGUUAGUUGGAACUAAGGAAAUUUAUUUACAGAAAAACAAAAAGAAUCAAAUUCCGAUUAAAGUAUUUACUCAAAAUUUGCAACGUAGGAAAACCAAAGAAACAGAAAAAGAAGAAUCUCAAAGCAUCAGAAACUCAUCAUCACUUGUUAUAAUCUUUCUUUAUUAUUACAAUUUUUUUAUAUCUAAAAUAUCUAUCUCGGAUAUUAUUACAGAAAGUUUUUUUAGUGUCAUAAAAAUUAUUAUAUUCGUUGGUUAAUCACAAUUCAUUGAUAUGCAGUGCAAUAGUUCCUUGCUCAUAAUUUUCCCCAUAUAAAAAUAUUAUCCAUAUAUAUUAUAGAGUGUAUUACAUAUUUACAUUAUAGAGUUCAAUCAAUAACAAAAAAUAAAAUAAAUUGUAAUUGCUGUACAGAAUUGAGUUUUAUAUAUUUAUGGAUUUUAAUAAUAAUCAUCCCCAUUGGUUAAAAAACCUUCGGAAUUCAUCAUAUUUAUUUAUCAACCUCUUGCGUGAAUCAAUACGUUAAAAAUGUUAGUGGAGUACAGAAAUUGAUGUAUACUUUGAGUUAUAACACUCUUUGCAUGCCAUAUAUGGGAAGGGUUAUAGAGUUUGAAAUUUUACAUCGUCAAGAAAUGCCAAAACUACGAAAAGUUGAUAAAGUUGUUAUCUAAUUAAACACUCUUUGAAAACUAAAAAAGAUUAACAAAAAGGUGAAAAAUAAUUAAAGUAAACUAUUGACGAAGAGAUGAGGCGGAUUCAGUUUGAGUAAACCAUUCGUGCAUCCCAAUUUUUACGUGGAUCACUCAAAUUUUUAAAACGCGUUGUGCCGUAAGUAUCUUUUUGAGUUUGCAUGCAAGUCGAGAUUUUUUUAGAUUUACAUUUAUGUGCACUAUUAAAACAUUAAGUAUACAUUUAUAUUCGGAGUAUAUAAUCCACAUUACAAAAUAUAUAUACAUCGUUUAUGCAUCUAUACCACAUGCACCUGACCUAUUUAUGUUUACUCAAUUUGACAUUAUUCAAGAAGAUCCAGAGUCACUAACCAAUACCUAUCUUUGUACAUAAACAAAACACACAAGAUUGGAUCCUCAAGUGGGACUCUUAAGUUGUAAUCAAUUCAUUUACGAAUAAAAUGAAAAGAUAGAUAAAAUUAUUUUUGGUAUUUCAUUAUACUACUUUUAUUGGUGAAUCACAAAGACGUUGGAGUACAACUCCUAAACAAAGGUACAUCAUAUAUAAACAUGGAUUUUGGUUGUAUAGGAACACAAAAACCACUCUUAUUUAGACAACGUAUCCUUUGAUCAAAGUAUUAAUUUUUCGGAAUUUUGGGAUAACGUUUCUUGCAGUUACGUUCACAUUUGUGAGAUGUACUGGCCUCACCUUGACUGUUCUUAGCUUCCUCAGAAGUGUCACGCCCCUGACUACAUCUUCGAGACCAACAAGCUUCAGCAUCCUUGAGAUACGCCUUUUUUGACUCUUUACCGGUCGCUGAUAUCAACAAUUUAAAGAACUUUCUCACAUCCGCAUCCGCAGGUACUAAAGACGGAAACUUAUUUUUCAUGUGAAACACAGUUUCAUUCUCAGUGUAGCUGUUUCUGAAACAGAACAUGUACUCAUCAACGAAUUGUUUUUCAUCUUUGUCUCCCGGAAUUCUAUUAGCCGCCUCCAUAGCCUUGAGCUUUUUCUGAAUUGCCUCGAGAAUUUCAGGAUUCAUCUACAAUGACACCAACAAAAUUGAUUACCAAGAUGAAUUGAUGAUUCUAGAGAACAAAACAAAUGAUUUAACACAAGAUUAUUAAAAAGUGAGAAAAUAAUCAAAACCUUACUAAAGUGAGAGUAAAGCAUUGUAAAAGACAAAACUGUAUCCAUAUUUAGUUUACCAUCCCAAAUACCCUCAGAAAAAUCUCUUUGCAGAUCACAAAAGUUACGAAAACGUGUCGAUUUCAAAGAUGCACAUUCAAGAAAAUUAAUAAGCAGCAAAAUUUGGAAAAUGACUUCAAGACCCAUAAAGUUCAAGAAACAAAGAUUGGUUCUGAGACCAACUAAAAGAAUGUUACCUUUGAUUGAAGAAGAAAAGUAUAAGAAAGAGAGCAAUGAAACGAGGGAUGUGUUUGGUAUUUGCUCUGCUAUUUCAAAACGUACCUUUGAUUGAAGAAAAAACACGAAAAUGUAUAGAAAAUUGAGCAAUGAAACGAGGAUUGUUUAGUAAGAAUAGAAUGUGUGAAUAUGUUUACUACUAGCUCUGUUUUUUAUAGGCAUAACUUCAUGACCCAUUACGCAAGAAACAAAUAUCAUACCUGGGAUCCACUAAAAAAUUACCUUUGAUUGACACGAAAUGUGUAAGAAAGAGACCAAUGAAACAAAGGUUUUGAGUAAUCUUACGAUGUGUUUAGUACUCGCUUUGCUUUCUAGGCAAAAUCGGCAAAGCAUUGUGUUCACGUCUCUUUAAUUUGCUAAUUGAGUUAAGGGUUAGUUGGAACUAGGAAAAUAUGUUUACAAAAAAAGAAUCAACCUUCCCAUUUAAGUAUCUACCCAAAUUUUCCAACGUUGAAAACCCAAAAAGAAACAGAAGAUGAAUCACAAACUCAUAACUUGUUAUAAACUUUCUUUAUUAAUUAUUAGUGUUGCUUUUAAUGUAAAAUAUCUUGGAUGUAGUUACAAAACAUCAACUGAUUUUUUUUUGUCACGAAAAUUAUUAUAUUCGUUGGUUAAUCACAAUUUCUUGAGAAGGUAGUCUAGAUGACCCUAGAAACUUUGUCGCAAAUGUUACUUGCUCAUAAACUUUCUUCAUUGUCGCAAUUUAAUUUGCACUAAGAGAUUCUGUAUCUUUUGUGUAUAUAAUCAAAAUUACAAAUAUAUAAAUCUCAGUGUCUUACCCAAAUAAAUUACAAAUUAAUAUUCAGAAAAGAAAAACGUUUGAGAAAAUAAUAAAUAAAUAGUCGUGACACAAGCAAAAUCAAGAAGAGCUUGUAUCACCACCAAAUGAAUGUAAAAGAAUUUUUGAAGUGACCAAAGAAAAGCGUUUUGAGUAUCUCAUUUGACGCAGCUCCAACGGUUUUCUUCACUUAUGUAGCCCUUUCGCGAACCAAAGGAGCUCUGCUCGAACCUUUGUCUAGAGAAACUUUACGAGAUGCAGUCAUGGCUGAUCUCUCUGCGAUUCUUUUUUGCCUUUCCAUUACAAGGUUUUCUAUUCUCUUCCGCAUCUCUUCUUCCUACAAUCCCAAAGCAAGAAACUAAUUCAAUUAUCGGAUAAAAACCGCUAAAGAAACUGCGAUUGUAAAUUUUUUUGAUCUUACCUUUUCAAACUUGUUCUUCUGUGCCAUUGUUCUGCUAGCUACUGUUGGUUUCUUUGCAGUCUUGGACAUUGUUUCCGCUCUGGUUCUACUUGGAGUUUUAGACUUACGAGUUUCCGGGUUCUUCACAUUGUUUUUCUUCUCGCCGCUCUUAUCUUCUUUCUCCUGAGCUGUUCCGUUACUGGAUAGCCUUGCAUUUGCUUCAGCAGAGAAAUCAAUCGAAUAAUCAUUAGCCAAAGAGUCUCCUGAAUUGCGUUCAGGAAUCAUACAAAGAUCAUUUGGUUCCCAUGAAUCGUGUUUUUCAUUAGCAUGCCCGUUGUCAACGUCAGAGGCUAAAACAAUAUCAGCAGCCAUGUCUGGUCUCCACCGAGAGUCAUAAAGAUCAUCAGCAGCAAGCGAUGAUGAAUGGACCAUGAAAGAAUCAUCAACGAAUUCUUGUUUCUUGCUCUUAUCAGAACCUUGAGAUGUCAAAAUGCUGUCAUCAAAUGACAUUCUCCCGUAGUUGAUUUCCGGUUUCCCAGCACGAUUACCCGAAGCAGUAAACCAAUCCUCUCCACUCCCUGACUUCUUCACCAACGAUUCACCCCUUGUAGCAUUAUACAUGUCUUUGCUUUCAUCUCCUAACAUUUCUGAUCUCUUAAGCAGUAACAUACAUUCUUCAGUCGAGUCCCUCGUUCUUGGAAGCCUGCGAGCACUAUCCUCACUUUCAAAAUGAUCAAAGCUAUCUCCUCCAUCUUCUAUGUACUUAUGCGUUGUGAUGAUGGAAUCACCCGAGGCAGUGUUCUUUGUUUGCAAGCCAUUAGAAUUUGCACCCACACUAGCGCCUCUAUGUGUGAAAUGCUCCUGACCGAUGACAUCCAUUGAAUGCACAUCUGAGCCAUCAUCGUGCCUCAUCAAAAUAUUCUGAAAUGAAUCCCAAUUCUCGUUGCUUCGUUUUUCUUCACCAGAAACUUCUCCCUCAUGAGCUCUUUUUUCGUUGAGCAUUCCAACAGCAGCAUCUACAGUCUCUUUGAUGGAACCGUUGUCCGUAAACUCAUUUCCCUCCAUGUCUCCAUUUCUUCCCUCCGGGGUUAUAUAGUUAAUAUUACGGAUGAUAACAGUUUUAGAUGACUUCUUCCGGUUUUUCUUUGAUCGGCGUGAGUUUUUACUUGUACGAGAGUGUCUUUUACCUUGAUCUUCCAAAGAUGAAGCAGAAUCAUCGCUGGCCGAUUCAGAUUCACUAGAUUCACUUGAUUCACUAGACUCAUCUCCAUCAGAAUCCCCCUUCCCUUUUUUCUUGGAUGUUUUGCCCCUUGAAGGCCAUGGCAUGUUUCCUUGGUUUUGAUUUGGCAUGUGUUGCAUAGGAGGGUACGGAUAGCCUUGGUAUGGAGACGGGUAAAAGUAUUGAGGCAUAUGGUUUGGCCAUCCCAUUGGUGCUUGAAAGUUUGGAACACCGGACGGAUGUUGCUCUAAAUUAACUGACUUGUCAUCUACAAAUCAAAACUUCUUCACAUUAGCAAUCUAACCUUUAUUGGAAUCUCUGAGAUGAAAUACUACAAGGUGGUUUAUUUUCCGAACCUGUAUUAGAUGGCAUUGAGUCUGUCCCAUUUAGUGAUAGAGCAGCACCUUCAUUAGUGAGGAUGAUGCCUGAGGAACCCAACAAUGACAUGUCCACUGGAGCACACGCUUUCACAGCUGCUAAUUCCGCCAUCCAAAGCCCAUCACCGUGCUUCUUCUUCCAUAGUUCUUUAUACAUUAUGCAUGCUUCUCUGCAUAAUGAUGGAAAAGGACAUUAGAUUUCAAACUGAUCUCAUAGUAAAGCAAAUGAAAGAGGUUAAGAAACGAUGAAAUGUUUAGUAGUAGUUACAUUACAUACCUUAACCUUGAAGCCCCGAAAGCAUCAGCAAAUAAAAUGAGAUCAUCAAUACUAUCAAUUUCAUAACCAGCAACAACCCCUCGUGCAUAAGCCAUUGCUUGCUCUCUUCGAAGCAAUGUUCUUCUAGUUUCAAGAAGACGUUGAAGUUGAAUCCUAAUAAAUGAAACAAACACAAAAAAAGAAAUUAGUCAAAGCAACACUCACCAUCAGUUGCAUAAUGCACCAAAAGAAAUGUUCCAUAGUUAAAAGAGUUACUUAGAGGUUUCCUCUCCUACCACCUCAUUGCCAUUCUCAGAUUCCUUCUGUGUAAUACAUUGAGACGAAAAAAAUCAAUUCACCAAACCAGCCCUUACGAAAAUAACACAGUACCACUUGAAAGCGCGCACGAGUUACCUUAGAGGACUCAUUCGACUUCUUUAGAUUACUGCUAUCUCCAGAAUUACUCCCUGCAAAUGAUAAGCAAAACAGGAUUAAGAUAAUGUCAAGAACGCUGUUUAAACCAACACAAUUGCCAUUACAAGCUAGCUUUUUAGCUUACCGUCUUGUAAUUGCAGAGCAUCAGCAGCAUUGGCAAUUUCAUUAGCUUGAAUAGAAUUCUCAAUCUGCAAAAUCUCUUUCUCCAGAGUCGCAAAUCUUUCGAUAAUCGCAGGCGUGUUUACAAAUCUCACAAACCUACAAUUAAAGAAACUUAAUCAAUAACAAGUCAACAUUGUCUCUACACAGUAACAAAAAUCUUCCACACACCAUUUAUCAUCACAAAGUCAUUAUCACAAACUUGACAUAAACACCAGAUUUCUACUCGAAUUAGCAUAAUUCGAAUCUGAAUUUGGAAAUUGUCAACAAAAUCGAAGCCGGAUUAUCAAAAUUGAAAUUACCGAUCAAAAGUGGAUUUGGUGAACCAAGAAGAGUGAGAAGAAGGAGGAGUCAGAGAAAUGGAGUAACCGCCUUUAGAGAUCUGAUCUCUAGCGAACUUAAGAUGAGAGACGAAUGGUUCAAAAAUCCCUGAAGCUAGCUUCUCCUUCUUACUCCCACAGAAUAGAACCAGAUCGAAUCUUCAACACAAAAACCACAAAACCAAAACACAAUUCAACAAAAGAAAAUCAAAAUUCAACAACAAAUGAAGAUCAAUCAAUCAAAUCAAAAGUGAGACCUAGUGCGAGUAGGAGUGAGUUGAAACAAAGCGGAAUCGAGAAUAGCUCUAGAAUCCAUAGUGGUUGGCUACGGAGAGAGAAUAACCAGUGAAGUUCUUCUUCUUCGUCUUCGUCUCUCUGAUGAUGAUGGAGAAGAAGGAAGAAGAAGAUAAAGGCAGAGACGUGAAGGAGACAUAUUGACUUUUUUUUUUUUUUUUUGGUGGAUUCGAAGCUUUCGGUGACAGCAAAGGAUGAGUUAAGAGUUGGCACAUGGUUGGAUUCACAUUAGUGACUGACCAAUACUAUUAUUUAGUGGUCCCCAUUCAAUUAUGUUUUAUGCUCAUCCUCGUCGUCGUUUUUUUUUAAUUAUUUUUCCUAAUCGAUCCAUCUUCUUAUAAUCAAUGUUAUUGUUAUAGUAUGUGUUAUUUUUUUCUCUUGUCGGCUAUUAAAUCGAUAUAUCAUAGACACUAGAAAAGAAAUAUCAAACAACAUAACAAAGUACCGUUUAGGGAAAGUGGUGUAAGCCCACCUCAACGGGUAGAAGUUAUUCUUAAUUGGAGUUUAAUAGAUGAGUAGGUCCAUAUUGGAAGGAAAAGACAUAUGAGAGACGAAUGACCAUGACAAGAAUGAUCUAUGGAAUUAGGGUUAUGAGUUUUGUUUGGAUUGGGAAUAAAUUUUGAUUUUGGUUUCUUGAAAAUAUUUGCAAGUGAGAAUAAAAAAGAUAUCGUCAGAAAUGUAUAAUGAUCAAGCAAUGAAUAGAUUUAUAUAUUGAAACAUUAUGCGAAAUGUGAGGAUUUUAAAAUGUGAAUCCAAACAAAUUUAGUUGCACAAGGUUUUAAAUGAUACAUAUUUUAAUACAGAAUGGAUUAUAUAUAAAUUUGGAAUUCGUCCUAAAUGUAAGAUUAUUUAUUUUAAUUCAGAAUGCUUCUAGAAGGAUGUGAAAAUUUUGCUUAUUGUAUUUGUAAAAAUUCGAUCACUCGAUAUAUAUACCAAAAGAAAUUGUGAUUAUGUUCAAUUUUUUUUUUUUUAACAGCUUCUUUCAAUUGAUAUGAUUAACAGUAAUACAGUGUAGAGCAUUUGUGAUUAUGUUCAAUAAAUUAUGUUUUUACUCAAGUAUUUAGUUGACUAAUUGUUUUUCUAAUGUUAAAUUGACUAAUCAACAAAAAAAAAAAUAUUACAACAGUUUGGAUUCAUUGAAAACUUUCAAACCUGUUUAAAAAUAAGGAAACAGAUAAAAAAAAAUGCGAGAAACAUUUCAUAAUAAUGGGAAAUUACAUUUUGCUUCUCUUUAAAAUUAUUUCUAUAUGAUUAGAUAGGUUACAAAAUAAAUCACUUUGUGACAAGAGAAUCAAUAAACACAAUUAACUAACUUCUUACGAGGAUGAAGUUCAUCGAAAAAUGAGUAGUUAAAAUUCACAAAAUACUUAAUUGCCAUCAAUUAAAUUAAAAUAGAAUUAUCAUCAAUUAAAUUAUAUUAGAAUCAAGGAAAAUUAGCGUAUUUUUUCUCCUUCAUUUUAUUUUAAUUUUAUUGAUGGUAAUGGUCAGCUUGUACGUGGUGUUGAUGCUCCUUAAUUAAUCUCCAAUCCUUUCUUCAACUUCUAACAAGUUCUUCGUGACUGCAUCCGAUGCCAUGGCCAAGAACUCUGACCAGUCUCUGAACAAUAGAAAACUCAAUUUAGAAACAAGCACAUUUACAUUACCAAAUAAUAAUUUAUGAGAUAUAAGAUUGUUAUUUCUAUAUUGCGUGUAUGAUUUCUAACAAAUUCGUAAAAGAACCUGUAAUCAAAAAAACAGUCGAAUGUUUUAUAAAAUAAAAUGCUAUGUUUUUAUUUUAAGCAAUCCUAAUAUUUUAAUAUGUAAAAAUGAACUAUAUAUUGCAUUCAUAUGGUUAAAAAUGAUAAAUAUAUAUAUAUAUAUAUAUAUGUAUAUAUAUAUAUAUAUAAUGUAGAAAAACAAGAGCAUACCCAUUAGAUGUAUCAAACGUGAGUCCUACGGUAUAUUUUGCUUCCUCGAGAGCCAAUUGAAACCUCCGGAUCUCGGCAGCUGGACGUGUCUUGUCGUCUUUUACGCAGAGUUCCGAUGGCUUGACAUCGCAAAAUAUAGGGAUGACUCUUUUCUUGUUCUUCACGAGCAAUGCGAGUUCAUGGAGACAGAAGUAAGAGUCACAGUAACGAGGAGAGAAAACCGCAAUACCAACCCCGCAUGCUUUGAUUGCCAUGUCGAUCUCGACAAAAAGCCUGUCUCCAGGCUUUAAACUCUUACUAUCCAAGAAAGCAGUCAAACGUUGUCUAGUGAAACAAUCAUAUAGUAGGCCUGAAAUAGUCUUCUUGGUAUCGAUCCCACGAUGAUUGAUGAAAAUAUCACAUGGGUUUGGGUAAGGUAGGGUUGGAUUUGCAAUGUAUCUUGUUGUGUAUGCGAUUUUUGAGCAAGGUGUUAACAAACGUUGCAUCGAAGAGUUUUGAAUAGACGAGGAAGAAAUGAAAUGAUUGAAUUAAGCGAAAGAGUGAUUUAGAGAUGAAGACUGGUUUUGAUAUAUUUUUGAUAAUUGCUUUUAGUAUUGUGGAAGAAGAAAUGAUUUUAGAUUAGUAAGAAAUAGAUAUGUGUCUCUAUAUUUAUAAGUGAUCGUUUUACGCUUAUAGUUAGCUAUGGUUUGUGUCUUUGUGAAUAAGGUCCGAGAACUCCAUGUCGGAUCUUGGAUAUUUUGCCACUUUGUUUUUGUAAAUAUUCAUAAAAAUUGUGAUUCUUCUCGCGCUAAUACUCAAGGAAGAAUUCAAACUUCUUUUUCUAACAUUUGGACUUCAAGAAAAUACUAGUGUCUAUUUGAAAAUACUUCAAGAAACGAGUGAAUUUAUUCUUAUCUUUGACUUGCAAGCAUUUUUGUCUUUUCUCGUGUGGUUUGAAGAAAAGAUUAAAAAAAAACCUUCAAAGACGUACAUAUACUUUUGAAUCAAAAAAUAUUUGUUAGUUAUAUUUGCGUCAAAAAGUAUUCGCUACUUUUCCUUUGUUCUUUUUUAUACUAAACCCCGUUGAAAGAAGUAAGUAAAAGUGUAAACAUCUUUGAAACGGUCACCAUCUCAAAAAGUAACAUAGUAAAAGCAAAGAGAAAUGACCAACUGUAUCUAGAAUAAAGAUAUUAAAUCAAAAUACAAAUUCAUCAAUAAAAUUAAAUUUCAUAUUAACUCAGAUAUUAAAUUUAAAUAGACACACCAAUUUCUUAGGAAGAUAUAUGUUUUGAUGUUUUCAGUUUAGUCAACAGCUUAUAUAUAAAUAAAACGGUUUAAAAAAAGUUAUAAAAAGGUGGUACAACGUAACAUAACUAACCAGUCCGCUUUGAUAUGUUUUGAUGUUUAUAUUUAUUUAAUCUUUAAUGGCCAUUUGUAUUAUAUCGUAGUUUUUACUCUCGUUAAUUUUAUAAGUGAAAUACUAAACUAUUUUGUUCGUACAGAAAAAAAAGAGACGAAAUAUAUAUAGAAUUAAUGUUCGAGAUGUCGGGGCUGGGCUGGGCUGGGAGUGGACAGUAAUCUGAACCACAACCGUGUGUAAUACUAAUAUAUGAGUCUCCUCGAAUCCUCUCAUGGAACAGUUGGAAGAAGAAGAAUUUGGAGAGUUUGCUAACAUAGUGUCAAAAAGAAUUGUCACAACUCACAAGAAUGAAGAGGGGGAAGAAGAAGAAAUUUCUCAAAAAUUUAGCCAUUAGAGGCCUAAAAUCCUAGCCUAGUCCAUAUCUCAGAAGCAAAUCCUCAAUUCUAUCACCCAAACUCUUAAAGUUAGGCUUCAAAGGAAUUUAGAUGAAAGGAUCAUGGGCCUUACCUUUUGAGUCUUAGCAUCGCAUGCAUGCCUAUGGCCGGGCCUACUACUAUAGGAUGAGGUCCACUAGAUUCAAUCUAUAUCAAGGUGAGCCAGUCUUUUUAUACCACGUCCUAGUGAUGUCCACCGAAAUGUAACAAAACAUCCUAGCAGACCCCAUGACCUCAUAUCUCCUGACUCCUGAUAAAGUCACCUCACCAUAUCUCUUGAACAAUGUCCUUCGACGACGAAGAAUCUUCGUACACCUCGUGUAGUUCCAUGCAACGAGUCGAUCGAUUCCUAAAAACAUCAUCAGUAAUUUGAAACUCUUGAUUAUUGAUAAUAUUACUAACUUGGAAAAUUAUGCUAGUACCCAAAGUUUAUACAUGUAUAUAUAUAUAUAUAUAUAUAUAUAUAACUACUACAGUCGACUAUUUGGAUUUUCUUUGUAUUAAUUAUCUUCAUAGUUUACUAGAGUUCAAUUGCGAACGAAAAACACAUUUUGGUAACACGAUAAUUUUUUAAAAUAUAUUUAUAGAGAAUUCCCACAUUUCUAGUUUUUAUAAAAUCUUACACAAAAACCAAAAUGAGGUAUGUGCGUGAUGUGUAGCAUAAGAAAGGCAUGACAUAAGGCAGUUCGAAAAAACCCUGCCUUUUCUCCAAAAUUUAAUGCCCAUUGGCCGCUAAUUUUGGGCCCUACGAUUAGCCACGUGUAAUUUCCUCGUCGAGGGACCCAGUUCGGUACUCAUAUGCUCACACAAACCUAACACCUAUUUCUUCUCGCAUCUUAUAUGAAACACAUUCACUCUCCAAAAUAAUCUAUACUUUUCCUACAUAUUCUCUUGACGAUCAUGAGACUGAUUUCGUGAAAAUAUCGUCAUUAUAUCAAAUUAGAAGUUGAUGGAAAACAUGGGGGAUUCGAGCAUAGGGCCGGGCCAUCCGCAUCUCCCUCCCGGGUUUCGGUUUCACCCGACUGAUGAGGAACUAGUAGUUCAUUACCUCAAGAAGAAAGCAGAUUCUGUUCCACUUCCAGUCUCAAUCAUCGCAGAGAUUGAUCUUUACAAGUUUGAUCCUUGGGAGCUUCCAAGUAUUUAUAUUUCCUAAUUUAUGCUUUAAUGAUAUGAUUAAAAUGUACGAUUUAAUUUUACUAUGACCACUGUAAUCUAGCCACUAUUUAAAUUUGGUAUAUAUAGUAACUAUCUUGUGGAUAAUAAUAUUUUGAAUGGUUUAGGCAAGGCGAGUUUUGGAGAGCACGAGUGGUACUUCUUUAGUCCUCGGGAUCGGAAGUAUCCAAAUGGGGUUAGGCCAAACCGGGCAGCAACUUCCGGUUAUUGGAAAGCAACGGGAACCGAUAAACCGAUAUUUACGUGCAAUAGUCACAAGGUUGGUGUCAAGAAAGCGCUUGUUUUUUACGGUGGAAAGCCUCCUAAAGGGAUAAAAACAGAUUGGAUCAUGCAUGAAUAUCGCCUCACUGAUGGUAACCUUAGCACUGCGGCUAAGCCGCCUGACUUAACCACGACAAGGAAAAACUCACUACGGGUAUGUGAAAAAUGAUAUUAACCAAACUCACUAAGCCACCAUUAUACACUACUAUUUUAAUCUACAAUAUUGUUUCACGUGGGAAAAUCAUACCAAAAUCUUUUCUUUUUUGGGAAAACUCAAGAUACUCUUCUGGUUGGAUUAAUGCGACUGACAUUAUUAUUAUAUAGUUUGGUGUGUUGAUUUGUACCACAAAUCAAAAUUUUGCAGCUAGACGAUUGGGUUCUAUGUAGGAUCUAUAAGAAGAAUAGUUCACAAAGACCAACAAUGGAGAGAGUAUUACUUAGAGAGGAUCUAAUGGAAGGCAUGCUCUCAAAAUCAUCUGCUAAUUCUUCUUCUACAUCAGUACUAGACAACAACGACAACAAUAAUAACAAUAACGAAGAACACUUUUUCGACGGUAUGGUCGUUUCUUCAGACAAACGUUCCUUGUGUGGUCAAUACCGAAUGGGCCACGAGGCCUCAGGAUCAUCUUCAUUCGGAUCUUUCUUAUCGAGCAAGAGGUUUCAUCAUACAGGUGAUCUCAACAAUGAUAACUACAAUGUCUCUUUUGUUUCGAUGCUUAGUGAGAUUCCUCAGAGUUCGGGGUUUCAUGCAAAUGGUGUUAUGGAUACGACGUCGUCUCUAGCUGAUCAUGGGGUUUUAAGACAGGCGUUUCAGCUUCCUAACAUGAACUGGCACUCAUAAUCUAUAUAGAUAUAUAUGUGUGUAUCAUAUAUGUAUCUAUGCAGGCCUAAUAUAGUUUACACAUAAAUCAUCUGGGAAUAUAUAUAUACAAGUACGCGGUCUUACAAAUGUAUACGUAUCUGUUUAAUUACGUCAAGAAAAAGUGUAUACGUUUCUUUUUACUCAAUGGCUGCAAAGAUGUGUACUAAUAACAGAAGCUGAUUAAUAAAAAAUAUAAAAGUAUAUUUUUUCCAAUAUGAUACAAUUUAGCAAAGUUAAAUAUUCAACAUGUUAAUAUACAUUAUGCAAGGUUUGGUUCAUUUUCCCAUAAGUGAGUACGUGAAUAGGAUGCAGAUAAUUUUUCUGUUUUACUAUGAAGUUGACAUUCUUACGUUGAAGUUUACUAUGAAGUUGACUUCCAUAUGAAUAUUUUUUUAGGAAAACUUAAACUCUUCGUCUUCAUGGUCCAAACUAUUUCUAUCUAUCUCAUUACCACUCCUUAAACAUGCACAAAUCAAUUUGAACAAAAACUAUGAGAAAAAAAUAGAGAUGAAAAUAUGGGGAAGAUGAGAAGUAUAAGAAGAUGACACAAAAAAAAAACGAAAAUGAAGAUGACACACCGGAUUUUAUGAGUUGAGGUUGGCUAGCUAAAAGUAUUCCUAGGAUUUCUUUAGCUCAGAUCAAUCUUCAAACAUCAUCAUACAUACACUCGAUCUUUUUAUAAGUGGAGGAUCAAAUGCUCUGUUUCUUUGUUGGGUUGUUAUACAAGAUCUCAAACCCGACUUUGGUUUAGCUCGAUGGAGUCUAGACCAACAUUUAAACCACAAUUACAUGUUACUCGAACUGUACCACAUGUAAUCUUUGAUUAAACCUACACUGAGAUCAAAUUAAAUUUCGUUUCAUUCGAACCCACUUUUUCAUCAUCAUGGAAUUAUAAAAGUUGAUGAUGAGAACAAAUUUACGUCACACAUUUUUGUGUUGAAAGUGGUAAAUGGUUAUGGUUUUCACUACCUUAAAUUAUUUCAUGAGGUGAACUGCCUUUGAGAAAUGAAAAAAAGAGGUGAAUUCAAAACACGUUAACGUUUUGUCAACUUCAUUGCUCAUCACCUUCAGAAACUAUGUUUUCUUGUAGUUAAUUAACUGACAUUAAAGAAAAACCACGUACGUAAAUCCGAAGUGUAUUUAACUAUACGUAUGCUGAUGCGUGUACAGUGGCGGGUGGCCUAGUCUUUGACUGGUUCCACCUAAAAAUGAGAUUAGCGUGUUUGAUUUUUCCAAUUUUGAAUAAGUACUAUAACUAGCAUGUUUAAUGCUUACUGGCAAUUUUGCAUAUGACUAUUCUUCUGCAAAUUAUUGUCUUGCACAAACAUAUAUAAAUAGACUCUUCCACGAAUUGUUAAUUCUUCUCCAAUUAAUUUAUUAGAUCAUUUCCGGAUCUGUCACUAUUCUCACUUCAGUCAUACAAUUCUUAUGAUGAUAAGAAUUGUAUUUUUCACUUGGGUAGGAAAGAAGUGCGACCGCCGUGGAUUAAUUAAUACCCAACUCUAAAAUAUUUCUGCUAUAAAACAGACCAUUUAAUUUAUUGAUUUUGUACUUAAAAGGGUUCAAAUCGUUUUUAUUUAUUUAUAAUAUUCACUAAAAAAAACCUACUAAAAUAUUAUAUUUAGGCCCUGAUAAUUAUACCUUUUAUUUUUAGUCAAGAAUAGGCCCGAACAAUUUUAAAAAUAUGUCCAAAAAUUCUGUUUUUUCUUUUAAAAAACAAACAAAAAGGUCCAAAAUUAUUUUUUCGCCCUAAGGCUUUUAAUAAUGUUGGGCUGGGACUGUGUACUUAUGCGGAGUUUUAGAAUGUAGGUCGGUGAACUAUGCGAACUAACAUGUUUUAAAUAUUUGUCCUUCUCCCUAGUAUGUCAGAUGAUACAAUUGGACGGAUUUUAAAAUUAUUGGUUUCCCAGUUGUUGUUGUCUUUGAAUCACUUGGUUACAGGGUCAACUUACAGUAGUAGUACAUGACCACCCCUUCGUCUAUUCCACAUCACAAAAAUUCAAAGCAAUACAUUUCUAGUCGUAUUAUACUAUUAUUAUUUCUUGACGAAUUUUGCAUGUUUCACGUUUUAUACGGUUCACAAGUCUUUUUUUUUUAUAUAAUUGGUUCACAGUCUAUUAAUUAGUGCAAGACACAAAUAAAAGAAUGCAUAUAUAUAUAUAUAUAAAUAACCAAGAAAAAAAUAAAAAUCAGAAAAUAUAACCAAAAUAGAUGUGAGAUAUCAUCAGUUUAUCUAUUUUUACUGUUUUGAUCAUUUCAAUUACUUAGAUUUUUACUGUUUACUAUAUAACUUUUUUUUGUUCAAUAUUAGCAUACUUUUUUAAGAAACGUAGCCCUCAAAUUUGUUAUUAAAAUCUUUUUUUAAUUAAAAUAUUUUUUCAUGUGGGAAAGGCAUCCUCUACUCAAUAAUAAGUAUUUGAAUUUAUUCUUUUUAGGGAUAUAAGGAAAAGUCAAUAUAUAGACGUUUUCGUUUGUGUUAUGAAAAUUAGUUUGAACUUGUAUUUAAUCAUGUGUCUCAUGCAAACAACGUCAAUUCCCUGUCUUCUCUCUCUCUAAUAACUCAUUGCGAUUUUUGUUUCGUUUUUUUUUUUUGUCCUUAAGAUUUGAUUUUUCACCACUACCCGGCAGUUGAAAGUUAGAAAACUCUUGGAUUUGUCGAUUAGUGUUUCCGUAUUGACAUACAAUAUGAAAACGAUUACUCGAUGGUGCUAGGACGUAUAGCUAACAAUCUAUAAGAUUUUGAUAGAUUAGUUGUUUAUCUUAAAGAUUGUUUUACAGCAAUAAUUCUUUAACAGUCUUUAUGUCUUUAUGAUAUCCUAUAAAAUUUAAGUUCAUCAAUGUAAUCAUUAUUAGAUAAGUGCUGAUAGAAAAAACAAUUGUAAAAUAAUGAAAUAAAGUUGCAAAAUGAUACUUUAAUAUUAUUUAGUAAAUUGGAGAGAAAAUAAAGAACUAAUUUUGCUUAUCAAAUCAAUUUGUUUUUUUUAAAUCAUACUUUCUCAUUUAAAAAUUGAAUAUUGUGGAUGUCGGAAUCCGCAAUUAGGAAUUUGUGGAUGUUGCAAGGGCCUUAAACCUUGUUAGUCGAACUAAGAUCGAAUCGAACAGUAUUUCAGUUAAUCGGAAUUUUUUUGUAUAGUAAUUUUCUCGUCCCCUUUACAAAUGACGAAUCAAUCCUAUUUAUACAAACUAAUCGAAUAUCUGCGAAGUAAAUGGACGCUCGAAUCACGCCGCGAAUCACGUCUCAUUAAUGUUUAUGUUUCACAUAGCCACCUCGCGUAUUAACGCAUUCUCAUUUACUCCGCAGAUUUCCGUUACGUAACGCUUAAAAUGAUUCUUCAAAUCGACCUGGCUCUGGUGGGCUUAUCUCGGCCCACUCCAUAUUUGACAAUCCUGGAUUCAUCGUUAAGGCUUUGACCCAGGCCCAUUAAAGAAAUAUGACGGAUCGCGGGUCGGAGCAAAUAUACGAGAUCCGACAUCCACAAAUAUCAAACUUUGUAAUUUUUGGCCAAACAAAAGAACUACUUUAACUAGCAGGUAUGAAAGUUAUAAUACUGUUAAAAGAACUCAGCUUGUUCAUUGAUUUAAAACGAUCAAAUAUCCCAAAUCUUCAUUUCUAGUUUCCACUGGUUUUCUUUGUUUUCGAUAUCAAUUUUAGACACUAAGAGGGUGUAUUCAAUCUAGUAUUUUAAGUGAUUUGUGUAAUAUUUACAAAUUAUAUGUUAUUCAAACAUGAAUUUUAAAAACUCUAAUGGAAUACAAUGUAGUUGAACUAAUGAUUUAAAAAUCUACCUUUAAAUCCAUUGUUACUGAAAACAAUUUGUAGAUUUGAUUCUUAUUAAUUUUGAAAGAUUUAAGAGGAUUUGAAAAGAUUUCUUUAGUUAAAAAUACAAAAAUUCAAAUCUCAUGGUUUUAGGUGAAAUUUGAUUUUUUUUUUAUAAUAAAUCAUAUCAACUUCUCUCAAAUCAUUAAAAUCUAAUAAAAACUAACUAAAAUUCAAAUCAUUCAAAAUUUAAGAUCCAAUAUACUCCCCUAAUUCGUCUUACAUAUCCUACCUUACACUCUUGUGUCUCAUCUUCUCUGCCAUUUGACACAGAAAAAAAAAGAGUUAGGACGGACAUAUCCGAAACAACCAAAUAGACUGUUUUUAAACAGUUAUAUACGAACACGAAGGUUCAGCUUUGUGAUACACCAUUUAUCGUAACAAUUAAAAUAUGGUAAUUUUAGGCUAAAUUAUAGAGUAGAUCUUGUUUCAAAUAUUACAAUUUGCAUGCACCAAAUUGUUUUACAUUUUCAUUUUCCAGAGAAAACCAAAUCAUUGGUUAGUCACUUCGGAAGUACCAAUCCCAAUAUUCUUUACAGUAAAUACCCGGAACCGCCGAGUUCGGGUGUUUCAGAAAUGACCAAUGAUGAUCAAUUAGUCACUUCAGAGAGCUUCCGGGUGAAACGCGCUUAAACGAUGGCCUUGACAAUGACUUCCUAGUACUGAUGAGAGAGCGGUGGUGCCAAACGCUAGGAAGCUGCCGAGGAUGUGACAAGAUUGAAGGAAAUCUGAGGUUAAGACUUAAAUCUUUAUGGAACUGGAUUACAUUUUGAGGUUGAUGAAUUGUAUUUUGAUUGAUAUUGAAAACAUGAUGAUGUGGAUAUGCAACGGCCAAGUAUCGAGAUUUGAAUUGAGAUAUGGAUUUGAUGCACAAGUGGUCGAAGAAAGAACGAAGUGGACAAGUACAUUACCUGUAAUAGUACAUAACUUGUGUGGUUCACUAAUUCUUAGAGAUUAUGAAUCAUUGUAGAUGAAUAGGCAAGUCUAUCAGACAUCUCUAACUUAUGGCAAUCACUAGUUUCUUGUACAUAAAGUACUAUUUGCACCCAAAAAAUAAAAAUAUGUAUAUAAAUUUACUACUACUUAAUGCCCAUUAUUUUUCUGUUUUCAAUAUUGUGAUAUACAUUAUGCAAGUUUACACAGGGAUGGAUCCAUAGCGACAUUAGCAUUGUAGAUUACUAACUACGAAUAUUUUUUGUUUUUUAUUGUUUUACAAUCAAUGUAACUAAUCAAAUAUUAGGAAUUUACAGCAAAUGUAUCGGUAAAUAUACGGGACAUAGUCAGACAUAUCUCAAUAUUUUCCUUUUUUUAAGUCUCAGUAUUGUUAUUGUAUAAAUUAUUUAUAAUAAUAAAAAAUAAUAAUAAUAAUAGAAAAUUAAGUGGGUAUCUGUAAUAUUUAAAAAAUAUAUUGAAGAAACUUUGAGAUGAGUCUUUUAACUAUUGAAGAUAUUCAUUUAAUUUUUAUUAAUAUUUUUUACUUUUCAUUAUUGUAGAACUCACAAAAAAUUAUUGAUACGAGUUAUUUAGUAUGUGACUCACUAAAGAUCAUUUAUUUAGUAUUUAUCACAUGGGGGUUUAUUCGUUGUAUCUCCAUUUAUUACUUGGAAGACCAGGAGAAGAGUAGACCAUUAGAAUAUUCAAACUAUUCAAAGUAUUUUUCACAUGGUUACAUUUAGACGACUCAAUCAUAUGCAUACUCGAUUCCUUCUAUAAAAACACACGCAGAUUAGUGACCCAUAUUUUACACUCAAUCUAAAGACCAUCCUCUAGACAGAAAACUUUUUUUAUAAAAACAAUGAAGUCUUCUUACGGUUCUUCCUCUAAUGAUCUCCACGCUUUUGUCAAUGAGAUCAAGGGAGAAAUUCAGUUGUCCAACAUUAAUCUUGAUCCUUACUCAUUUGUCUCUCCUUCCGCUUACGACACGGCUUGGUUAUCCAUGAUCGAAGAAGACAUCAACGUAGAUGAUAAUGAGCUUAAACCGAUGUUCCAAGGUUGUCUAGAUUGGAUUAUGUGCAAUCAAAAUGCCAGAGAAGGUUUCUGGAUGAACUCCACCAGUUAUACAACGGUGGCUGAUGGCAGAGACGAAGACGGCGAAAAGGACAUGUGUAUUCUAACUUCCACUCUUGCUUGUGUUGUAGCACUUCAGAAAUGGAAUAUUGGGUGUUUUCAUCUCCACAAAGGUGUGUAAAGACUUUGACUUUGUAUUUUUGUACUCUUUGACUAACGUUCGUGCAUGUAAAACGUAUCACUACGUAACCAGACUCCGAUAACUCACUACGUAAGCCACUGACAUGCAUGGCCCAUAUCAUGUGCAAAUAUAUACAAAUUACGAAUUUGGUUUUAUAGUUCUACCCAAAAGCAUAUAUGUACCCCUUCCACACACACA
rnacentral:lncRNA from 1 species